ACAUACAAGUCGGAAUUGCCUAAUGCAAUAUGUACUACAUGACUGGCACCUAACUUGGAUCCAAGGCAAAUGAAUGGUGCGGAUGUGAAUAUACACGUGAAGAACUGACCCUAGCCCUGGGGCGAGUACUAACACCGGGGUGCAGCAUUGAUGAGCAGAUAACAUAAAUAUAAUCAUGCCAUAACAAUUCAAUAAUUCUAGUCAACAAAGUAACUUACCUGCGCAUCCUGUAGGAUUAUUUUAGCAUUUCACAACAGCACAAUAGUUUUUAAAACAUUAAUUAAUCAUAACUGUAAAAUAUAAUCAUGGUAUCUCACGCAUGCCUGUGAACCUAUAGGGUUCAGAAUAAUUUUCUAAAUUCCGUCAUUUCGCUACCUCAUGUAAUUUUAAUCUAAGCAAGGCAUACGUAGUAAAUUCUUUUCAAAGUAUAACUAGAAACUAGCAAGUAUGCGUAUACUUAUAAAAAGAAAAGACCCACUCACAGUUACGUAGUCGAACAAAGUCUCUGAGCCUUACUUAACCCUGUACUUCCUCGGGAUACGUUUCCCCUAUACGUGAAAUUACUAAUUUAAUUAGUUUAAUAACACAUAUACUGAAACUUAAAUAAAACCUCCGUAGAUUGCUCAAACAUAGGGUUUGAAUAUAUGAAAUCAAUAUACUCGAUGUCACGGACCCAUACGUGUCAACCACACGUCGGCCGGAGGUCGGACACGCCGUCACGCGCUGCAUGCGCUGAUGACCCAUGUGAGACCACACGCGCCCACGCUCCUUGAGUACAACCGUACUCACCUUCCUUGAUAGUGUUCCUACACUGUAAAUUUGUCCGCACGUGUACAAAAAUACCUGUAAUUAACGUAUUUUAACAGAGCAUCACUUUUUCAUUACAAAUCUGAUUCGAGUUUAACUCGCAUCUACGCGUUCGUGAUGACAAGUACUAAUUAAGUGCGUAACCAGGAAAAUGGAAUGAAAGCCGAAAACCACGUCCACGUUAGAUUCCACUUUUGUCCAAAAGGGUAAAAUCGUCAACUCACCCCAACGGAAAAGAAAUCACAGUGAAAAGUAGGGAUGGGUCGUCACAACACGUCAUUUGGUUUAAAAAAUCGAUCUCCCUAGCAUUUUCCCUUUGAAAAUCUUUGGUGCUACAAUAACCUGAGUGUCGCAUUAUUACUCUAACCGAACUUUAAACGAAAUUACAUGGCAAGUGUAGCAUCGAUGUGGAGAGCAAAAUGUGGAGGAGAACAUUGAUCACUUAAAGGCAAAAAAGUAAUGAGAGGUAAACUAAAUUUGUAUACUAAAUUUAUAAAUUACAUGAUGUGUCACUAAUAAAAAAUAAGCACGUUCAUUAACAAUUAAGUAAUAAUCCAAUUAUUAGCUUCCAUGUUAUUUAGUUUACAAAAUCUAGCCUACACAUUUAGUCUCCCUAGCAUUACCAUUAUAAAUUUACCUCAAAUCCUCCAAGAGACGUACUAGUAACUUUUUUUUUUUGGAAUAUCUCAGCUGUACAAGGGAUAUUUAUUGAUAUGAAAAAAAAAGUUACACCUAGUUAGGAGGAGGGACAUAAACUUUGCCCCUCAUAGAACAAGAAAACAAAUACAAGAAAAGAGGGGGCAUACACCUUACCUUUUUGAAAAAGAAAAUACAAGAAAAAGAGAGAGACUAGACCUUACCUAUCUUAAAAAAGAAAAUACAUGAAAAAUAUGGGGUAGACAUAGGACCAAACCCCUCCAUAAAACCUAAAAGGUAAGCACCUACAAGACAAGCUGCAAAAUGAAGGAAAAUCCAAAAAGAUUUGGUAAAAAAGAAAAUCACAAAUCAAGAAGGGGAGACAAACGUGUAGGCCAACAUGCCCAAGAAAUCUAAGUAUAGAAAAUGAAGAAUCUCUGUAGAAGGAGCAGCAUUCCAAACAAGUGAAGACGAGAGAAGCCCUAAAUUGGCUAAUUUGUCAGCAACUGCAUUCCCUUCUCGAAAUGUUUGAGAGCAACAUAAUACCAUUUCUGCAAUCGGAAAACACAUUUUUUCCAACGUGUCUGGAGUGACCAACGAGGAGAAAAAGAACCAUAAGCAAAACAAGAUAUCAUGCUUGAAGAAUCACUUUCAAGCUAUAAAUUUUGCCAACCCAGGGCGUGAGCCAACUCCACAGCAAGGAUGACAGUAUGAAGCUAUGCACAAAAAGAGGUACGAUGCCCCAAGCUCAGGAAAAAUCACCAAGAAAAUAACUUGUAGAAUCUCGGAAAAUCCUACCACAUGCCGCAGGACCCAGGUUACCUUUAGCAAGGCCAUCAAUAUUCACUUUGACAUAAGAAAAUGGAGGGGGAUGCCAAAAAACAAAGUCUAUAAAAGAAGCUUUACAGGACUCAAUCGAGAUUUUAAGAGAGGCUAAAAGUUGCUUAUCUAAAAUAAUAUCCAGCAGGACCCGGGUAACUACUUUGUGAUCUUUCUUUAGCCUCUGCCUAAUUUUCACCAAGUUUGGCACAUGGCAGCUCUGGCACUUUCAGAGAGGUUACAUUUUCGAUUAGCGUUUUGCUUCCCCUACAGAAAAGCCAAUGCCAAAUUUGACCGUUGCAAUCUUUAGGAUCUCAAAACAAAUACAGCUAUGCCGCUAAUUCCCUAAGGGAGUUUGUUUGAACGGGAGCUCUCCUACCGGAUAAACAUCAAAGUUUCAAAGCCCUGAUCUUCUUCUUAAUCUUCCAGCCGUGACGAGGCUUGACUGGUAGCUUAGGUGCCGAAGUGCCGCAUCCAAGGCAUGAGAUGAGAGAGUGGUGAAGAAAUUCAUUAUAAUUUGAAUUUGUAAAGUGGAAAACAAGCGUCUCAGAAUAAAUUUAAACAAAAAAGACAAAGUAAAAUGUGGAUAACAUUCGAAUUCAUUUGUCGCUGCCACGCGCAGAAUAAUGUUCACAUCAGAUAGUUCAAUUUCUAAGAACAUAAACCGAUGGAUACAUCUUACAUCAUGUGUGCAUGCUUGGCCAUAACGCUGCUCUUUCACUUGGAGUUACUAGUCUGGAAGAGGAAGGUGAUUUGAAGAUUCUAAUUGAUGCAAUUAACGGGACGUGUUCUAUUCCUUGGCAUCUCACUGCCUUGGUGUUCAAUAUUUAGAGGACCGCUUGUAACUUCCAGCUGAAUAUAUACUUUCGUCAUAUCUAUCUGGAAGCUAAUUCAUUUAGUUGUCGAUGUGUUAGCUAGAAUUGGGCAUCUAUCUCAUGAGUGUUAGUCUUGGACCUUGGUGGUACACUCUCCCGUGCUGCUUGGUUUUGGGACUUAUGUUGUAAUUCUUGCCCAAGGGGCUUCUCUUUGUAACUGUUCUUUCCUAUAUAUAUAAAAAAGCAUAUCUCCUUAGAUGUUUUCUUUUUCUGAAAAACAAUGUAAUGAUCAUGGGACAAAUAAACAGGACGAAACAAUUCCAAUAACAAACAUAGGAUCCUCCACCAUAAGACGACCAUGUUGAAUAUAAUCAUCAUAUAAAAUAUGGCAAGGACAAGGACAAGAACAAGGAGAAGGGCGGAUAUGAUCAUCCAAACAAUAUAGUAUGGAUGAAGCAGACUAACAAACAAGUAAGAACAACAAAAGGAGAGGAAGGGUACCUCUGUCUUUAACAAAGGGUUCAAGGAAAGGGAAACAAUUGAGACCCAACCAAUUCGUCAAGGUGAUAGGGCGACUUCAUAAAAAUUCAUAAUAACCAAGGUGACAAUGGUAUAAUUGGUAUAUGUGCAGCAUUCAGAUGGCCAUGGUCUCCCUACUGAUACGAUCCUCAUAACCCUGGCCAAAGAAAAUAAUUAGAAAACAUGACUCAGGAGAGAAAUAACAAGACCAUCACGAGUUAGGAAAUUCUCUUCUAAAACAGCUUCCACCAACGAAAAACGUUAUUGCAGAUGUUUAACUGAACAUAGCAAUGAAAAAAUAUCAUAGGUCAGAAGUUAAUAGUUUACACCCAUUUUUCAAACAUGGUGGUUGUUUGUUUUGAACCUACACUAGGUUCACCUUAUAUCAGCAGUUUUCCAGUCACACCAGCAAACAUUAGAUAUUUAUAGUUUACGCCCAUUUAUAAUAUGAUAGUUAAUUAGAGAAAUUGUAUAGUUGAAUAAAUGUGCGUAUGCAUGCAAUAUUCAGCGUUAACUUAACAACCACGUAUGCGAGCUUACGUAGUUAUCGUUACCUGCUCUUAUCUUGUAAUCAUGAUAUAACUAAUUAGUCACAUAGUGAGACUUCAAAUUAUAGCAACUCAAAAAACAAUUCAAAUCCAAAUCCUUCAAUCCCAAUAGAAGAAUAACAAGAGAGGAAUGGUACGUACGGUACUGUGCAUGGGUGAUUAAAUGUUAAGAUAAUUUGGAUUAAUUGUCACGGGUGGCAACCACGUGACUUUGCUACUCUUGAAAAGACUUUUUGGGUCUACUUUGCAAUGGGAAAAAGCACCCAACAACUAGAACUAAAACUAAUGGGCCGGUUUGAAAUGCUCCUUUACAAAACACUUCAACUUUAAAAAAAAAAAAAUUUGCUUAAUACUUAAAAGUGCUUUUAAUAUCCACUCAAUAUUACGGUGGUAUUCUUUUUCACUUAAAAGUGAUAGGUUUAAGUUCGAAUCCCGUGGAUGGCAAAUUCAAUAUCAAAUUAGGUUGCUCAUUAUGUAGAUUAACCGAACUCUCAUUUCCUUUAAUGUAAAAAUAUAUCGAUGUACUAAAAAAAAUGCUUUCAAUACAUAAAACCACAAAUGCUUCUUAAAAAUCCAUCUAAUGCUAUCUUUAGAAACUGCACAUUAGUUUUUUUUUUUUCAAAAAACACUUCAAAUGUAUUUUUCAACUAUAAACACUUUUAACAUUUUUCAAUCUGUAUUCGAAUCAUUGUAAUUCUAUUCAUUUACCACGAGUUCCACUUACAAAUCUGCUAUCCGAUAGUAGUUGAUCUCGUUCAUAUUCCUUACUUUCUUUUCCUAGUUCACGACUUUCUCUGUUCUAAAUAAGUAAACACAUUGAAACUGAAUACUUAAAAAAAAUAAAAAUAAAGACAUGUUGGUUUAUUUGAACUUGAAAUGGCCUAAACACCCAUACAUACCGAGCGUUGCAAAAUGACAAAACAACCCUUCGUUAAUGGUGGAGGGCCCACUCUUGUCCUUUGUAGGUAAAAGGCUAAAUUAUAAUUGUAACGCAAAACCGCAGCAGUGACGAACCGUUUCUCAAUUUCGUCGUUCUUCCGAGAAAUUUUUUGGUGUGACUGUCAUACGAAAUAAUACAUUACGUGUCCUUAUAUAAAUGAUGAAUUAUGUGUUUUAAAAGGUUAAUAACUUAAAAAUUAAAAUUUUUCAUCACUUACGUAAAAACACGUGAUAUACCAUCCGUGUUCAUGUUACAACUAAAAAUUUCUCCUCCUCCCCUCUCUCUCUUAAAUGGCUAUUCCCCCAAAUACCAUUUCAGUCCCUCCAAAAAAACAACCACAGGGUGGGGACUGAGGAGAGAGACCGGGUUUUUUCUUGUGUGUUCUUCUUCAGAGAAAACACCAAGAAAUCAGAAUCAUCACACCACCUUGAGUAAGAAUCAAGCUUUCGCAUUUCCCUGUUUGAUUCCAUCGAUUUUUUUUCUGAUUUUUCGUAGAAAAUCUUGAGGCUUUCUUUUUGGUAACGAAAAAAGUUUCUGAAUUUUCUCGGCCGCUGAUACCAAAUCCUCUGCUUGUUUUAUAUUCUGGGAUCUUUUUUUUGAUCUGGGUUUCGAUAUCUUGUGUUAUUUCUCCAGAUUCUCUCUUGUUCUAGCCCUCUCUGCUUGCAAGUUGCAAAAGAUAAGGUUUUUUUUUGGGAGAAAACAGAGGAGGUUGGCACAGAGGAUAUAUGUCUUCUAGAUUUUAUCUGUCGACUGGAGCUCCGAAGAAGCUCUGGAAAUCUUAUCAGCCUCUCUUUUGCAUGCACAAACAGAUUUCAUCUGUUUUUUCCAUGCCAUUAAAAUCACAAAGACAGAGGUAUGUGGGUUUAAUUUAUUACUCUCUUGCGUUUAAUAUUAUGUGUUUUCAGUUUUCAAUUUUUAUGAUAUUUAAUGUAUGUAUGAACAUCAAUAUUAGUGCUUUGUGGAAUUUUGUUUGAUGGGUUUUUUGUUUUAGGGGUUUUUGAUGGGUUUAAGGUCUUUGAUUUGUUGUAAUUUUUGUUUUCGUUGAUGCAAUUGGUGCAGGAGUUGUUCUGGAGUGAAGUGCUUUAAGGAUUGUUUCAGAAUACAAUUUUCGAUUUCGAUUUCUGGACUCGAGUUUUUGAGGGUUUUGGGUUUUUCUUGAUACCGAGUUCUGAACUUUUGAGAGAAUUUUUGUUUUCUUUUUCUUGUUUUCGGGUAUAGGGGGUUUAGGGGUUUUAAGUUCAAAAUGCCGGGGAUGAAAACCGUAAUCUUGAAUCAACAUGUGAGCUGGAACAAAUUGAAGAAAAAGCAACCUACCGUAGAGGAGAAUGCAGGUUACAUGAAGAGAAUUCGGAUUAUAUACAAUGAUCCUGAUGGUACCGACUCUUCGAGUGAAGAUGAUGAGGAAUAUGACAUUGAGGGAAACCUAUUUCAGCAUAGUAAGCGCUUUGUUUCGGAGAUUUUGGUUGUGGAAACAGAAUGUGAAUCAUCUGCAGGGACCAAUGGAGGCAGAAUUGGUCAUAGUACGGACUUUGAUGACUCUAAGAAAAGUAAUAGACUGCUCCCUAAGGGAGUUCGACGCAGAAAAUGGGGAAAAUAUGCUGCGGAGAUUCGAGAUCCAAUUCAAGGAAUUCGAAAAUGGCUUGGCACUUUUAAUACAGCAGAGGAGGCUGCUGCUGCAUAUCAACAAAAGAAGCGUGAGUUUCAGACCAUACAGUCACAGCGAAGGACUAAGAGCCACUGUGAAAACAUGCCAUUAUCAGAUAAGCAUGAGUUUGAGAGUAUGCAAUUAACGGAGGGAGACAAGCAUGGGCUUCAAGGCGUUCCUUUAUCAGAGGAGAGUCAGGAUUCAUCGUUUUGCCAUCCAUCACCAUCAUCUGUGCUUGAAAUGUCUGGUUCAGCUGCGCUUUGUUUUGGACUCGAAAGGUCGAAAGAAGAAUCUGGGGUGGAAGUUUCUGGGGGACAAGGCACUCUACAGCAACCAGUUUUUGAAGAAGAAGAAUCCAUUCCAAUGUUGCCUCCAAUGUUGCCACCGUUAGAUGUCGAACAGUUGAAUUUGGGAUGCGGCGACAAUUACGUGUUUUCUAGCUUGGAUCAGUUCUUUGAUGGCAUGUGUGAUAUUGUUGAUGAUGGUAUGACAGACAUAGUUGAUUAUCCCGCGUGCAAGGAUAAAAAAGGCGAGGCUACGUGUCUUCCCCCUCUCGACUUCAAUUUUGGUCAGCAGGAUUUCUCCUGGAUUGAUCAGAAACUGGAACACGGUAAGCCAUGAAGUUUUGUAGUUAGGAAUUACCAGUAGUUUAUCUAGUACAUGUUGCACAAUAAAAUGCUCAAGAAAUGUUUUAGCAGCGGUGUUUAGGGUUAAUCGUUUUCUAUGUUCGGAGAGAGUUCUUGGGUUUUCACUGUGCUUUUCAGCCGUCCAAGAUUUUUCCAACUCUCAGACUCAGAGUGGUAAUAUGUUUGAGUAAGCUAUUAUCUACUGAAACCUUUGUGUACUCCUUUUCUAUUUGUAUUAAUGACAAGUCCGUUUAGUCAAAUGCGUCAAACUGUGAUUUCCAGAUAAGUGGAAACGACUCUGUACUACAAACACAGAGCGAAUUGAUGUCGAUUCUCAAAGGUAAAGUUGCUUUGCCAAAUUUUGAAGAGAAGAUAAUACUGACAUGGCAGACAAGGAUCAUGUAACAUAGGAAGAGACAACAACAGUGGCUUUGGAUUAGCGUAUAGUGCGAGUCUUAGGAGGCGUGUCGUUUAAGGAUAAUUAUAUGGCCAGGAAAGGCGGCUAAUUGAAGUUAAGCUUUCACUUUCAAUUGAAACCAUCAUUUCGCCGGCCCGGUUCAAUUUCGAGGAAAAAAUCCUCGCCGGAUCAUUUUCUUAAGGAUCUUGUGAUCGUGACCGUUCAUCGUACAUUGUACAAUUAGUUUUCGUUAAGUACUAUUUAUAUUUAAUUUUAAAUUUUAAACUUUGAAAUUAUUUUUUACCGCACGAUGUACGAUGAACGGUCACGAUCACAGGAUUCUUAGGAUCCCCAAGAAAAGAAUCCGGCGAUGAUUCUUUUCCCAAUUUCGAUGGGUCCGAAAGCCACAUUCAUAACAAUAUAAAGCUGACCAAGUCCAUUGUGAAAAUUGGAAAAAAAAUUGAUAUCGAAAAGUAAUUGUUGAAUUCAAAAGGAAAUGCGAUUACGACAUGUCCUGCUUUGUUACAAGUCCUCGAUAACUCUACAAGUUAUAAGAAAAACACUUCAAGCCCGAAAUUAGCUUGACUCAAUCCAACAAACAAUAAAAACCCGAUACGGAAAUAUACAUUUUCAAAAUCCGAAUUAUUUUUCAACUCCCCGAAAAAACUAGGAGCACAGUAAAUGUGCAGAAGCCCCGUAAACAUUACAGCCAUUGGAACUUGACACGGAACAAAACGUUUAGAACGUACCCUCCCCAGGCUACAGCUUGAGUAGGGACUUCAGUACUGCUAUCAUUGACGAAAAGCCAGUUCGCAUACAACAGCAAGAUGAUCGCUGCCCCAUUGCUGCAAAGCAAAACCGAAACUUGAGAGAAAUACACAACACCUUACUACCUUAUCACACUUCCAAGUUUUCAGGAGAAUUUCUGAGUAGUUCACUUGUUUAUCGGUCUGUUCACUUUUCUACAGUACUGAACAUAGUGAAGAAGCUUAUGAUGCUCUAACUCAAACAAUUGUUUAAUUCUCCUUUAAAGCAAGCUAAGUGACUGAUAAAGCAUAAAUAAUUGGAGAUAGAAAGUUACCUUGCUGGGGAGUCCUCCAUCUCUUCUUAAAGCAUUGACUGGUAAGGUUUCAAGAACUCUGACAGGAACAAGUUCCUCGGUAUGCCUGUCACUCAGCGACCAAAAGUAUUUAAGUACAAAGCACAAAACAGUAACACUCAGCCUGUUAGAAUUUAAUGAAAUUCCGGACAAUAGACCGACCGAAAAACAAAAAGGCAUACCAAAUAUAAUCAACGGUUCCCAUAAACUCGGAGUGGUAUGAUGUUGCCAAGGGUUCUCCAGACCUAUCUCUGGUUCUACAACUACCCUGCAGAAAGGCACAUACAUACAGCAUUGGGAAAAAGAUAAUUGGAUUUAAGCAUCGAAAUUUUUUUAAGUAGAAAUGAUUUAAGACUUACAGGUACUCCCAGGUAUGCACUGCAAAGCUUCAAAUUGUGCCGAAGACAAGUGACUACUUCACUGCCAGUUGCAAGCCUUACUUCUUCCUCGCUCCAUAUAUAUGAAAAUGGCCUAAUAAAAAAUUUUGUAAUACCGCAUCCACAAUACAGAAUUCAGUUAGAACUUUUUUUAAAAGAAAAAAAAAAAAGUUCUUUAUCUGCAGUGCAUGUUGUUUGUACCAUACUUGACAAAUCCUGAAACUACCGAGCACCGGUCAACGUUAUACCGUCAAGGACCCAUAAGAGUUUCCCUCCAACCAGGAGGCCAAUCACAGCGCGACACAUGUCGACAUCAGAAGCCAAUCAUAGCGCGACACGUGUCAACAUAAAAAACCAAUCACAACUCGACACGUGUCAAUGUCAAAACAAAGCUAGAAACUCUCUUCUAUAAAAGGAGAUCAUUCUCCCACAAUAUUUCCUAAUGUCAUUUGUACUAAAUCAUUCACUAGUACUCACUAAAGGAGAGCUUGAACCUAUGUACUUGUGUAAACCCUUCACAAUUAAUGAGAAUUCCUCUACUCCGUGGAUGUAGCCAAUCUGGGUGAACCACAUACAUCUUGUGUUUGCUUCCCUAUCUCUAUCCAUUUACAUACUUAUCCACACUAGUGACCGAAGCAAUCUAGCGAAGGUCACAAACUUAACACUUUCUGUUUUACCAAAGUCCUCACUAAUUUUGUGCAUCAACACAUGUCAUAUGAGAGGUCAAGGAAACAAUAACUUAUGUCAUCCUGCUUUCACUUAAGCAGUUAACCGGAAAUUUCAAAAAAAUGGAUCUCCCGGGUUCUCACCAAACCAAAGGGAGUUUAACAAAAAAUAAAGAGAAAAGGAAGACUACUGAAUUCCAUAAAGUUAUAAACCAAUUAUAUCUAAUUUUAGGUGAUAAAUGCACUAGUCAUAUUGCUUGUACAUGUUCUAAUGCGACAUUUGAGGUAACUAUUCAUACACUGAAGUACCUGCUUGCUUGCUCAUUCUGAAAUCUGAAGCCUCUGUGAUUCGAGUUCAGGACAAACUGUCCGGAUAUACCUCUGCGGUCAUGUAGUCGGAUGUCCAACUGCAAUAAACCACAGCAAGAACAGCAUAACAUAAACUGAAACCCAUACAAAAAGGAGGGGAAAAAAAAAGACGACAAAGAAACAGAGGGGGAAAGCAGGAGAAGCCAAAAUGGAAUCACCUCAGAAGAAGCUAGGAAAUGGUACAUAGGACUCUGAACAUUUGACGAACCAAAAAAUUCGGUGUAAGUGACGUGGACCAUCUGAAUCAAACAUGCUUAAUAAACGAUAUCAUUGCAGGAAGUCACCUGUGGGAUGCUAUUUAGAUCUCCCGAAAUUAUAACAGGGAUGCUGCCCCACUCUUGUGAUAGCUCGUAAGCUUUUUUAAGAAACAGUCGGACCUAAUGCAUGAUCACAUUUGAGAUAUAUUACAAACUAUGCUGUACAGUCCCAUUUCUGAAAAAAACAUAGUAGAGAAUACCUGCCCUAGCUUGAUAUCUCCACGUUUUGGGUUGAAUAGUAGAUGUGUAUUCCCAAUCACUAAGCUUCUACUUUGGGUGUAUGGACUCCUGUAUGAUGUGAAAUAACCCACCAAUAUGUGAAGUAAAACCAAAUCCUAUACAAAAUAUGCAAACAGGACAGAAAGAAAACUUAUACUCACGUUCCGGGAGGUAUGCCUGACUCUAAUUGAUUUUGGUUACUCUGCAUUUUCAACAAACAAAAACAAUGUCUAGUGUAGCUAAGCAACAAUAGUAAAAUGGAAACAAGACAAUUGGCAGCACAAAGGGGUUCGUCGAAGUCAUAGAUUUAGAAGAUCACACUGGAAAUCAUAAUUUUACCAUGUGACAAGGCAUGUUUUACAUGGCUAGAUAAGGCCCAUAAGGGUAACAUUCAAACCUAAGUACCUAACCACAGAGAAGUGCACAUUUAAAAAAAUGUGAUGCUUGAUGCUACAGGAGCAAACCAUCAUGCCACCAUGACAUGACACAUCAAUAUGAAUUUCAACUAAUGAAUUAGCACCCCUUAGAAGAAAGUAAUGCCCCAUAUACCUUUAAUACACAAAGUUGAGCAACAUUGUUACGAAGUCCAAAACUUUGGAACUCUAUAUUUUCUUCAUGUAAAAGGCUAAACCUGCAUUCAGAAAAUCAUUGGCUAAAAGCUGGAAUAGAAAGAAACUAAAUUGAUAAUAAACAAGAAAUGACAAGUUAUACAAACAUACAAUACCAACAUGAUCGUAACUAAUGAAAAUUAGAUAGGAUAUAUAAUUCAAAUGCAGUCAUCAAACAUGUUUCUCAAGAAACUAUAAAACCACAACUAAUAUAAUAAAUAUCAAAGGAAAAACCAUCUAGCUAGUCAUAAAGAAGUAACAACAUAUUUGAUUUGAGGAGAAACAAGAUUGGAUAUGAACUGAUCUGUCAUUUGAACUUAGAAGUCAAAGCAACGUGCAGAAAUUUUACAAUUUUCGAAAGGUCAACUAAACCAUACAUUUCCUUUUUCCAAAAUAUGGCGCAUCCAUCAUUUGCUUCACCCGUGCGCGCCUAGGGAUAGUUGGUAAUCAUUAAUCAGAAUGUAUGCCAAUAAGAAGGUACUUGACAAUGGUAAGUGAUUACAUACUUGGAAAAGAAAAUUCAAAGCUACCUUAUAAACACCUUCGAACCCAUCUUUCUGGAAAAGAUGAGCUAAAUCAUCGAAACGAUCAACCUCCUACAGCCAUACAAGUAACAUAUUAUUAACUUAAAAUUAAGUGAAACAAUAAAGAUUCACACUUUAGCCAACACAUCAUAUCUACAUUGCCAAACUCUUCGACUUUACCUGCAAGCACAUGAUGCUAGCAUUGUAACGAUUGAUCUCCUUCCGAAUAAGCUUCCGGCGGCGGUUCCACUCCAAGAACAUGGGUGGGACUUUGUAGUACAACUCUGGGUGCUUGGAUGCAUUUUCCACACCCAGAAUGUUAUAAGAAACAACCACAAAUUUCUCUGGACACCACAACAUUCAAAAAAAUUAGCACAAUGCCUUGUUUGGCUGAGCAAUCCAAACAGCUAAUUGCAGUAACAAACAAUCCUAAGCGAACUCAAUUAAAGUCAAAUUAGCCAAACAAGGCAUUUGAAAAUUGGAUAUUUGUUUACCUCCAUAGGUGGAAGCAGAGGAGCUGCAGGGAGAAGAAGCCCACUCCCGGGAGCUCUCUGUCUCGGUUCGACUCGGUUGCCGCUUCGUGUGCUUCCGAUACGAAGGCGAUACAAAUUGGAACCUGGAUGACGACGGCGGCGGUGGCGGGUCGGAUUCUCGGGUUAGGGUUUUAGAUUCGGACUUCACUCUUCUGCGACGCCGCCUUUCGUGAGGCGGAGAGUGAGGGUGGUUCUCUGCGGCUUCUGUGUUGUGUGAAUGUUGCUUGCGCUUACGCCGCCGUACAUCGCCCGUUUCUUCCAUUCUGCCUAACUUUUUAGUUUUGGAAGCGGUGGCGGGAAGUAGGAACGCGCUCAAUUUGUGGUACGCGCUGCCAUGGUGAGAAUGGGGGUGGUUGCUCCGAAAUUCAGUUAACGGCGUUUAAGAGGAGGAGAAAGGGAUAGAUGUCCAAUGAAGUUAAAUGGCCCAAUAAAAUGUUCAAGAUCUCAGCCCAAUUUUUAUAACAAUUCAUUAGAUAUUGACAAAGACUUUUACAAUGUAAACAAGAGAAAUGCUAAAAAGACCCUUUAAUUGAAAAUUUUACUUUUUGUUAUUUUACUGUUUAACGUUAAUUUUUAUAUCAAUAUUAUAAAAUAUUAUGUCAAAACAUGAGAUGAUAGCGAGUCCAUAAAUAGUCUCGCUUUUGAAAAAAUUUCUUUAGCAUUUACUAGUUAGUUUCACCCAAUUUUAUUUGGAACGAGAUAAAUUUGGAGGCAGAUUGUCUGCUUUCCUGUUUGGAUGCCCUUCUCAUUCCCUUCUAUUUAUGCGGUCACGGUUAAGUCACGUUAACAUUUUAUAUUCUUAUUGCUUUUUGUCUUAUUAUCUCUAUAAAAAAAAUUGAUAUAAAAUGUUGACAUGGCUUAACCGUGACCGCAUAAAUAAAAGAGGAUGGGAAUAUCACUCAAAUAGAAGGGCAGACAAUCUGCCUCUGAUAAAUUUAGCAGUACCUCCUAAGCUUACCACUUUCCUCUUUCCAAUUAUAUCCCUCCACUUUUAACUGAGCUAUGAAAUCAUGGACUUUUUAAUCGUAUGAUUUCUCCUAUCGUUCUGUAAGUCUCAAAUUAUGUUCUUGCAAUGAAGUAGAAAGUGUGGAACUACAAUUUUCUUCCGUAAUUUGGACCAUUGAGUAGUUUUGAAAAUGGACGGUGAAGUUGACUCUAAAAAAUCAAAGUAUUUAAUAGUCUAAACUAACAAAAUAUGUGAUACUUAUGAUUGUUUGCAAAAAAAAUGACAUAUUUUGAAAGUUAAAAGAGAUCAAAGCUAAGGGUGCAUUUUUGCUCAUUCAAGUGGUUGUAAUGUUAACCAUCCUACUUAUUACUAUUAAAUGAGUUUAAAUUUUAAGAUUUUUAUCUAUCCACUACACAAAUCUUGAAAUUUAAACUCAUCUAAUAAUAAAAAAUAAAAUGAUGAAUUUCACCAUUACUUAAGCGUGAUGGGUACAAAUAUUUUCCAAAACUAAAUUAAAAUUGAAUCAACUAAUCCUUUUGAGUUCGUAUAAUGGAAGAACUCAUUUCAACGGCUAUUGCUCAUGGUGGCACUCAAGGGCCAAAGACUGGUUGGUCCAAAUGUCCAAUAGCCUAAGAAAUAAUUAAAGAAUCACACAUUGGUCUGCGCAACACCAACUUUCUCUCACUCUCAUUAAUUUAUGAUGUGUACUCCCAACAACUUCACUCCACUCGAAAUUAAAUUAAUCGACCAAAUUUUUUGAAAAAUUGGACAAAGAUAUGAUCUUUCCAACUAUUUUCAACAAACCCACCCAAGCAGAUUUACAAGAUGAGAUCAAAUCACCUAGUACUAGUACUUCUGCAACUUUUAUUCAUCUUCUCCAUUAGUCUAGCAAAUGCCAAGUCCACCAUAGAACCAUGUUCCUCCGCAGACUCCUGCUCCUCCCUCCUCUCCUACAUCCUCCCAUGGGACUCGAAACUCUCCGAAAUCGCCUUCCGCUUCCAACUAAACGUCUUCGACGUCCUGGCCGCCAACUCCAUCAACUUAACCAUUCCGUUCCUUGGAAACCAAAUUAUGAAAGCGAAAACCCUACUAAAGAUUCCCAUUUCGUGUCCAUGCGUGGACGGCAUCAGGAAGUCCGUUUUAACCUAUACCGUCCACGCGGUGGACACGUUGGAUCUGAUAGCGGAAGGGUACAGCGGGCUCGUGAGCGCCGAGCAGAUUAGGACUGUGAACGGGAUAGGCGCCAAGAAUCCGUUGACGGGCGGGCAGAGCGUUUGGUGCAGUUGCCAUGCACGUGCUUUAAUAAUAGUAACAACGGGGUUGCUUCUGUGUACAUGUCGUAUGUGGUGCAGAGUGGGGAGAGCUUGAGCGGCAUUGGCGGAGAGUUUGGAGCGACUGUGAUGGAGUUGGUGAGCAUCAAUGGGCUCGAUCAACCGUUGGUUGAUCCUGGUGACAUAUUGGCUAUUCCAAUUUCAGGUUAGUAGAAUUUCAAUGAAAUUGGUUUUUAAUACAAGCGAUAAUAUGUAAUACAGAGAAUUGAACUUAAGACUUCAAAUGCAAAGAUAAUUGUUACAACGAUGUCAUUCCAAUUUUUAUUGAAAUUUAGGGAGUGUAUUCAAUUGAGAAUUUGAGAGAUUUUAAUGGACUUACAAAUCCAUAGAUUUUUAUGAAGUCUGUGUUUGUUGGUUGUUAAGAUUUAAUUAAUUUAUAAGGAAGAAAGGUAGGUUGGUGAAUUUAUGUGAUUAUGUACAUAAUUAAUUUGGCGAGUAAUGUAAUUAUGUACUUGCUGGUCAAAGAUGUUCUUUGAGUUCUGCAUGUGUUUGGUUUUGAAGCUAUCAAGAGGAGAAUCUAUGUUUUGGUUAAUGUGGCAUAGUACAAUAAGUUAAAGAAAUGAAUGAAUAAAUUUUGGUACUCCCUAUACCAACAGUGCUUAGAUAUGUUCACCAAAUAUAUUAACAUAUAGAAUUGAUUUGGGCAAGUCAUGAAUUAUUUUAAGUUUAUAGAAUGAUCGGUGUGAAAAGUAUUUACCCUCCUUCGUUUGUAUAAAAAAAGAGCGUCGGAUUUAUAUAUGCAACAUAAUCGAAGCUGCACCUACGUACGUACAUACCAAACAUAUAGAUAGAUUAGCUAAUUAAUUAAAUUAAUAUAGUGUCACGGUAUAUGCAGCAUGUUCAUCAGCAAAUUUGAACUGGUACAAUGAGAGCUUAAUAGUUCCAAAUGGUUCAUACGCCUUAACUGCCAACAACUGCAUAAAGUGCUUUUGCAGAUCAACCACUCUCAAGUAAGCAUGUUUAAAUUACCAGUAUAUCGUGCUCACAAUUUUCUACAUGUUAAAAGCCUGGCAUAUUGUACAUUAAUUUGUACUGAGCUGACUAUCUUGGUUGGUCAUCAGCUUGCAGUGUUCCCCAUCUGGCAUUGUCCCCUCAUGCUCUCACCUGCAAUGCAAAGACUCCGAUGUCUUCAUCGGCGAUGUGAUAACCAAACCAACAGCAUUAGGUUGUAAUGUCAGCACAUGUGUGUACCGAGGCCACAAUGGCCGCAAGAUUUUCAGGAGGUAAGAGCAAGGAGAAAGUCUUACCUAAUAACGCUUGUAUGGGGCACCAUUUACACAAAAAGUAGAUCCAGCUGCAAGUCGCAUGCACUAGCAAGACAAACCAUUGCAAUUGGAUAUUUAUUAGGGUGGUUUGCUAUCCAAACACUCAUUUUUACCUCCCACACACUCCUUUCAAUUUUCGGUUAUCGGAUCGAAUGAAUGAAAGAAGAUCAAAGAAUAGAAAUUAACAAGGAUUGUGUGAGAGAUAAAAAUGAAUGUGUUGAUAGCACCACCCUAUUUAUUAACACACAAGAACAAGAUUCUAGAGCCAAUUUAACAAUUACUUGUAUUACUUUUUAACUAUAUCCUUUUCUUGCGCAGUUUGGAAAAUUCUUCUCAUGCCAAUUGCUCAGGUGACAAUUACUAAAACCUAUUUAUUUUUCUUUGAUGAUUAUUAUUAUUUUGUUUCUGUUUACUGUAAAAACCUGGCUGUGCAGAUGUACAAGAUUACAGCGCAGUGUCACCAGAGCAAUCUUCUAAUCCUGUAAUCCCAUAUAUAUCUUUACCUCCAUCAGCAUCACCAUCUUCUUAUCCACCCAUGGGAAUUGGUGCUUAUGGACCUACGAGUACACACAACCCCAAUAUCUCUAAUCACAGCAGAUUGCUUACUCAAUCUUCAUACUACAUUUUGUUGGUUGUCCUUGCCCUCUACUUUUUCUUGUGAUAAAAUUAAUCGAUGCCAAUUCUAAAUGUCCCCAUGUAAACUUUUUGUUCUUUUGAUUCAUAUUUUUCAAUUAGAUGCUCAAUCCAACCAAUGAAAUGACAUAAAAUGUCAGAAGCAGCAACAUUUGCAAUGUUUUAGGUUACUGCCCCUUCUCAUUCGUAUGGUUUCAACUUUUAACCUAAUUUCUGUUUGUGCAUAUUUGGAUUUUACUACGGAUCAUAGUUACCCUAAUCCGUGCACGUAUGGUAGUAGCUCAGAGUUGUCAGCGGAGUUAUGCUCACAAAUCAGAAAUCUACACGAGCUUGACCCAUUAUAAAUUGGUAUGCGUUGGGGUCGUCUGAGCCAUUCCGCUAAGAAAACUUACACAUAAAUUUCAGCCCAAACUCUGUCCACAAAGUCCAAUUGUUCAUCUGAUCAUCAACUGCUUCUUCUUCAUGAGAAAAUAUGGUUUGUAACUAUGUUUAUUAUCCACCGCCAUUAGUAUUAGUAAUUUCUUUGUCACAUGUCAUGCGAUAUAGAAAUACUAGUGUGAAAUAAUAUCACUGAUUGCACCACAAAAAUCUUCCCUUUUUGUUAACCAAUAUCAAUGGAAGAUCUGUGAUCUACGAAGAACAGUUUGAGAGAGAGAGAGAGAGAGAGAGAGAGAGAGAGAGAGAGAGAGAGAGAGUGAGUGAAGAAAGAAGUUGUAUAUGAUUUUCCUUAAUCUCCAAGUAAUGCAAUGUACAUCACUAUUUAUACACAACAAACUUAACUACCUAAUUAUCCCAUAGCUCCUAUUCUUGUGACAAGUGUAACAAUCCUACACUCACUAACUCAUAUUCUAACAUCCCCCCGCAAUCUCUUGCUUUGAUAAGCUAAGCAUGAGAUUCUCACAAUGUGUUCGAAACAAAGGAGCACUCAAUCCCUUGGUCAAGAUAUCUGCAAACUGUUCUCUGGAGGAAACACUUGGCCACUCGUUCCCUAACAAAAUGCACAUCGAUUUCAAUAUGUUUGGUCUUUUGAUGCUGAACCAAAUUAAAUGAAAGAGCAAUAAUGGAGAGAUUGUCACAAAACAAUACUAGAGCUUGAGAUAUAGGAACAUGCAGAAACACAAGUAAUUGUUUGAUCCAAUCGAGUUCUGCAGAAGUAGUAGACAAAGCAUGAUAUUCGGCCUCAGUAGAGGACCUGGAAACAGUUUGUUGUUUCUUAGAAGACCAAGACACAAGAUUUGGUCCAAGAAAAAACAACGAACCCAGUAGUGGAGAGAUUGUCACAAAACAAUACUAGAGCUUGAGAUAUAGGAACAUGCUGAAACACAAGUAAUUGUUUGAUCCAAUCGAGUUCUGCAGAAGUAGUAGACAAAGCAUGAUAUUAUGCCUCAGUAGAGGACCUGGAAACAAUUUGUUGUUUCUUAGAAGACCAAGACACAGGAUUUGGUCCAAGAAAAAACAACGAACCCAGUAGUGGAUCGUUGAUCAUUUGGGUCUCCUGCCCAAUCAGCAUCACUAUGUUAGAUUCAAAGCUCCUAUAUGAUAGUUGAUUCCCAAGUGCAAUGUGCCCUGUAAGUACCUGAGUAUGCGCUUCACAGCUGUGAAAUGAGCAACCAUUAGAUUCUGCAUAAACUGGCAAACCUGAUGCAAAGAGAAGGCAAUAGCAGGCCUGGUAAAAGUAAGGUACUGUAAUGCCCCCACAAUGCUUCUAUACAACUUAGGAUUUCCAUACGGCUGACCAUCAUCCUUAAGCAAUCUGUUAUAGGGUAGACAUGGAGUAUCACAAGAUUUAGACUUAUUCAUUUCUGUCUUGAGUAACAAAUCCUGAACAUAUUUGGCCUGAGACAGAAAUAACCCAGUUUUGGUUUUGGAAAUUUGAAUUCCCAGAAAAUAAUGCAAAUCGCCUAAGUCUUUGAUCUCAAACUCAAUUGUGAGAGAGUGAAUAACAUCCUGAAUAGCAUUGGAUGCACUGCCAGUAAUAAUGGUGUCACCAACAUACACCAAUAGGAUAACAAUCUCAUAAUGCACUUGUUUCACAAAUAAGGAAGAAUCAGAGUAUGUAGAUUUGAAUCCCAGUGUUGGUAGAAAUGAAGUAAACCUUUCAUUCCAAGCUCUGGGAGCUUGUUUUAACUCAUAUAAAGAUUUAUGAAGUUUGCAGACCAAAUGUGGAUGAUUGGGAUCCACAAAUCCAAGAGGUUGAACCAUAUAUACUUCUUCUUGGAUAAUUCCAUGCAGAAAUGCAUUCUUGACAUCCAACUGCCUUAAACUCCAACCAAAGUGUGCUGCAAGGGCCAAAACAAUUCUGACAGUAGUUGGCUUGACAACAUGACUAAAAGUUUCUCCAUAAUCUUGACCUGGUUCUUGACUGAAGCCCUUAGGCACUAACCUAGCUUUAUGUCUAGCAAUAGAGCCAUCGGCAUGCUUUUUAAUCUUAAAUAUCCACUUACACCCGACUAAAUUUUUAUUUGCAAGUAAUGACACCAAACUCCAUGUGCCCUAAGAAUGAAGCGCAUCAAUUUCUUCUGUCAUAACUUUCAUCCAAACAAGAACUGUUAAUGCAUUUUUGUAAUUAAGAGGCUCAACCAAAGACAAAUCAACACCACCAGAUUCUUGUAGAGUAGUCAACAAAGCAUUCUUCUUCACAAUUCCACUUUUGCUUCUAGUUUGCAUGGGAUGCAAAUUCAUAGGAGGAAUCUCCAGUACUACUUGCAAAACUUCAGGUUGAAAUGAAGAACCUUGAUGCAUAUGAACAGAUGAUAUUGCUUCAGCAUUGGACUCAAGUACCACAGGGACUGAGGGAGAAGAUUCAGAUGUACCAGUAAUGGACAAAGGUGAGGGUUGGACAAAUGGAGAAGAUAAGGAUGACAUGGGUGAUGGUUGUGGUGUUGGAAGAGAAGACUCAAUAGAAUUACUAAGGGUAUGAGUUGUAUCAAUAGUGGAAGGGACAUGAGACACAGGUAGAACAACAACAUUAGUGUUUGUGAAGGUAGGCAAAAAAGAUGGAGGUUGAGACAUCACAGAAGGUGUAUGGGAGGACUUGGAAAUGGAUAAGUCUGGAAAUGGAUAAUCAUGUUCAUCAAAUAUAACAUGCCUAGAAAUGUAGGUUAUGUUUCCAGAUACAUCAUAACAAAUAUACCCUUUGUACUGUGAAGCAUAACCUAAAAACACACAUUUAAUGGUUUUGGGUUGAAGUUUGGUACUGAGAUAUGGUUUUAACAAGGGAUAGCAGGCACAACCAAAUAUUCUCAAAUGGGAAAUUUGUGGAACAACUCCAAAUAGAACUUCAAAGGAAGACUUAUCAAGGAGAACGGAUGUGGGCAUUCGAUUAAUCAGGUAUGAUGUAGUUUGGACAACAUAGGACCAGAAAUAGGAAGGUAACUUAGCAUUCUGCAAUAAAGGGAUUGAGGUUUCUAUAAGAUGCCUAUGUUUUCUCUCAGCCAACCCAUUUUGUUCAGGAGUAUAGGGACAUGAUUUCUGAUGAAGGAUACCCUUAUCUUUAAGAAAAGAUUGAAACUGUUUGCUAAUAUACUUUCCCCCCCCCCAUUACUUUGGAAAAUCUGAACACGACUUGAGAACUGAGUUUGAACAUAGUUAUAAAAUGUAACAAACACAGAGAACAAGUCAUUUUUAUUGAUUAAUGGAAAUAACCAAUAGGGCCUUGUACAUUCAUCAACGAAAAUCACAUAGUACCUAUAUCCAUCUUUGGAAAUACAAGGAGAAUGACCCCAAAGGUCACUAUGUAUGGUGUGAAAAGGUUGGACAAACUUAUUGACACUGUGGUGAAAAGGAAGUUUACAAAACUUACCUUAUAGACGACUGUGACAUAUGACUGGUGAAGAGACCUGUUUACAUUGGAUAUGAGCUUUAUGCAACAUCAAUGUAACAAUUUUAUUUGUAGGGUGACCUAGUCUAUGAUGCCAAGUAGAAGAUAGUGCUAGCUGACCAAUAUAUGCUUGAGGUUGUUGUGUUGUAUUUUUUAAGAUAGAUGGAGAAGAUGCAAGAGGAAUGGGAUAUAGUCCAUUACUGCACAACCCUUUGUAGAGAAUCCUCCCUAUGGCCUUGUCCUGAAUCCAAAAGCAAAACGUGUCAAAAAUUAGCCAGCAGGUGUUAUCCAAACAGAUCCGAUGUACUGACAACAAGUUUUGGUACACAAAUGAUAGAAUUCAAAGUUAUUGGUUUCACUCUGGUGUUAAUCAGAAUUGACCAAUGUGUGAUACUAACAAACCUUCACCAUUUGCUGUUUGAAUCGUUUCAUUGGAUGGAUAAGGAGUCGCCAAAGACAAGUUAGACAGAUCUGCAGUCAUAUGGUUUGUGGCACCAGAGUCAGUAAGCCAGACUUGAGGGAGGCCUUAAGAGGUGGAUGCCUGAGAUGGUUGAACUGCAGUAUACAUAGCAUGCAUAGAAGAUGGUUGAGAUUGGAAAUGUUGAGAAGAAGUUCCAUAAGUCUGAGAAGACAUCGGAGGAUAACUCUGAUAGGAACCACCACCAAUAUAAUUUGGACCUUUGUCAUUAUAAAAACAGUACCAUGUGGAAAGAUUUGUUUUGCCACAGAUGUGACAUUUGGAUCUCUCAGGAGGUUUAGAACCACAAAAUGGUGCAGUAUGACCUUCACUGUUGCACAAUUGGCAUGUAGGAAUAAGAGGGGCAGAUGGAGAAGAAUAGUAUUGACCUGGAGAUUGACCAAGAACACCAGGGGUUGGUGUAGGCAAAACAUGAGUCUGUGUGUAAAGUUGAGGUCUUGAGUUAAAUGACCUCUGACCUUAAUUAAAUUUUCCCUUGCCUUUGUUCCUAUUAAAAGACUUGUAGCCACCAUUAGGUUAGGAAGAUUGACCAUGAGAACCAGUAGACUGCUGAAGUAAUGGGGCUUAAGACAUAGGAGGUCCAGAGUUAGCAGCCAUAGUAGUGGGAUAUGAAGGAGCAACAGAAACAUUAUCCACAAUACUUUUUUUUCAGCCAAUAAUUGGGAUCGAAACUUAAGGGAAAUCACACUUUCUCUACCCCUAACCACACAUCGGAAGGUAUUAUACUCAGGAGGGAGUCCAUUCAAGGCUAGAAUUACAAUGUCUUCAUCAGCAAAAUAAACCCCUGCAGCUGCCAAGUAAUCUCUAGCCUCUUUGAUUUUAUGUAAAUACUGACUGACAUUAUCAGACCCUUUUCUGGUGUUCUACAAAUUAGACUUCAUUUGAAAUAUGCUAGUUCUUGACACAAUGGAAAAUUGUUCUUUAAGACGAACCCAAAGUUCUUGGGAGCUUUGGUUACCAAUCGCACAAGACAUAGCAACCGGAGACAAAGUCGCAGUAAUAAGUUGCAUAACAGUCCUAUCAUGCAUUUUCCAUAUGGAGCAACUUAUCACAUUUCUUAGAAGUAGAAGAGUCAGAAGAAUUGAUACCAGAAGCAGCAGAGACAUUGGGCACAGGGUAGUGAUUGGAUCCAUCAACAAAUCCCAUAAUGCCAUUGCUUUCCAGCAUGAGUUGCAUCUGAAAAUGCCAAUUCAGGUAGUUGGAAUCAUCUAAUUUCACAUUCACGGACGUGGAGAUAGUAGAAAUGAGGGACGUAAUUGGAGAUUGAAUAAUCGUAAGUUGAGCAGCAGUCACUAUUGUUGCAGAAAACAACCAAAUCAGAUCACUGUGCAAGAAAAAACUUCACUGAGAACAAAUCGCAAACACUUGGAAUGAACACGACAGAGAGAUAUCAAGGAAAGAUCGACCACCACACAAGAUCGAGCCAAACCCUAGACAAUGUAGGUGCACGAAGACGAAGAAAUCCUUGAGAAUCAAGAAACAGAAAUCAGAGGCAGCCGAAGACAGAAAUCGAAAGCAGCGAAAGCAAGAAGAUGGAUCGACGUAUCAUGCGCAAGCAUCAUAGGCGAUUGAUACCAUGUUAACCAAUAUCAAUGGAAGAUAUGUGAUCUACGAAGAACAUUUUUAGAGAGAGAGAGAGAGAGAGAGAGAGAGAGAGAGAGAGAGAGAGAGAGAGAGAAGAAAGAAGUUGUAUAUGAUUUUCCUUAAUCUCCAAGUAAUGCAAUGUACAUCACUAUUUAUACACAACAGACUUAACUACCUAAUCAUCCCACAUCUCUUAUUCUUGUGACAAGUGUAACAAUCCUACACUCACUAACUCAUACUUUAACACUUUUCACAGCACAAUUUCGAUUUUUUUUUUAAAUUUCGGUUUUUCUCUUUUAACCAAACCUGGGUUGUUAUAAUCAACAUAUAAAACCUAUCCCAAACCAAAUUAGGGACUGAUUGUUCCUGCAGGCUGCAGUGUGUUAGAGACGUUAUAAAUCUCCACCAUGAACAUAUGUAUGUGGAGUUCAGUUCCCUCACCAGUACUGGUUACUCAUUCUUAUCCCCAGCCAAAAGCUAGCUAACGUGGCACCUAUCUCUUCUUAGAGCACCCAGAUGUCGAAAGCGAACUCGAUCCCACCAUUUCAUCAGUUACCUAGAUUUCAAGCCAUCAUGGUCUAACUGACAAUUACAUAAUGCUGCGUUUGUUGGACAUGAUUUAUGUAUCAUGUAUGGAUGAUAAACUUACAUGACAGUAUGUUUAAUAUGUGUGGAACCUGUCACUCUUCUUCCCUUGUGAUAUCAAAUCGAUCAAUACGUUUCAUAAUAAGUUUGAUUACAUCUAUGGAAAUUCGAUUUAUAGGGCUCAGUGGCCGGCACAAUUUGAGUUUCAGAGAAUUAAGACUUAAGUUGAGUUUUAAAAGAUUAAGUGAGACUUGAGACUCGAGUUAAGUUUCAGCCUUUUACAAUGAAAACCAUAAAUGCCACAAUAGCAAAGUUUGGAUAUGACAUGGGCAAUUUUUGUUUGUUUGUUUUAAUUUAUGGUUUUGUACAACUUUUGUAGCAUUCUAGCCCAUAACAAGAUUGGGUUUGCACAGAAAUUUAAUGAAAUUUCGUCCUGGCUUGACUCCAACUGUAAACUUGUCUUGAUAGCAAAUUUUCAGCAAAAUAUUGACAAAAUUCUAUCUUCUUAUUACGAAAUUAUCGCACACAAGUAGUAAAUGUAGAUGUGUACAUGUUACCUUUCUAUUUUUGUGCACUUGAGCGUGUGAAACAUACUCAAGGGACCAAAGUCAAUCAACUUGCUGCUAAUCAACGAUUGUGGGUGGUGACACAAUAAGGUGGAUGCAAUUUGCGAAAAAAUGGUUGGUUUAGUGGGUAAUACCUUCGAAUUUAUCUCUUGAUUCGUAGUUUGGAGUUCUCAUAGCCCACUCGUUAGUGCUAAAGCUGCUCCUUAGCGCAUACAGCCGUUCGUUGGUGCUAAACCUACUCUUUAGUUAGCGCACAUAGUACGUGGUGAGACUUAAGCUUAUGCCUGGAUAUAAGUCCAGUGAGAAUAACAACUUGAUCAUGACUUAUGGGUGAAAAAUUAACAAGAGCUUUAAUUCUCUCUUAAGUCUUAAGUUCUUAACUAGAAAAAGAUAUUUUUGUAUUUAUCACAUGAGAGAUUGUAAUAUUACUGUUUUUAUGACUCAGAUUCGUUUACCAAUAGAAGUAAAAACCUAGAUAUCUAAAUUUAGCAAAUGGCUCCGCAGUAAGUUCAUCAUUUGGAGAGAACCACGUUCACAUAGUGGUUUAGGGUGAGACUGAGAGAUGGGAGCCACAAGAGAGUUGAAAGAAACCCUAAGAGGAGGGGCGGGGACCAAUAACAAGUUUCUACAUAAACCAACAAAAUAGUCUCUCUCAUUUUUCUCCCACAACACACAUGCUACAUACACACGCAAUUGCGGCCUUCCCUAACUCUAGUUUGGCCCACAUGGAUCCCUCAGUUUGACUUACAACCAAUAAGAAUUCAGAGAAACAGAUCAAGUUGAGAAGCUUAGCCAAUAAGCAGUGAGAUACGACCUCCUUGUGGGUCCCAAUAAGCUUUAGCAACAUCCUCUCCUCUCUUCCUAAUGUAGCAAAGCAAAGCAAACCACCAAAAAAACUGCAUGGCAACGAAGGUAAGAGUAAAAGCGCUGCAGUGGGUCUUCCUUUCACUCUCACAGUCUUCUCCCAGUCCCCACACUAUAAUUAUUGAACCAUUUGGGCCUAAAUAAAUAUGUGAAGCCACCUCAAUAUUCCGUGUUCAUGAGCUGUGACUACUUACAACAAAAGCACUUUGUUCACCUCAACAUUACUCCUUCUGAAUUCAGUUGUGACUUCUAACAAAAGUAAUUGUUCAUCGGUUUGAUUCUUGCUAGAUUUUAUCAAACACUUUGCUGUUUGCUGCUGCUGCUGCUGCAGUAUGAUCACGGAUAAGAAAGCUGCAAAUGCAAUGGGAGGCAACACAUCUCGAGCUUGCGAUAGCUGUUUGGUGAAACGGGCACGAUGGUUUUGUGCUGCUGAUGAUGCUUUUCUUUGCCAAAGAUGUGAUGCCUCGGUGCACUCGGCGAACCAGUUAGCAAGCAGACACGAGAGGGUUCGGCUCCAAGGUUCAUCUUUCAAGGCCAAUGCAUCGGUGCAGCUGAUUGCGGACCAAGCUGCACCGGCUUGGCACAAGGGGUUCAAGCGCAAGGCGCGAACCCCUCGCCACAACAACAAGCCUGGAUUCGUGGCCAAAGAUGAGCAAGAGAAAGUAGGGCUACACCCUCCUCUACCUUUUGUUCCGGAAAUCGGGUGCCAAGAAGCAAAUUUGAUGGAGGAUGAGGAAAAUGAAGAUCUAGAGCAGCUUCUUUAUAGGGUUCCAAUUUAUGACCCUUUUGCAGCCGAGCUUUGCAAUAUUUCGUCAAGUGAUCAGGUUGGGAACAAUACUGGUGCUAUUGAUCUCGAUGCCGAAGAGAUUGAGAUCAGAAAUACGGGAAAUGACUUGGACAAUUUGGGAGGGUUUCUACGGUCGGAUAUGGAGCUGGCGGAGUUUGCUGCUGAUGUGGAGAACCUGCUUGGAGGGGGACUAGAUGAGGAUUGUAGUGACAUCAAAGGAGUCCUGGGGCUAUUGGACGAGGGUAAAGAAGUGAAGGUUGAAGAGGAAGUUGAAGGGAUAGAAUUUAAUCCUUCGAUCUUGGAUUGGAGCUUGUAUUACGAUCAGUCAUCAGCUGUACCGGUACUAAUGGGAAGUGAGGAGGACAGGGAGGAAGAGGAGAAGGUAGUCCUGCUCAUGGGGGCUCAGAGUAGUGAUGAGAUUGGAUUCAUGGAGAACAAGCAAAUAGUGAUGAAGAGGAAGAACAUAUGUUUGAAGCUAGAUUAUGAGGCAGUCAUCACUGCCUGGGCAAGCCAAGGCUCUCAAUGGACGACUGGAACUCGACCGGAGCUCAACGCUGACGAAGGCUGGCUAGACUGCAUGGUAACAAUACUACUAUCUCUCUCUCUCUCUCUCUCUCUCUCUCUCUCUCUCUCUCUCUCCAUUUUCUGGUCCUACUGAUCUACUAGACUACUGGCCAACAAAGGCAUACUCAUUUGAAUCACUCGGUGCACUCUUCUGCCUGUGAUUACUGUCUACUGAAAAGAGUAAAAACAAAAAUCAUGUCCAUAUGAUUACAUAUAUAUAAUUACAUCAAAUCCGCUAUACUUUUUUAAUUUACUCCGUAAGGAUGAUUGCCUAUAUAAUUAAAAUCUAUCUAGCUAACUUGUGUUAAGUAAGACUAUUAAGCUCGCACAAUUUUUACAAAACCUAUAAUUAGGUUUUUUUCUUUCGAUCAAACCUAAUUAGGGUUAUGUAUUAUAUGGUUAUUGCAGGGUAUGUGGCCUACAGAAAUUCAUCAACCACAUGGAGAUUCAGCAGGAUGUGUAAGUCGAGGAAAAGGCGAUGACCCGGGAAGAGAAGCAAGAGUUUCUAGGUACAGAGAGAAGCGAAGGACGCGACUGUUUUCGAAGAAGAUAAGAUACGAAGUUAGGAAGCUGAACGCGGAGAAGCGGCCUAGAAUGAAAGGUCGAUUCGUUAAGAGGACAACGUCCAGCUUUGGUGGGGUGGGAAGUAGUAGUAGUAAUGCUCCUGCGGCUGCAUUUCCCUACCUCAUGAUCAAUAAAUAACCGUACGUAGCUGUAGCUCUCGUGAUGAUUUUCACGAACAUCCCAAUUUUGCUUGUUUUAAUUUCAUGGCAAAAUUGGACUGACACUGAUGUAUAUGCAAUGUGCCAUAUAUAUAGCCUGCAUUUGUGCGAUAAAUGAAGCAAGUUGGUAGCUUAUAACUAACACAGUUAGUCCAUCUCUCUCACUACCAAUUUAUUAAAAGGCGAGGGCAGAGGCGUAGGCGUCCCAUGAAUAGCCCCGCUUAGGCGUGAAGCGUGAGGCGAAGCCUCAUGGUACCUAAAAUUUUAAUAUAUUAUUAUAACUAAAUCAAAGAUAAUAUAAUUAUCUUUAUAAAAUAUAAUUCUUUAUAAAAUAUAAUACUUUGUAAAACAAAUAUAAUUAUAACUAAAUCAAGGAUAAUAUUGUCUUCCUCAUUACUAAUCUUGUUGUACUUAGGAACUAUGUCAUAAAGUCUUAAAAUGUUAUAAUUAUUUAUUUUAUUGUAAGCAAUUAUAGAGAACUUCAAGAAAAAUAAGGGUGAGUGUCCACAAUUAUAGAGAAUUUUAAGGAAAAUAAAGGUUGAACGUCACAAUUAUAGGAAAAUUCAAAAGGAAAUAAAGAUUGGGUGGAGGGGAAUUUAAAAUGAAAUAAAGGUUGAGUGAGCAAUUAUAGGGAAAUUCAAAAGGAAAUAAGGGAGCAUUUUUGCUCACCACCAUUUAGUGUGGUGUAUGCUUACCACCCUAUUAAUUACCGUUAGAUGAGUUUGAAUUUUGAGAUUCGUGUAGUGGAUAAGCACAAAUCUCAAAAUUCAAACUCAUCUAACGGUGAUAAAUAAGGUGGUGAACAUACACCACUCUAAAUGGUGGUGAGCAAAAAUACACCCAGGAAAUAAAGGUUGGGUGGAGCAAUUAUAGGGUAAAAGGAAAUAAAGGCUUAGUGGAGCAAUUAUUAUAGGAAAUUUAAAGGAAAAUAAAGGAUGAGUGGAGUAGUUAUAGGAAUUUUGAAGAGAAAUAAAACUUUGCUAAUUAAAAAUAGGAUUUGGGGAGAGAAACUAUCUCUUCCUUCUUUGUUGAAACUUGAAGUUUCCUGCAUUUUAGAAACAACCAUAGAUUUCGAAGGAAAAAAAUGCCCAAGUUGAACGCCUAGGCGUGCCUCAGCUGCCUAGGCAUGCCCUAACGCACCCUACACACACCCCCACAAAAUAAAGGCGAAAACCCAGCCGCCCAACCUCAAAGGCCGCCUAGGCCCUCCCGAGAUGAGUUUUUUUAAACAUUGCUCACUACUACUCAUAACUAGCUAGUACUUCAAAUUCGAAGCUUUUACUGAACAAAGUCAGAAGAGCUCCCUCUCUCACAUUAACCAAUAUCAAUUUUGAAAUUGUGUGUGCUAAUUGAUGCAUGUAUAGCUAACAACUGGUUGGCAAUAGCUACUACUAUCUUAGACUUGAGUAACAAUAUUCAUGUUUUCUUAAUUUACGUAAGAGUAAAUUUUUAGAAAUCCCCCCGAAGUUAUACGUACUUCACUUCUUAUUACCUUUACGUGUCGGUGUGCACAUGCCUUUAUAUAAUGGCAAUUUGGAUGAAAUGUGAAGAAAAUAGACAGUAUGGGCUACAAUCAUUCUUUUGAGUCCUUAACUUACUAAAAACAAAAGUUCAAAGAGUAAAUCAGAAAGCAAAUACAAGUUCAUGGAGUAUUUUGGCAAUUUACUUAACAAUGUUAGAGAUAAUGUACACAUAGGAUGGUGACACUUGUAAACAGAUUAAGAGAGUUAGUUAUAGUUGUUAAGAAUAUGCAAAUGUAAGUAGGGUGUAGUAUAUAUACUCUUAUAGUGUAAUAGCUUGGUGAUUAAGAAAAGAAAUAGAAAUAUCUUUCUCUCUCUAUGAAUCUCUUUCUCUGACUUCUCUCUCUAAGAUUACUGUCUGUGAUUCUCUUCUUCUUAGUUUACAUGGUAUCAAUCGCCAUUUUCGCUCUUGCUGUUUUCUUCGAUCCUUCGGCUGCUUCCGCUCAUCUUCUCACUAUGUGAUUCUUUCUCGUCCUCGACGUCGAUUCUUUUCUGUAUGCUUGGACGUAUUCUGGUAUUCUUCUUCGUCUUCUGUGAUUUCUAAGGUUCUUGGUGUUUCUUGAUCUUCUUGCAUCGGUGUUUCCAGAGUGUGCACACCAGGUGUUUGUGAUAUUUCCUCUCUUGGAUUUCUAUCUUCUUUCUGUAUAAAUGGUGUCUGCAUCUCAAUUACAACUCCUUCAGUCGCCUAUUACUGCUCUCAUUUCUACUAUUUCAACAUCUAUCAAUGUUAAGCUUGAUGAUUCGAAUUAUCUUAAUUGGCAUUUCCAAAUGCAAUUGUUACUGGAAAGUAAUGGAAUCAUGGGGUUUGUUGAUGGUUCAACACCCUGUCCUGCUCGGUUUGCUCCUAAUUCUGGUGAUUCUGGAGUUAAUUCUGCUACUUCCUCCUCUGGUUUAGAAACAGAUGAAUAUACUGUUUGGAAAUUACAUGAUCGCGCACUUAUGCAGCUUGUUACUGCCACCUUGUCCCCAGUAGCUAUGUCAUGUGCAAUUGGUAGUGCUAGUUCUCGGGAGUUGUGGACUCGGCUUAAGGAACAGUUUUCUACUGUUUCCAAGACCAGUAUUUUUCAGAUGAAGUCCAAUCUUCAAACCAUUAAAAAGGGGUCAGAUUCAGUCACUCGGUAUUUACAGAAGAUCAAAGAAGCAAGGGAUUAUUUGUCUGCUGCUAGUGUGUUUCUUGAUGAUGAAGACAUUAUUAUUUUGGCUCUUAAUGGUUUGCCUCCAGAGUAUAAUACAUUCUGCACGGUUGUUCGAGGCCGAGAAAGUGUUAUGACUAUGAAAGAGUUUCGGACUCAACUCCUUGCUGAAGAAGAAAUUGUUGAUAGUCAUUCUCAUGUUCCUUUUCUGUCUGCGAUGGUUGUCAAUAAUACCUCAUCCCCUGUGCACAAAGGUUCUAAUCAGGCAUUUAACUCUGGCGGUGGUCAUUCCUUUCAUCAUACUGGGGGUCAGUCCUAUGGUGUUUCAGGAGGUUUCAAGCCGUAUGUUCACAAGAACAAAGGGAAGGGCAAGUUCAAUGGAGGUCAGCGAUACUACACUCCUCGGCCAAUGUAUCAUACACAAACCCAUGUCUUCCCUACACCUACUCCUGGUGUUCUUGGUUCGUCGCCCUCAGCACCUCUAUUGCCGACUUGUCAAUUGUGUAAUGCUGAAGGUCACACUGCUCCUUAUUGUUACAAUAAGUCUUCUGAUCGCCAACAGUGUCAAAUCUGUGGCAAGUUCAAUCAUACAACUUGGUAUUGUUUUUACAAUGAAAAAGGGCCUUCCUAUAUGGGACCUCAGUAUUCUCAACGGGCAGGUACUCCAAUGCAGGGAUACUCUUACAAUGUGCCUCAUGUGUUGCAUGGCUCUCACCCCUCUUCCCUGCAAGCAAUGAAUACUGUAUUUUCUCCCACAUCACCAUCUUCUCAUAUGGGCUCUGUGGCAUCUACUUCUCAAUCACCACAAGUCUGGUUGACAGAUUCCGGUGCUACUACACAUAUGACAGCUGAUCUUAACAAUUUGUCCUUAGCUUCUCCAUAUCCUAGCAAUGAAGUUGUUCAAACUGCCAAUGGUGAAGGUUUGCGAGUUUCUCACAUUGGCAGUUCUAUUCUUAACACUUCUAAAAAUCCUAUCACAUUAAAUUCCAUUCUCUAUGUUCCUAAAUUGACACAGAAUUUAUUGUCAGUUCAUAAGUUGUGUUUGGACAACAAUUGCUGGCUAAUCUUUGAUGCAUUUUACUUCUGGAUUCAGGACAAGGUCACAGGGAGAAUCAUGUACAAGGCCCCGUGCAGUAAUGGACUCUAUCCUAUCCACUCACUCUCUACUAGCUUCCUACCUUCUCAAUCUUCACAUGUUGCUUUUCUUGGACAUCUUGUUGGUUCCAGUCUAUGGCAUACUAGGUUCGGACAUCCAUCCAAUAAUGUAGUUUCUUUACUUCUUAAACAAGCAAAUAUUCCAUGUAAUCAGGAUGUUGUCUCUCAUAUGUGUCAAAGUUGUCUCAAGGGUAAAUUCACACAGUUACCAUUUCCUUCCACUCAUGUCAAGUCUGUCAUACCAUUUCAAAUUGUUCACAGUGACCUUUGGGGUCCUGCACCAUGUACAUCCAUUGAUGGCUAUAAAUACUAUGUUACUCUCAUUGAUGAGUGCACUCGGUUUUGUUGGUUGUUUCCCUUAUCCAGUAAAUCUGAUUUCACUGAUGUUUUUGUUACCUUUUGUGCAUUUGUCUCCACUCAAUUCUCUACUUCUGUGAAAAUACUACAAACUGAUGGGGGGUGAAUAUAUUAGUAAUAAGCUCCACACUUUUCUGAAAUCCAAAGGUAUUGUACAUCAUAAAUCUUGUCCUUAUACACCUGAACAUAAUGGAUUAGCUGAGAGGAAACAUAGGCAUAUCAUUGAAACUACUGUCACUUUGUUACAACAUGCCACACUGCCUUCUCAAUUCUGGACCUUUGCUUGUCAAACAGCAAUUUACUUAAUCAAUAGGAUGCCAACUCCAGUUUUACAGAAUCAAUCUCCUUUUCAAGUUUUGUAUGGUCAAAAUCCUGUCAUUACUCACCUCCGUGUCUUUGGUUGUUCUUGCUAUCCUUUACUUAGACCCUACAACACUUCCAAACUUCAAGCUAAGACCACCAAGUGUGUUUUUCUGGGGUAUGCUUCCCAAUAUAAGGGUUAUAUUUGUUAUGAGGUGUCCAAAGCCAAGUUUUUUAUCUCCAGACAUGUUAUCUUUAAUGAGACUGAAUUUCCUUAUCUUAGUCUUCUUCAAUUGUCCAAACAAAAUAGUGUGUCCCAUGUCCCUUGUUCACCUUCAUCUUUUACACAUGUUCCUAACCAUCAGAAUGUUUUGGUGGUGCCUCUUCCUCUGGUUUCUUCCUUAACCUUUCCACCUGUCCCUCCAUCCCCUGACUCUAGUGUUGCUGUUCAUUCUCCACAUAUGGUUGCUUCACCUCCAUUUUCCUCCUUACCUUCUUCUUCAUCCAUUACUGCUCCAUCAAGUACUACUCCUUCUCUCCCUGUGGAUCAUGAGUUCAGCCCUGAUCGGUUACAAGUGGUGUUACCUAUUGCACCAUUGAAUAUGCAUCCUAUGCAGACCAGGAGUAAAAAUGGUAUAGUCAAACCCAAGGUGUUUUUCAGUUCUUUAGCGCCAUCUGGAGAUGUUGAUAUGUCUCUCAUUGAGCCAGUUUCUUAUAAGACCGCUAAGAAAUCCUCUGUGUGGUUGGCUGCUAUGAAGGAAGAGAUUGCUGCCCUGCACUCUCAAGGUACUUGGUCUCUUGUAUCUCUGCCCUCUCAGAAAAACUUAGUCGGCUGUAAAUGGAUCUUUAAAAUAAAGAAGAACUCAGAUGGUUCUAUUGCAAGACAUAAAGCUCGCUUAGUUGCAAAGGGCUUCAGUCAAGAGGAAGGAUUAGACUAUGGGGAGACAUUCAGUCCAGUGGUUAAGCCUACCACAGUAAGGCUUGUCCUGGCCUUAGCUGCUCAGUUUCAUUGGUCUUUACGGCAGCUUGAUGUCAAGAAUGCAUUUUUGCAUGGCAUACUGCAGGAGGAGGUUUACAUGGCACAACCUCCUGGUUUUGCAGACCCUGUGCAUCCUCAUUUUGUUUGCAAGUUACAUAAAUCUCAGUAUGGAUUGAAGCAAGCCCCCCGGGCCUGGAAUGAGAGAUUCACAGCUUUCCUUCCUUCUCUCGGGUUCAUCUCCACCUAUUCUGAUUCGUCUCUAUUUGUGAAGCAUGUUGGUUCUGAGAUAGUGAUUUUACUGCUUUACGUAGAUGACAUUAUCUUAACAGGGAAUGCUACAGCUGCUAUACAACAGGUCAUCCAGUCCCUUACUACUGAGUUUGACAUCAAGGAUUUGGGCACACUUCAUUAUUUUUUGGGCAUUCAAAUAUCCUGCACAGCAACCGGGAUGUUUUUAUCACAAACCAAGUACAUUCAAGACUUGUUACACAAGACUGAAAUGAGUGAUUGCAAACCGUGUGACACUUCAUGCUUACCUUAUAAUCGUUUACUGAAGGAUGAUGGAGUUCCAUUUUCAGAACCUGGGACAUACAGGAGUAUCGUUGGUGCCCUGCAGUACCUCACUUUCACUCGUCCUGACAUUGCAUUCUCAGUCCAUCAAGUAUCUCAAUUUCUGCAAACCCCUAUGGUGUCUCACUUCACUGCUGUCAAACGCAUUCUGCGUUAUUUGAAAGGCACCUUGUCUUCUGGCAUUACUUAUGCUGCUGGUGACGUUGGUUUAAAAGCUUUUAGUGAUGCCGACUGGGCUGGUGAUCCGAAUGACAGGCGCUCUACAACUGGGUUCGUUGUUUUCUUGGGCUCCAAUCCCAUCUCGUGGUCUUCUAAGAAACAACAAACAGUUUCUCGUUCGUCAACUGAAGCCGAAUAUCGAGCCAUGUCCUCCACUGCUGCUGAACUUGAUUGGAUUCAGCAACUUCUUACAUUCCUACACAUUCCUCUGUCUUGUGCUCCUGUGCUUUUCUGUGAUAACCUGUCCGCCAUUGCUCUUUCGUUCAAUCCCGUUCAACAUCAACGGACCAAGCAUAUUGAAAUUGAUGUUCAUUUUGUUCGUGAACGGAUUGCUCAAAAGAAGUUACUUGUGCAGUUUGUAUCUUCCGGAGAGCAGUUUGCCGAUAUCCUUACCAAAGGUCUUAGUGCUCCUCUCUUUCGGACUCAUUGUACCAAUCUCAUGCUUGGUUCUUCUCCCAUGCAUGAGUUUGAGGGGGGAUGUUAGAGAUAAUGUACACAUAGGAUGGUGACACUUGUAAACAGAUUAAGAGAGUUAGUUAUAGUUGUUAAGAAUAUGCAAAUGUAAGUAGGGUGUAGUAUAUAUACUCUUAUAGUGUAAUAGCUUGGUGAUUAAGAAAAGAAAUAGAAAUAUCUUUCUCUCUCUAUGAAUCUCUUUCUCUGACUUCUCUCUCUAAGAUUACUGUCUGUGAUUCUCUUCUUCUUAGUUUACAAACAAUACUCUUCUUGUUGAUAAUGAUAUUGUAGUUAACUUCUUUACAUCCACGUUUAAUCAAAUUUCGUAAUUAAAUAAGUCAAUUUCGUGGGUAAGUACCCUAAAAAGCUGUUGUGUCACUGGUACUAUUUUGAUUAGGGCAAAAUGUUCCACAUCCAUCACAUAAGUUGAAAAAGAGAAAUCACGAUUCAGAAACCAACUCACAGUACAAUAAUUUUUUUUUAUAGACAUUCUUUAGGGGCACGGUUAAUUUUGAUUCAUUUUACUGCCAACAAAAGUUAAAUUUGAAGAGAGAAAAGGGAAGAAAAAUUGACAAAACCUGGCCAAGUUGAUCAACAGAUUUCAGAAUUUGGCAUUCACCACUAUAAAUUUCAUGCAGUUGUUGGUAGAUUCGGUUAAUGCAAAUACAUAUCUAGGAAUAAGAAUUAGGGUUUCUUCCUACUAGCUAAGCAAUACCAAUAGGAAGACAAUCUUUUUUUGUCAGAUAUACUGCAUCAGUAGAGUCUUCUGGAAAAAUGAAAAAACGUGGUGGUGUUUUACAGGAGUGAAGGAGGGAGUGGUAUUGCACGUGGGUUAGGACCACCAGACAAAAUUGUCUCUAAAUUAUUUAUUAAAAAAAAAAAAAAAAAAAAAAACCCUUAAACUCUUAAAAAUUAUCAAUUUCAUUCCUUGCUUUGAAACUCUUAUUGUCACUCGAGUAAUAAUUUAAAGACUAAAUCAGCAGUUUACCUAGUUAUGUAUGAUACCCCUUUGGAUUCGUUCUUUAAUUUAAAUUUUUGAAAAAAAAAAUUUAGGCUUGUUUAAUAAUCAUUUAGUCUUUACCUCAUAAAAAAAAAAUCAUUUGGUUUUUUGUUUUUGGUUUUCAUUUGUUGUGUCAGUUAUAAAAAUUGAAAUACAUAGAUAAAAUGAUGGAUGAAAAAGAGUGGAUAUAGGGGAUGAUACAAAGAAAGACAAAAUAAAAUGUAAAUUAAAAAGAUAUAUAAAAUUGUUUUCAUUUUUUAAGAUUUUGUUUUUAUCCAUUCUUCUUCAUCUUUUCCCUCUUCCAUCACUUUUCGUGAUCUCUCCUUUUCAUUAUAUAAAACGCAAAAAGAGAAAAUCUAAAAUCCAAAAAUGAGAUAAUUAUCAAACAGGUCCUAAGAUUUUGAAUAAUUGAUUUGAGCAUCUGUAGUAUUUGCAGUGCCCAACCAUAGAUAACUCACUUUAGUGAAAGCAAUUGAAACAUCUUAAGCAGAAAUCGUACAUCAGUUACCAUUUUAGUAGUUCAGUCCUCCAUGAGCAAGGACUUUCAAAGCAAUCGAAUCAACCACCAAUCAUUUUCUCAAGUCAAGUAAUAUCCAAAAAUAAUAAUAAAAAAUAAAAAAUAUCAGUACAAUUUAUUAUAGUUUUGCAUACAUGGGAUGGGAUGUUUACUACUAGUAUAGUUUAAAAUAGAGCUUAUCAAGAUUUUAGACUAAUUUAUGUAAAAGUAUUCAAUUAUUUCCAUUACGUCUUCUUCUUAGACGUCUUCCAUAAAAAAAUUAUAGUGAUUAUAUAUCUUAAAUUGACAUCGACAAGUACACGAAGGUUUCUAUAUUAUUAUUAAGGGGAGGAUUUGAAACUAUUACAAUAAUUUAAGGGAUCAUAGGCAAUUUUGAACUCGAGAAGCAUGGGUGGAAAUCCAACACCCUUUCGCUAGGAUAUUGGACCACAUGCAAAGGUUUGUAUAUAUUCAAUUUGCAGACUUAUAUAGCUUGAAUGUUAACUAGCUAAUCAAUUUGUUAAGAGCGAUCAUACAACAAAGUUGUUCGAAGUCCAGAUUAGUACUUUGGAUUCUGCUCCCACUCCCACUCAAGGACAUGGGAUAGUUUGAUGAGUGGUUGCUACGCUCUUCUUUUUACCUUUACUUAAGAAAAAUUAAGAGACAUAACUAAGUAGAGAGUACAUAAAAUCAAAAGAGAGUGCGGAAAUCACUUUCUAGACUUUCUAGUACCGUUAGUAAACGAUGAAAAGAAAUCCAACAGUUGGGGUGCAGCGAAGUAGUGUUGUAUAACUGUUGGGUUCAUUGGUUGUCUUGCUUUUAACUGCAGACAAAAAAAAGAUGAUUGCUCCUUUCCUUGGUAUGUUUGUUUUUGAGUGAAACUUUGUGAUCUCAUGAUGGGAAUAUUGCCAUACGGUUCAAUCUCUUCCAGUUCCAAAGAUUCCAUAUGUGUACGUACGUAUGCAUGCAUGAUUGAUUCUUGAAAAAGGUUUUGAUAGCGCUGUUUAUGUUUAUUUUUUUAUUUAAUCAAAAUUAACAUGACUAAUCAAAUGAUGAUCAACGCAUCAUUAACAAAGAAAUGUAACGUGCCGUGCCCGAAGAAGGUUAAGGUGACAAGAAAGCCACCAUGCAAUCUUCAAAAUACAAUUCCUAAAUUACGUUUUCAUAACAAAUGAUGAUCAAUGUAAAAUGACUCGUUUGGAAUGUUAACAACAAAGCAAUGAGGACAAACCUAUCACUCUUUCAUAUGUUAUAUAAUGGGUUACGCUAUUCACAUACCCUAUUUUACUUUCCUCACCUCCUAUUAAUUUUCGACCGUCAGAUCGUAUGAAUUGAAAAAGUCAAAUGACAUAAAUUAAUUAGAGGUGUGUGGGAAGUAAAAAUUGGAACGUGAACAGAACCACCCUAUAUAAUAUAUCAUAAUUGAGAAUAAUCCCAUGAAUCAUAAUCAUGAACUAGCUAGUUAAACAUACUGUGAUCAUCUUCUGGGAGUUAAAAAGUUCUCUGUGUACUAUAUAAGGAAGCAAGAAGGGGAAGGAAGGAGAGAGAGAGAGAGAGAGAGAGAGAGGAGAGCGAGGGGAAGAGCUAGACUGCUUGCAUUACAAGCGAUCUUGAGGAGCUGAUAUCGAUAUGUGAAUAUGAGGGAACGAUGGAGAGGGGAGCUACCUUCGGUCCAAUUCAGAGGGCUGAGGAGUGGCUAGAGCUGUCAUCUCAUGCAUUUGGCUACUCCCUUAAUAUUAUUUUCCAACCCUAGUAGCCUGCUGCCUGCGCAGCUGUGCAACUCUAUUCAAUUAGCUGUUACAUGGGAGAUGAUAUACUGAAUAUUAAGGGUUCGGCCUGGUGCAUGGUGUGGGAGCAACUCCUUCCGCGCGCUUAGCCCGCCCAUUGGACUGAAGGGAGCUCUGGCCACCACCCGUUUCAUCACGUCGCGUAAACCGAGUCAAGUGCACGAUUUUCUUUUCUUUCUGUUGUCUGCUCUUAAGACUAUAACCAUUCUCAUCACUGUCAUAUUCUCGUCGCUAAUAAUUAAUCAUCGGAUGUCACUUAUACUAUCAUAAUUUUCAUUAAGGUUUGAUGAAUCUGCUUGACAGGAAAGAAGAAAAUCAAUUUGGAGACUUGAAGCUAGCGUGGAUGAUGUGGUUUUACUACAACAGAAAUCCGAACGGUGAUGCGAAAUCCAGGAAAACAAGAACGUGUGCUCCGGACGAGAUUGAACACUUUUCUGGUUUUCUGAUUUUCUUCUUCUGAUCACCGGAGCAUGUUAAACUACUAACACUCUGAAGUACUUAGGAUGGGCAAAUACCUAUUGGUUGCGGUUAUCCGUCCAUUUAAAUUUGACAGUUAUGGGUAUAACUGUUUACCUGUGAAAUUUAAAUAGGCGGUUAUGGUAUUACCGCGGUCAUAAAUGAGAACCUAUUUAACCGUUUAUUCUAAUAUAUGUAAAACUAAAAAAUAAAAAUAAAAAGUUUCUAGCUAAGUUUGGUAUCCCGAGACAUAUUUGGUUAUAAGGGGCCAUAUAAUAUAUAUAUGCCUCACUUGAGAGAAAAGUAUAGUUGAUAGAACAGGCCAAUGUUAACAUAUGUGAUUGAAUGUGCUAAAGCAUUAGAAUGUUCGACAGUUUUAUUUUGGAGUCUUUUGAAGCUUUGGCCAAUUCAAGAUAAUGAUUACCUUAAGAUUUUAGAAAUAUGUUAUUGUCAGCUGAUGCGUGUAUAUAUAUAUAUAUAUAUAUAUACAGAGAGCUUAAGGGGAGGGAUCCCCAUUUUUUCAAAAAAAAUGGGGACACGCUCCCCACCGUUAGAUUGACUUUAAUGAAAUUGUGUGGUUGAGAUUAAAACACAGGCCACAGAAUCUCAACCACAUGAUUUCAUUAAAGUCAAAUCCAACGGUAGGGAGCGUAUCCCCAUUUUUUUUUUAAAAUAGGGAUCCCUCCCCUUAAGCAAUUCCUAUAUAUAUAUAUAUAUAUAUUUAUUUAAUUGGCCUCGGUUUUCAAUAAAUAUUUGACCCAAAAAUUAGAAAUCGAUUAAAUGGCUUGGAUCGAUGAAAAUAUGUUUCUAAAUAAAAAUCUAAAUAUUUAUCAAAUUAGCUUAUUAGCAAACUGAUCCGUACUUACAUAUAUAUAUAUAUAUAUAUAUAUGUAUAUGUAUACAAGAAUAUUAAUUAACCUACAGCCAUGCAUGAUUCUUGUAAUAGAUUGAUUGUCAAAUAAUUGGGAGACAUCACAUAUAUUCAUAAAUAAUAUUGGUGUCAUACAAAAAUACAUGUUAAAUGUACUUAUAACGGUAUUUAAUUGUUAGAAAAAAGAAAAUUAUGACAAAUUUCUUUUUAAAUUUUCAAGUUUUUAAAAAAUAGGUAGACGGGUAAAAAAAAAAAGGGUAAAAAGGUAUGCGGUUAUGGUUAAAUGGAUAUGCUGUUAUGGAUAAAUAGAUAUACGGUUAUAGGUAUGGUUAACCGUUUAUAAAUAGUUAUGGGUAUACCCGUUUAUGUAAAUACCCAACGGGUAAACAAUUAUAUGGGUAAAAAUUUAAACGGUUAUGGGUAAAUAACCGUGGUUACCCACCCGCCAUAACUGUUGCCCAUCGCUAGAAGUACUUGGUAAGUGUCGAGUUACAGCGUUCGAGUUAGAGGAGCAACAAUUACCGGGAGGACCGCAAUAAAAACACAAAUUGUAAUGCUUUGGAGAAUUAGCAACUGUUUUUCCUUAGCACUUGAACAAUGCAAAAGAUUUAUGAUACAUCAUCCAUACAUGACCAAUGACAAAGAAACUUAUUCUUUUAUCUAGGCAGAGGCCUAGUUCAAAUCACCGUCAAUUUUUGGAAGCUAACAAGCAAGAUAAUCUAGUGAAAAGUCGAAGCCUGAAAUCUGGCCGGAAAUCUGUAACGACAAAGAAAAGAUAAGAAUGGUUUCACAAAGUCCGGAGAUGAUAACAGAAUAUCAACAAUGCAAUGAAAUCGUGAUGUAGGUGAUCCCCAACUUCCCCCCAUUUUUCUGCAUUUCACUGCAGCCCAAACUUACCCACCUGCGUGAAGAAAACAUAAUAAGUACACCAAUUAUAACUGCAGACCUCUUCACUUACAUACAACAUUGAACAUAUCACGACACGGAAAUUUUGGACUCCAUGUCAAGCAACAAAGUUCACAAUCCAUGUUAAAUCUGCAUGAAGAGUGAUGCUAGCAAAGCUCAGUAUUCAAGUCAUUCAACAGAUUCGACUUAAAUGUUCAAAACAAAAUGAAGGUUUCAGCAAGACCGCGCAAGCAACCUUCUUAGCUCCAUCACCCAACUCCAAACUCAAAAUCAAAUGAGUAGACUGAGUAGAUUGACAGACUUCAAGAUCAUACCAACAGGCCCGAAUACCAGAAUGCAUUUAUACACAAUAUUCUCAUGCUCUAUGCUUAGAUUGACAGACUUCAAGAUCAUACCAACAGGCCCGAAUACCAGAAUGCAUUUAUACACAAUAUUCUCAUGCUCUAUGCUUUCUCAAGUUGAACCAUUACCAAUUUGUUUACCAUAAUUCUAUUUCCGAAAGUUACUGUAGAUCUACCAAGUUAAAGAUGACUCAACUUGCUCAGACCUUUCAAUGAACUGUCCAAAAACUUAGAAGCUAGCAAAUCCAACACGACACAGAAAGCCGUGCAAAAUGGAUAAAAGACAUUAUAUGCGAAAAAUCAUAAUGGAAAAAAGCCCCACAACGCAAUAAAGGAAGUUGCAGGGGUAAAUCUUCCGAAGUUUGUAGAUUCAUGUCUUUGGUAUAUACAUGUUUAUUACCUGAAUCGAAGUAACCCUCGCCAGGUAGCAAAUAUACAUCAGAAUUGGAUUGAGCAUUCUAUCAAUUUUCAAAAACUCAAACUGAUAAGCAUUUGUUCCAGCUGACAGUCACGAUUCGACUCAAGCCUCAAACUAAGAAACUAAAGACCAUAGCUACACCUACACCUAUUAGGUUUCACAUUUCAGAAAUUGAGUUGUUUCCUAGUGUUUUUUGUCUGAAUAAAACUCCAACCUAAAGCCCUAAAUCAUAUGCCUCACCAGAAUCAAAAAACAAGAACCCGACUCUUAAUUCACAGCGAAAACGAGCAAAUGGAAUCGAAAAGACCCAAUCUUGAACAAAAUUUCACCCCAAAAACUGAACUUUCAAAUCCAAACAAUAAAAAAUUGCAAUCAGAUUAUCAAAUUGGGAGCUCAAAACACAAGAAACAGUACCUGAAACCGAUCACUCGGACUCCACCGGCUCCGGCUUCGGACCUGAAAUUCCCAUAAACAAAAACAAAAUGUCAAUUAAUUGAGAAAACUGACAAACGACGGGAAAGGAUAGGGUACGGUGGCGGACCAUGGAACUCGUAAGGACGGUGGUCCUUCCCCCAACCGAUGCCGCGAGUGGACUCGAGGUACUGGUGGACGAGGUGGCGGCACUUCUGGAGGUGGUUGACGCCUUCGAUGCGGUAGCACCAUCGGAGCUUCUCCCUGAUGAUCUUGGCCUUCUCGAUGUCGAUCCACUUCUCCCGCACCAAGUGCUCCCUCAUCUCAAGCAUCGCCACCGGGUCCUUGUACGGAUUCGCCGGAUCAAAGUCGUCCGGCGGCGACUCGUCGAAGUCCACCACUCCUUUCUUCCGCCCCAUUUUCCUCUCGCACUUCUAGAUUGCUCUCUCCCUCUCUCCCUCUCUCCCUCUGUGUUCUGGCUUUGAUUUUCGGAGCUCUGCAGCUGCUUCAGGUGGUUGAGCUUUUGGGUAUUUGGGCUUACGAUUGAUCAGGCUCUGGUUUUGGGCUCAUCUCCAUUGAUAAAGCACUAGGCCCAUUCAGGAUACUUUUGUAGUAAGAAAACGGGUUUGUCUUCAGUAGUCCGACAUUUUAUUAAUUAGAUUAGCAAGUUGACAAAAAAUAGUGUUUCAAUAAUUCAAUUAUGGCCAACUAUUUCUUGCUACUAAGUAGUUUGGACUAUUGAAGAAAAAUUGGUAAGAAAACAUGUUCACUUCGAAGUGUAUUUCCGUGUUAGUGAUUUGCCCACUCUAUUUUUAUCGCUAAGCAUCUCUUUUUAUUUGAACUUGAGUGCAAGUGAUUAGGUAUACUUCCUUAAUCAACUGGUCUAACAUGCAACUGCCUAAUUAAGACAUGCAACUGCCUAAUUAAGAGAAACAACGGAAAAAAAAAGAGUGCAAAAGAAGAAAUGAGUGUGACAAUCAGUAUUUGUUUCUCCUUCUAAUAGGCUUAAAAUUUGUGUGAUGGUUCAAGAGCAACUCAAAAUAUUAUUCAUAUCUUUCUUCGUCAUUUGAGAUACACAAAAUGUUAUGGCCAAAGCCGUUUAUCUAGCAUCCAAGUGCUUCCUAAAGCAACUCCUAGAUCGAGUACUUCACCAAAAAACACUUAUAUGACCCAAAAAAAAUUGUAGUAAAAAAUAAUUCUAGUUGUCAAAAAAACUAUUUUUAACUACAGUUGGGCACGGGCCGGGUUGGGCCUAAAUCUGGAGGAACCUGUUUUAAAAUGUAACGGGCCGCAUGGGCCGGUUAGAGGGAUUUUGAGUUUGAGAACCAGACCUAACCCCACCUGUUAGAAAUGGGCCGGUUUGGGGCAGGUCCAUGAGUCCAAUUACUUUAUUUUUAUUUAUUUAUUUUUUCCGGUUUUGGGCAUACUACCAGUGUCUUUUUUCUUUCUCCUCUUCACAUCAUCUCCAUUCUCUCCUCUUCCCCUCUUCCAAAUAAAAAACUGAAGCAAUCACCAUUUCUCGAUAAUUGCAUCACCUGGGCCUUUACCAUCGUCGUUGUCUUCAACAUUAAUUGUCUCUCUGUCUGCAACUUCUGUCUUCUCUCUAUUUGCAAUUUUAAUCAGCUUCAACGUCAUCGUUUCACGAUUCGAUGACAGGUAUCCACCUUUUCCCAAUCUUUGACUCCUUCGCACUUUCUUGUAUUUAGUUCAUCAGAUCUAAUGGUUUCUCAACUUGCAGGUGUUGAGAGGCAGCGGAUCCAAGAUAUUGUCAACAUCUUGGACUUGGGACUUGGGAUAGAAGGAGAAGGAGUCGAAGAGGCUUUCAAGUUGGGAACUAAAAUGGCUUAUUAAAGAAGGUUAGGAAGACGGGGUUUGUGGACUAGAGGUCGUUUUGGUGAAUUGAUGAUGGUUUGAGUUAAGUGAUGUCGUCGAGGAGAGGAGUGGGAAAAGAUUAGCCGAGUGGGAGGUGGGAGAGGAAGGAGAGACUAGGUCACUUAGAGAAACAAGUCCAAUCCAACGAGUGCGAUUGGAUUGAAGAUUGUUGAUCAUUCCAUUUUAGAAACGGGUUGGUUCGAGGCCCCGUGAUUUUAAAGAUUUAGACCCGGCUUCGCCAUGUAAAUACCACCACCCCGCCCCGCCCCGCCCCACCUCGCCCCAUUUCUUCUAUAAAAAAAUAAGACCCGCCCCAUACCCGCGUAUACCAGUCCUGACCCGUAGGUCCUUGACCUGUUUGCCCGCCCCUACUUUUAACCCUUCCAAACGCAAUACCAAACAGAUCCUUAACUCACAGGCCUACUAAUUUCAUGGGCCAGGGAUGGAUUUGGGCCAUGGAAUUGAAAAUUCAAGACCAAUUUCAACCUGACAUCGACGACCACCAAUAGGUAGCACAGAAGACGGAGGGGUGGAAGACAGGUGGCAGAAACCCAUCUGAUGGAAUUAGAGACGUAGAGCUGAGAGAGUUGUGCUCCUAAUUUCGCGCACUAGUUCUUACCUCUCAUGGAAGAUCAACGGUGCACGGAAACUACGAGGAAACCAAAAUACACCAAACAAUAAACAUCUGAACAAGACAUGAUUAAAAGUAAAAAUAAUUAAAGUAAAUGAUAAAAAAAAAAAAAAAUUGGUCUAACCUUAAUCAACGCCGCAUUAGCUUGUCGUCUCUUUGAGUUUUCUCAGGUGGGACUCUCUGUCUUUUCUUUAAUUCACAUUUUCCUGGAUUUCCUUCGCUGCAUUUUGAUCAUGAUGAUCAACAUUUGUUCAUGUGUGUAUGAAUAGUUACGGCCCGUUUGAUGACCAUUUUGUUUUUAGGUUUCGUAUGAAUAGCUCAAGGCAUGCAGCGUGCUUGGUAACCUUUUCGUUUUUAGAUUCAUAUGUAUAGCUAAAAUGGUUUGUUUGAUAACCAUUUUGAUUUUCGUAACCAAUUGUUGAAUGAUUAUGGGAUUCUAAGUCAAGUUAUAUGCUUCUGGGUUGUUCCAUUUUCCGCUCUCUUUACAUGCUUACAUACGUUCUCUUGUAGCUAGUGUGAAGCUCGGGCAAAUUGUCUCUCACAUUUUGUUUUUGCUUUUUUUUUAUUUUUAUUUUUUAUAUUUUUUAUAUCCGAUUUUCGAAGUUCUAACCAGAUGUUCAUAAGUUUUUCUUUUCUUUUGUGUGUGUGUAUAUGAUUGCUGGUGCAACCCCAGCUUAAUCUUCAUCCCCUUUCGUUUGGAACUCGAUAGCAUUUCUCCUACGUGUUUGUUUCUUCGAGAGAUUGUUUGUUCACUUUACGCAGUUCAUUGUUAGUACCCUUACAUCAUUAACGCGUUUCUAACUCGCAGGGUUACUCUUUUUCAACAGAUGAUUAAUGUUUUUUAGCAUGAGUUUAUAGUUAAGCUCCAAAGCUAGACGCCACUCCAAGUAGCUGAUCAUGGAUUCCACAUCAAAUUACAGCAGAAAAGAAAAUGUAGGAGCCAGCAGCCCAAGUGUUCCUGCUACAGGGAAUAGUUUCGAACAAGUUGUAAAUCGUAAUGGUGAGACUGAAGGUGAGGAAAUCUAGCCAUCUCCAUUUGUUCCUGAUAUACUCUCCAAUGCGAGUCAAUGAUCUUAAAUUUUUCCCCGUUUUGGAAUUUUAUUUUGCAGGGAAGCGGAGAGCGUACUUAGUAGAGUGGUUAAAUAGUUUAGUUCCUAAUCUAGGUUUACCAACAAAUGCUUCAUACGAGGACUUGCGAUCGUGCUUGAUCGAUGGUACCGUUUUAUGUCUGAUGUUGAAUAGGCUUAGACCUGGUCUUGUUGAUAAGGUUAGUUGAUAACUUGAUAGGCUUUCCGCGGCCCUUUUUUACUUGAAGAGUUAUUCGACAAGUUGGUGAUCGAAUGUCUCGUUUUGUAACUUCAACGUUCAUAGAAUUCGAUGUCACCCUCAGAAAAUGUUGCAAGGUUUCUGGCAGCUAUGGAUGCAUUAGGGCUGCCGAAGUUUGAUAUGUCCGACCUAGAGAAGGUAUCUGUCGAUGUAAUUUGUAUGCAUACAGCUCCCCUAUCAAAUUAAACAAUUUCUAUACGUUCGCUGACAUUCAAAUAUUAUCCAGGGGUCUAUGAAGACUGUCACAAACUGUCUUUUAACACUUAAAGCAAAACUUAUGCCAAAUGUUAUGGGAGAUGGUAUUACUAUAACUAGUCCGACGACUAAAUCUGGCAGCCAACCUUCCCGCUUCCAGCUUUCUCAAUUAUCUGUAGAUGAGAGGCGGAAGGUCCUGUCUGAGUCAAAAUUUCAGCGCGCAUUGCAUAGUCCUGUUAUGGCAGGUCUGGCCAUUGUGUUGUACAUAUCAAACUUUAUUUUUGACAAUACACUUGUGUUUGUUUAGUUGAUUAACUUUUACAUGAUGUUUUCGUCAUUCAAACAGUGGGUUUGACGCAAAUUUACCUUCAGCAGAGACAUCGCCUUCACGAAUGCAUCAUGUUGGGCAUAAGUUCCAUGAGGUGUUGCAGUUGAAGCAAGGAAGCUACGCGGAUCUUCCUGCUGCAAAAAUUUCAGAAAUGAUGAAACCGAACAGUUUAGAUGUCAGUCAUCAAUGGACCCUGAAACUGAAUCAGGUUUUCCUUUUGUGAUCUCUUCAGUUUAAUGUAUUUUUAAUGCACUUCAGCAUCUCUUGCUGCAGAACGCUCCAACGCAGUCACUUUUGAGUGUCGUAAAUGGAAUCCUCGAUGAAGGUGUUGAAAGAAAGAAUGGUGAAAUACCUCAUGUAUGGAAAUCCGAAAGCAAAUGAUUGUUAAAAAAAUAAGUUCAUCACGUACAAUAUUCAAGAAAUAUGGAGUUUGAAAAUCUGCUCUUACACAUUGCGUUUGUGGCACAGCGUGUGUCUUGCCUUCUGCGAAGAGUUGUCCAGGAGAUUGAGCGGCGAAUAUCAACUCAGGCGGAGCAUUUAAGAACUGUAAUAUGCUUUUAUGAGUACUUACCACCGAUAGCCUUAUUAAGAAGUGCUUUGCGUUAAUUUUUUUUUAUGGUUUCGUGCAGCAAAACAACCUUUUUAAGGCUCGUGAAGAGAAAUACCAGUCAAGAAUCAGAGUACUUGAAACACUUGCAUCCGGAACCAGUGAGGAAAGUGAGGUAUGAAACAUUUUUCGGAAGAUUAGAUCAGGAGUUGACAGCUUCUCGUAAACAUGUUUCAAUGUGGUACCGAUGUCUUAUUUUCAAAGUGUGAAUUUUCUGGUACAGCUUAUGAUGAACCAUCUUCAGCAAAUAAAGGUAUAUUUUGCAGACAAUAAAAAGCAUAUUGCUGGUGUUUAGGUGUUUAAGCAGUGAAAGAAUACGUAUAAUUUUACUUGCAAACUGCGGUUACGAGGAUUUGCUCAUUAUAUAAGUUUAUGAAUAUGAUUAAGUGGGAAUGUUUACAAUUGGCAGAGUGAGAGAACCCGAAUGGAAGCAAAGAAGAAAACCGAUGGCGAGGAUGUGAAUGUGAUCAGAUUGAUGAAAGAGAGGGAUCAAGGCAACCUUGAAAUUUCAGGAUUGAAGCAAGAGUUGGAUAUAGCAAAAAAGACAUAUGACCUGCGUUGCUUGCAAAUGGAAAUGGAAGAGAAGGGUGCUAGAACGGAGCUUGAAGAGAGGAUAAAAGAACUCGAACGUCUCUUGGCAGAGUCAAGGAGUAAGGUGAAAGAGCUCCAGGCAAAUUCUGAGUCAAAACAUCAGUCUAAUAGAGCAGAACUUGAAGAGAGAGUAAAAGAACUUGAACGUUCUUUGGAAGAAUCAAGGAAUAAAGUGAAAGAACUCGAGGCAAGUUCCGAGUCCAAAUAUCAAUUUUCUAAAGUAGAGCUUGAAGGGAGAAUAAAAGAACUUGAACGCCUCUUGGCAGAUUCAAGGAAUGAGGCGAAGCAGCUUGCAACGAAUUCAGAGUCAAAAUAUAAAAGUUGGAGCAAGAAACUGCGUGAUUACGAGAACUCUAUGGACCUUCAACUUGGUUCACUAAAGGUAUCUUUAGAUCAAAUUGUAUUUUCAGCUUUAAUGUAUAUGAUGAAUAGUACGCAUUUCAAAUCAAUUUAUGAAAUAUUCAGGAAUUAAGAUUAUCUUCGGAGUUCAUUAAGCAAGAAGUUUUGACGGCAGAACACAGUUACGCGGUGGACUUCAAUCACUUAGGUAGGGUUGUCUAUUGGAAGCAUUCGUCUGUUUCGUGCAGUUUGUGCUAGAAGAGUUUCAUGCUUUAUAACUUUGUUUUCCAGGAGUGAAACUUCAAGCAUUAGCAGACGCGUCUGAGAACUAUCAUGCACUUCUCGCUGAAAACAGGAAGUUAUUUAACGAAAUUCAGGAUUUAAGAGGUGCUACAAAAUAAAUUAGCGUUACUGUGGUUACAUCUUACGGAAAAUAUUAGAGUUCACUUCUUAACUUUCUUGCACAGGAAACAUCAGAGUUUACUGUCGAAUAAGACCAUUUCUUCCUGGAGAAAAAGAAAAGAAGACGUUGGUAGAACGUAUUGGUGAAAAUGGGGAACUGGUAGUUGCAGACCGCUCCAAACCAGGGAAGGAGGGUCAUCGAUUGUUCAAGUUUAACGAGGUCUAUGGUUCAGAUGCAAGUCAAGGUUCUCUAUUUUGUGUCUGUAAUGUUGGAUACAUAUUUUUCGAUUCAUCUGUUCGUUCUCCUCGAAAAUGAUUCUUCUUGAAUUGAACAUGAUUGUACAGUGACAUACAUUACUAUGCUGAACUUUGAGCAAUUUAUUUAACUGUGGCAGGCGAAGUAUACGCUGACACACAACCAUUGAUACGAUCUGUGCUUGAUGGAUAUAAUGUAUGUAUUUUUGCUUACGGUCAAACAGGAUCCGGGAAAACAUACACGAUGGUAUGGAACAUAUUUAUAUCCUAAUUUUCAGCACAGAACGAUAAUUUGAAAAAUGCUGAUUUGUUGAUGUUUUAUGUCUGUUGUUUCCUCUCAGACUGGUCCUAAUGGAUCAACUAAAGAGAACUGGGGAAUCAACUACCGUGCCUUGAAUGACCUUUUCGACAUCUCUCAACGUAGAAAAAGCUCCAUUACAUAUGAAAUUCGAGUCCAAAUGGUUGAAAUAUACAACGAACAAGUGCACGAUUUGCUAUCCAGCGAUGGUGCUCAGAAGAAAUAUCCUUGUCGUUAUGAAAUGCGCUUCCUAUUGUGUUGUCUGAGUUAGUUUUGGUAACAGUCUUUUGUUUGCCUUGACUUGCACACACUUGGGAUUAUGACUCACUCUCAACCCAACGGGCUAGCUGUGCCAGAUGCUAGCAUGCACCCCGUGGAAGCAACCUCAGAUGUAAUAAGAUUGAUGGGAAUCGGGUUUAAGAACCGAGCUGUUGGUGCCACUGCGUUAAACGAAAGAAGUAGUCGCUCUCAUAGGUUUGUACAUUUCAUCUUCGUAAAACUUCAUCCCGUAUAUAUCUACAUGUUAUACAUUUUCUGGUGUGUUUGAUUUACGCAUGAAUGUCUAUGUACAGUGUUGUUACAGUUCAUGUACGUGGGAAGGAUUUGAAGACUGGUUCCGCAUUGAUUGGUAACCUUCAUCUUGUAGAUCUCGCGGGAAGUGAAAGAGUGGACCGUUCGGAGGUAACAGGAGACAGGCUCAAGGAAGCACAACAUAUAAACAAAUCAUUGUCUUCGCUCGGAGAUGUCAUAUUUGCUCUCGCACAAAAGAGCCCUCAUGUACCUUACAGAAACAGCAAGCUCACUCAAGUCCUUCAAAGCUCUCUCGGUACCUCUUCGCUAGUUAGUUUCGUUGUUGUGCGAAGUUUUGUCAGAUAUGUAGCAAUGCUAGAAUUUUUACGGUGUUUUCCAACAGGUGGGCAAGCGAAAACGCUAAUGUUUGUGCAGCUAAAUCCCGAUGCGAGUUCAUUUUCCGAAAGUUUAAGUACUCUAAAGUUUGCUGAGAGGGUUGCCGGAGUUGAGUUGGGAGCUGCGAAAAGCAACAAAGAGGGCCGGGAUGUAAGGGAAUUAAUGGAACAGGUUCUCAUUAUAUAUAACAUAUACAUAUGCUUGGGAAAAAUAUGUACAAAUAAUGUUCUACAAACAAAAUGUUGUUUCUAAAUUUCUCUUGCCUCUGCAGGUAGCGUCCCUCAAAGACACGAUUGCUAAGAAGGACGGCGAGAUUGAGCGAUUGCAAUUACUUGAUGGCCACAGUGAGAAGCGUGGGACGAGCUCAUUUAGGUAUGAAUCUUCGCAGCCAAGCAGAGUUUCUAGAGGUGGGAAGUGAAACCAAACACCGUUAAGUGGCGGGAUGAAGGCUUAGGGCUUAAGGCAGCUUCUGAUCCUGAAAACUGUGUUCUUGUACAGUAUCAUAAGCUCCAAAAGUCCAUGCAGGACAUUAAACAACAAAAUGAUUUUCUUCGGCAAUCAUCAAAGGUUGCCGGAAGUGAUGACAUAGGUCAGAAUAAACAUGCAGAUCAUGCUGAGUACUUGGCAUCUGGAGAUGCAGAUUCUGAGGGGAAAUUAAGUGACUUAUCUGACGGUGGUCUUUCUACUGGAACAGAAACUGAUGGCUCUGCAUGAAUUAUCCCGAAAGCACGAAAUCCGUUCCCUUGUAAAGGUGGGCAUUACUUACAUUGAAUCUAAUGCGUUAUCCAGACACACCAACAAGGCCUAUAUGUAACGGCAUUGGUGAUACCUACCAAUGACUCAUAUUCUGCAGGCCUAAAAGGAUUAGUAGGAUUCCGCGACCCUCGCUAAAACCAGGAACAACUUCUUCACCUUCGGCAUCAGGAUCAACGAGCGCUGUGAAGGUGCCAUCAGGUACGUGAAAAUAGAGCUCUCUGCACCAAUUAUUACUUCAGUUUGCCUUCUACUUAUCAGCAGUAUUACGUCUCUCAACAAUUCACAAUCACUUUGUGCAGGUAUGAGAAAAAGUAGCAGUUCUUCGUCACUGAAGCCGGCUGCAAACAGUUGGAAAUAAUUAGAACUCAGUCACUACAAGAAUUUCUCCACUAAUUUUUUUGAUAUACAUGUACAGAGUUUUCUUAGUUGCAAUUUUCUGAAAAUUUUAACAGCUCCUACCCCUAGCUUUCUAAUUACUCAAACCCUUUGUUGUGUGAGCUCUACUGCAAUUAUGCAAUGUAUACAAUUAAACCAACGAGCCUUGUGUAUAAUCUUUAUCCGAAACACAAAUCUUAUCAUUAAAUUACAGUCAAAUUAAUCUUUGAAGCGCAACUCAUAUCAUUAAAUUACGGUCAUAUUAAUCUUUAUCCAAAGCACAAAUCUUCAUCUGAAGCAUCACAUUUAAGCAUUUCAAGACCCGUUAUAUUGUUUCACUUUACAGCCAUGUAAUAAUAUAACUGUAAAGCGAAAACACCAAUUGAUAUAGUAACUAUUUUCCACACAGUAUAUUUUUCCGUAUUUUACUAGGAUUAGAAUACAUGUUUAAAGCCAAUGCUCUCUUUGAUAAUUUUACAUUAUAACCACAUACCUUCAUCACUGCAAAAUUUGUAUCGUUCCACUGUGACUCCAUCUACUGUUGCUUGUGCUAGCGCCACAUUUUCAUAGUUGUUUAUAGAUUCCUUAAUUGCACUUUCCAGCAAAGUAACUUCUCCCACAGUUAUCUCACCCCAAGGCAAGCCCAGUCUCGAGAGAUUUUUCAAUAUGAUUGGUCGGGUUGAUACACUACAUGUCACUAUACAAAUGAUGAGAUAUGUGUGCUAAAAUGUUAUAUUCCACCGUUUCUAUUAAAACAUGUGGUGUACCAUUUGUAUUUCCGUCACAAUGAAAAAUUUCUUGCCCAGCCUCAUCACUAAUAUUAGAACUUGUUCCAAUUGCAAAUCCCAAGUUAGAGAUCGUAUCCAAGGCUGAGAUCGAAUACAUUCAACCUCCGGGCUUAGAAUUGCUAGACCUAUCUAAUUCCUUGAAGUUGACAUAUCUGCCAUGGUUUCAAGUAUCAAGUCUCCACCUGGUAAUUGAUCACAAAGAUUGAACAUUAGAAGACCCUCGUACCGUAAAUCAGUUUGAGAGCUAAUUUCUUGAAUUGCUUGUAGUCUCAGAAUUCAAAGUCAUUGGCUUUGAAAGUGCUUCAUCCUUUUUUAUCCCCUUGAUCUGGUAUUUAUUUAUAAAUCGAUGAACGUAUAAGAUCUCCCAUAUGAUUGCUAGCCAAUAAUCACGAGGAUUUUUGUCGGUAACCUCAGACCAAUCAAAAUCAAUAUCAAUCGACCCCUUCAGCUCAGGAAACUCUAUUAUACCUGAUUCUGAUCUAAAGAAAAAACACUACUGAAAGUUGAUAAUCAAGUUAUAAAAAGAAGACUUUCUUUAAUAGCUACAUGGCAGAACAAGUGUAGAGACUACAACACUAAUAAGUAAGAAAAAAGCACAAAACAUGUCUGAUUAAAAAGAAGAGUUUUAACAAAACACUCUCGGUACUGUUCACUUUUAAUGAAAAACCAUAUUUUUACCUUUAACUGGCACUAUUCACUAUACCUUUAAAAAAAGAUUUUCGUUAAAAGAGAAUUUUUUUUGGACUUUUCGUUAGUUUUCCUUAAAAAGAAUGUAACAUAAGAUUAGAGAUUGUAUAAUUUAUAUAGAGUACUGAUAGGAAUAUCUAAAAAUAUACAAUAUAAGAAUAAGCUUCUAAGGAAAAAGAUGAAACAAUACCUACUUUAGUACAUAGGCUGCUCUCUUCGACCGAAGGAACGCUAUAUAGGCUGCUCACUUUGGAAUUUUUGUUCAUCAAAACCUCAAUACCCCCAUCACUUUAGUACAUUCAAUCAGAAUGGCAUUUUAUAUUAGUAAAUGUAUACUCUUUCAAUAUAUUAUGAAUUCACAUAUCAUAAGUUCACAAUGAAAUUCAAAAACUACAACAAUCAGAAUCACUUGCUAAUCGAAAUCCCAACAAGCAAAUUUUAGUCAAUAAAGUUCACCCCUUCAGUCUAUUAAGAUUUCAACAAUCAUAAGUUCAAAGCAAAAUCCAGAAAUGUUAGAUCCCAUAUCGUCCAGGGAGUGGAUCCUCUAUGCCUUAUAUGUACAUGCUCAUCUCCAUAUACCACGAGAUCUUUUGGGAGCUCACUGCGUCGGAACUCCAAAGUUAAGCGAGAAAGGGGCCAGAGCAUUUCCAAGAUGGGUGACCCACUAGGAAGUUCUACUCGCGUGAGUUCCCAUUAACAAAACCUUGAGGGUGUGGUUGGGGCCUAAAGCGGACAAUAUCGUGCUACGGCAGAGGGGGCCCGGGCCGGGAUGUGACAAGAAACUUAAACAAAUUAACACACCAGCAAGUUCACAAAACCACCCAAUAAAAAAAUUACAAUUUGAAAACCCAACCACCAAAUUGAGGGUUUAGGGAUACUUAUUGUUUCGUAUAUAUUGUAAAAAGGUUGCUUUGUUAGCAAACAGUGACUCUGUGGCCCAAUGGAUAAGGCGCUGGUCUACGAAACCAGAGAUUCUGGGUUCGAUCCCCAGCAGAGUCGUGUUGUUGUUUUUGAACUUUUUUUUUCAUGAAUAAUGAAAUCAUUAUAAUCAUUAAAUGUUCUAGAACAAGUUUUGCUCUGUACCCCAAUGGUUAAGGCACUGGUAUGCGAAACCGGGCUCCGGUUCGAUUCACAGUUGGCAGAGUCGAUAUGAUUUUUUAAAAUUUUUCCUAUUUAAAUGAUUUUUAAAAAGAUUGCAUCAUAUAUCCUGUUUCAGUCAUUAGGCCAUCUCCAACCGAUGGCUGGCCAGAGGGCUCGUUUUAGCCCUCUGGCCCUCCAAGAUUCUCCAAGAUAUUAAUAUUUUAAUGAACAGUACAGGGUCAUAUUUGCCUCCGUUUUUUUCAUGAAUAAUGAAAUCAUUAUAAUCAUUAAAUGUUCUAGAACAAGUUUUGCUCUGUACCCCAAUGGUUAAGGCACUGGUAUGCGAAACCGGGCUCCGGUUCGAUUCACAGUUGGCAGAGUCGAUAUGAUUUUUUAAAAUUUUUCCUAUUUAAAUGAUUUUUAAAAAGAUUGCAUCAUAUAUCCUGUUUCAGUCAUUAGGCCAUCUCCAACCGAUGGCUGGUCAGAGGGCUCGUUUUAGCCCUCUGGCCCUCCAAGAUUCUCCAAGAUAUUAAUAUUUUAAUGAACAGUACAGGGUCAUAUUUGCCUCCGUCUCCAACCGAGGGCCAGAGGGCCAGAGGGCUCGUUUUAGCCCUGUCACAAAAAAUCGUCUCCAAUCGAGGGCCAAAGGGCCAUAGGGCCAAACAUAAUUUAUUAUUUAAAAACUACAAUUUAAAUUCAAAUCUAACGGCUAGGUGACGUCAACAUGAUGUCAGCUAGUUGACGUCAGCUAGCCGUUGGUAGCUGACAUCAUGCUGACGUCAGCUAGCCGUUGGAUUUGAAUUUUUUUUGCUAUAAAUAGGGUGGAUAUUGGGCUAUAAUUCACACAAAUACGUUCUCGUGCCACAAAUACGUACCUACAACAGGAUCUUGUUGCACAUCUUUGGGCCAAAAGAAGCAUGGAGUAGGCUUUUAAGUUUUAUGUUGUUAAAUGUUUUUAAAAAUGUUGUUUAAGUUUCAUGUUGUUAAAUGUUUUUUUAUGUUGUAUAAUUUGUAUGUUGGUUAAUGUUAUUUAAUGUUAUUUCAUAUUGUUUAAUGUUGUUUCAUGUUACUUAAUUUAAUUUAAUGUUUUAUAAAUGGCCUAGGAAAAAAAUAGAAUUGAAAAAAAUUAUGAAACAAAUUUUGUGAAAUAGAAGUUAUAGGAAAUAAAAUAUGAAUCAAAUUUUGUAAAAUAGAAGUUAUAGGAAAAAAAUAGAAUUUAAAAAAAAAUUGAAACAAAUUUUGUAAAAUAGAAUUGAAAAAAAAUAUGAAACAAAAUUUGAUUAAUAUGAAAAGGAAAAAAAAAGGGAAAAAAAAAAGUUUAAAAAAAAAAAAAAAGGCCUAAUAAUACAACGGCUACUAGCCGUUGUAUUAAAAAACAUUCAAACUAUUAGUGUCGGUUAUAACCGACACUAAUAGUAGAACUAUUAAAAAAUAAAUAAAACAUGUUUAAUGCUGUCGGUUUUAACCGACAGCAAUAGAAAACAUUAAAAAAAAAAUAAGCCAGCCCGGGGCUGGCUGGCUGGCCGAAAGCAGCCAGCCCUCCAGCCCUCCAGCCCUCUCCGAUCCCGUGGGGCCCUCCCAGAUUCCAGAGCCCUCUGGCCUAGCCCUCGGUUGGAGACGGUUUUAGGGCUAUUUUCGGCCCUCUGGCCCUCUGGACCCUUCGGUUGGAGAUGGCCUUAUGUCAUGUAAGUCUCUCCAGACCAUACAACUGCUCGGCGAGCACAUGCAAAUGGUUCAAAGUUAACACAUUAGAAAAACUAUGAAAUAGAUAAACUGAAUAAGUGAAAUACAUAUAAGUUUAAAGACAAAUAUUGUAAUGUUGGUUUUUUUUUUCAUUUGAAUAAAAAAGCUUGCUUUCAUGUCUUAAUUUCAAAGGUUGAAUCUUUUCUUCCUGAAACAUAAAUGUCAGUUUAGCCAAAAUGGUCUCUGAGAUUGACAUAACUCCUUAAUUUGUCCUUGAGGUUUGAAAUCGAUAGAACUGGUCCUUGAUGUUUGAAAUCGAUAGAACUGGUCCCUGAGUUUGUCCAUUAUCCAUCAUUUUCAUCCUUCUAUGCAAAAUAUCUGUUAAAUAAGAAUUGUUAGGGCCCAAAGAUGUCACAUGUAAACCCAAUCAAGUAGGCCCGAUUGUCGUAAAACCCCGAGUCAAGUCUAAACACAUGUCAAGGUAUGAAAUCGAGAAGGGAAAACAUUCACAAUCAUGCCAUGCCAUUAAUAUAUGAUAAACGAACCAGACAUUUAUAUAAUCACGCAACGCCAUGCAAAUCCCUACACAUUCAUCAUGCCAUGUUAUAUUUCGCUAAUUACCAUUCACGCUAAAAUAUGCCCAAUCCAUAUGUCUGGGGCUUGCCAAGUGAAUCAUGGUGUGGAUGUUUACGGAAGUUUGUCGGGCAUACACAAAGUCAAGAUUAUGGAAGACUUUGGGCUGCUUAGGAGCCCAAAGAUCCAAACCCACAAUCCCACAAUCCUUGAAGUCUACGUAAGUGAGUUUGAGAGAGAACAAACCUAAUUCCCUUUUUUCCCUAGCUAGACAACUAAGCCAGUUAGAAAAGAGUCAGACUCAAGGCCUUAAAAAUCAUGUGAAAGCCCAAUAGAGCCUGCAUUUAAUGAAAAGAGAGGCAGAUUUUCCCUUCCUAGUUCACGUAGAAGAACAAUGAAAGAAAGUCAUGAAACGUGUUACUAGAAUUAAUGCACGUGGAAGUUGACCUAGGAAAUAAGCGCUCUGGAAAGAGAGCCCGAUGUAGUCUUCACAAAAGCAUUGGUGUUCAUCUGUCUUAAACCAAAUGGGAAGGUCAGAGUUAUGCUGGGAGAAAUGGGAGGGAAGACUUAGUUAUAACUAGAGCUUUUCUAGGAAGCCUCAAAAGGGAACCAUUCACCUACAAAAGAGAGGUCAGAGGUUUUGAAUAGAGGAAGACAUAAUAUUAGAGAGAGGGAGAUUCAAGGUUAUACUGCACCAAGCAAGGGAAAUAGCUCUCUAAGUGCAAAUAGUCUUGAACAUCUAAGAGGAUCACCUUCAUGCAACCUUAGUAGUUUCUUUAAGCUUCCUUCAAUGGGAGCCUUCUUAGAACCCUAGGAAACCCAAAUCACCCAACUAAACACAUCAUGCAAUCAUGCAAAGUUCUUUCGCAUGCUAAAUUGGUAAACUUCUAGAUUCACCUCACUCAUGCAAGUUAUUAUUUGCCUAAUCAUGUUAUCUUUGAGUCAUUAAUCCAACCGGGAUAUUUCCUAAGACAUGCUAAUUCUUUCGAAAUAUUUUGGGAAUUGGUACCAAAACGAACCAGGGGAAUAAAAAGGGUACUUUCAAGCCCAAGUCUAGCUCGGCUUAAAAAUCCCUUAACAAUGACAAAAGAUAAAAAUACCCUCAAUUUAAUAAACAAUGUGCCAAAGUAAUUUGACAAAAAUCGAGAGUAUUUUUGUCAUUUAUAGCUUAUUAAUGAAGGUCAUUUCCGAAAUGACCAAAAUGAUUGACGGUGGACAAACUCAGAGACCAAUUCUAUCGAUUUUAAAUAUCAUGGACCAAAGUGAGGAGUUAGACCAAUCUCAAUGAUUAUUUUUGGCUAAAAAGCCAUGUACUGCAGCCCAGUAAAUGCAUGUUCAAGUUGGGAAGCAUCGAACGAAAUCAAUCGUGUUUAAUUGCAAGAAAUUGGUGGUUCAAAAUUCAAUCUUUUAAGAGGUUUUAAGAUAUUUUUACAUGUCUUCAUGAAUUUACAAUUUUUUUCUUUUAUCUGAUAAAUUGUUAUGUCAUGGUUUGUGCAGUGUAGUUUAUGACUUGGGUUAUGAAACACCAAUAAUGUUACAAAAAUUACACCUUAAGAGACCAAUAAUCCAACUUAGAUAUAAAAUUUAAAACCAAUAAUAUAAUUAGUCUCCCAACUUAAUUAUAUAUACAAAAUGUAUCAUUGAAAUCCAAAACGAAAAAGAAAUGAAACAAAGUUUAAUCAGGGAACAUGACAAUGUGUUGUGUCCCCUCAUUGUGUAUUUUUAAUCAGAUCCCUAAGCUGUUGAAGAAGUUGAUCGGUUGAGCAAUGUUCUUCUUUUGCUUAAAACAGUACAAAUACACUCCAAAUCGAAAAAUAGUGUACUUGUGGUGCCAAAAAAGCAUAUGAUCUUUUGAGAACUCGUUCUUAAUAUCUUAGCAGCGUAUUAUUGGUGUUUAUUUGUUUAAGUUCAAUAGCGUGUCAAAUGCAUGUUCAUUUUGUCCCAUGAAUGCAGGCAAGGGACAUCAGGAACAUUACUUGCAUUACAAGUUCCGCUACUUAGGUUGGUGCAAAAGGCACGGAUCUCCUUCCCAGCAAUUGCCGAUGUGAUUUUAAUCUGGUGCAAAUUAAUGUUAGCACAACCUAGAUUCUCCGAGCAAUCAAACUUGAUCGCUUCUUCGGUUGCAGAAGUUCCAUGAAAACCAUUGUAUGUCACAUCGCUCAUUCACUGUCGAAGUCAGCAAAUUUUUUCAAAAAUGAUGACUUCGUUAAUACAACUAAUUUGUUUGAGUUAAAAAUCAUUUUAUUGAAAUUAGCAUAAGAGCAAUCUACUAACCUUAUUCCAUGACCUAGUCCACAACUAAUUUUGGUGAUAUUGAUAGAGGUUAAUUUGGUCCACAACUUUUAUUUAAAUGUGUAACUUAAAUGUGCACUUUUGAUGUGCACCUGGACUUAACAUUUUAUGUAAGUAGAAUAUGUUGACUAGUUCAUGGCCGGCCAAGCCCACGUGAGUCAAGUUGUGAUGGGUCGACCCGUUUGAUACCUUUAAAGCAACCUAAUCAUCUAGAAUCCAAAUAGUCAUGUAUUCUCCACAAACGAACGGGUUUUAUUUAGGUACACAAUCUUAUCCUAUGAAGGUUUUCAAUGUACCCGAUCUGAUCAGAUUAAAAACUUUACCCUUUUUGCCUUUUCACUUUAUAUAUGUAGAUAUCCCCCCUCCCUAUAUAUGGAAAACAUACGCUAAUUGCAAACCAUAGUCUCUCAUAAUUAAUAAGAGUUGCAACAGUGUAACUGUGCUAUGUAAGUUAAUAUCCGUGAUUAGGGGCGCAUUGCACAAAUUUUAUCCUUCACAAGUGCGUAGGCCAGCGUUUGCUACCAUACAUUUCAACCACUGAAACUCAUGUGUGUACAAAACUAGGGAAAUGGAUUCUCUCUGGAUCAUUUCCACCAAAUUCACCAAGUUAACAAAUUCGAACCCUUGAAAUUUGAUCCAAUGACUAAAGUUAUUAUAACUUUUAAAGGAAGCUCACGUUUUUAGUUGUUGGAUCAAAUUUUAAAGGUCUGGAUUCGUUGACCUGGUAAAUUUGAUGGAAAGAAUCCGAAAAUGAUUCCUUUUCCAAAACUAGGAGCCCAAGGAUUUGACUAGUCACCCUUUGGAGUUGGCCCAUUCAAAAGUGCAAAUCCCUGAUAGCAAUCCUCCACGCCAACUGGUAAACUUUUAGCUUCCACACCACACUUUACUUAAGCAAGUUAUUAUUUGCUUAAUCAUGCUAUCUUUAAGUCAUUGAUCAAACCGGAAUAUUUCCUAAGACGCUAUAAUUCUUUCGAGAUAUUUCGAGAUUUGGUACGAAAGCGAACCAGGGGAAUGAAAAGGGUACUUGCAAGCCCAAGUCUAGCUUGGCUUAAAAAUCCCCUAACAAUGACAAAAAUGACAAAAAUGACCUCAAUUUAAUAAACAAUGUGCCGAAGUAAUUUGACAAAAAAUCGAGGGUAUUUUUGUCAUUUACAGCUUAUUUAAUGGAGGUUAUUUCUGGAAUGACCAAAAUAAUUGACGGUGGACAAACUCAGAGACCAAUUUUAUCGAUUUUAAAUCUCAUAGACCAAGGUGAUGAGUUAUGCCAAUCUCAAGGACUAUUUUUUGCUAAAAAGCCAUGUAUUGCAGCCAGUAAAUGCAUCUUCAAGCUGGGAAACAUCGAACGAAAUCAAUCGUGUUUAAUUGCAAGAAAUUGGUGGUUCAAAAUUCAAUCUUUUAAGAGGUUUAAGAGAUUUUUAUAUGUCUUCAUGAAUUUACAAUUUUUUUUCUUUUAUCUGAUAAAUUUUUCUGUCAUGAUUUGUGCAGUGUAGUUUAUGACUUGGGUUAUGAAACACCAAUAAUGUUACAAAAAUUACACCUUAAGAUACCAAUAAUCCAACAUAGAUAUAAAAUUUAAAACCAAUAAUAUAAUUAGUCUCCCAACUUAAUUAUAUAUACAAAAUGUAACAUUGAAAUCGAAAAAGAAAUGAAACAAAGUUUAAUCAGGGAAACAUGACAAUGUGUUGUGUCCCCUCAUUGUGUAUUUUUAAUCAGAUCCCUAAGCUGUUGAAGAAGUUGAUCAGUUGAGCAAUGUUCUUCUUUUGCUUAAAACAGUACAAAUACACUUCAAAUCGAAAAAAUAGUGUACUUGUGAUGCCAAAAAAAUCUGAUCUUUUGAGAACUCGUUCUUAAUAUCUUAGCAGCGUAUUAUUGGUGUUUAUUUGUUUAAGUUCAAUAGCGUGUCAAACGUAUGUUCGUUUUGUCCCAUGAAUGCAGGCAAGGGACAUCAUGAACAUUACUUGCAUUACAAGUUCCGCUACUUAGGUUGUUGCAAGAGGCACGGAUCUCCUUCCCAACAAUUGCCGAUGUGAUUUUAAUCUGGUGCAGAUUAAUGUUGGCACAACCUGGAUUCUCCGAGCAAUCAAACUUGAUCGCUUCUUCGGUUGCAGAAGUUCCAUGAAAACCAUUGUAUGUCACAUCGCUCACACUCACUGUCGAAGUCAGCAAAUUUUUUCAAAAAUGAUGACUUCGUUAAUACAACUAAUUUUGGUGAUAUUGAUAAAGGUUAAUUUGGUCCACAACUUUUAUUUAAAUGUGUAACUUAAAUGUGCACUUUUGAUGUGCACCUGGACUUACCAUUUUAUGUAAGUAGAAUAUGUUGACUAGUUCAUGGCCGACCAAGCCCACGUGAGUCGGGUUGUGAUGGGUCGACCCGUUUGACACCUUUAAAGCAACCUAAUCAUCUAGAAUCCAAAUAGUCAUGUAUCCUCCACAAAUGAACGGGUUAUAUUUAGGUACACAAUCUUAUCUUAUGAAGGUUUUCAAUGUACCCGAUCUGAUCAGAUUAAAAACUUUACCUUUUUGCCUUUUCACUUUAUAUAUGUAGAUAUCCCCCCCCUCCCGAUAUAGGGAAAACAUACGCUAAUUGCAAACCAUAGUCUCUCAUAAUUAAAAAGAGUUGCAACAAUGUAACUGUGCUAUGUAAGUUAAUAUCCGUGAUUAGGGCGCAUUGCAUUUAUUUUAUCCUUCACAAGUGCGUAGGCCAGCGUUUGCUACCAGACAUUUCAACCACUGAAACUCCUGUGUGUACAAAACUAGGGAAAUGGAUUCUCUCUGGAUCAUUUCCACCAAAUUCACCAAGUUAACAAAUUCGAACCCUUGAAAUUUGAUCCAAUGACUAAAGUUAUUAUAACUUUUAAAGAAAACUCACGUUUUUAGUUGUUGGAUCAAAUUUUAAAGAUCUGAAUUCGUUGACCUGGUAAAUUUGAUGGAAAUAAUUUGAAAAUGAUUCCUUUUCCAAAACUAGGAGCCCAAGGAUUUGACUAGUCACCCUUUGGAGUUGGCCCAUUCAAAAGUGCAAAUCCCUAAUAGCAAUCCUCCACGCCAACACCAAGUCAGCCAAAGCCAGGCAGGCCAAACAAAAACAAACAAACAAAAGAGGCCAAUCCUACCACAUGUUCCGCGAUGCUUCCAAAGACAGAAACCCCAGUACCCCACACUUGUCCCUCAAACCUUUCUCCCACCCACCUUCCCAAUCCUCCUUUUUCUACAAAACAACUUGGAAAUCUGAUUUGAUUAAGAUCUCAACUUAAUUUAGAUUAAUAGGUGGUCAUAAGACCACCAAUUCUCAAUUAUGUUACUUGUUUUACUCAACUACGGAUCCAUCAAUUUAUUUGAAACUUUCUCUCUUGUCGUAUCACAUUCUAUUUUGCGAUAUUUGAGACGUCAUACUUAUGAUUGUAGGAUCAAAACAUCAUGUGCUUUUUAUGAAAAAAAUUUCCCUACAUCAGCACGCUAUUGUGUGAGAAAGUUAUAACGUUUAAUAACAACACAAUGACAUCUCAAGAAGUUCUAAAGAUGCAAAUGUGACAAUAUUCUAAACCCAUUGCAAUUAUUGUUCGAGAAAAUUAAAACAUGUGUCAAUGUGCGAAUGACUUGUCACAAUUCUACAAUCACAUCCACAUACUUCUCGGAAAAAAAAAAUUCUGAAGAUUCAAUUGUGACAAUAUUCCAAGUCAAUCAUAAAUCGUGCAAUAACACAACAAAUUGCAAAUAGAUCCAAUCCUCAUUUCCUCCAAAAUACAAUUACAAAGGGAUUAUGAGAAUCCAAACAAAGUCUUUAGUAGAAGAUUACAUACUUGUCCCAUGAAACCUCCUCCCCCAAUGUCAUAAAACCAUCUCCUAAUAGAGAUGGCCACUUCUAUGAAGGAAACCAAAACAAACUUCUAUCCACAUAUAGAGAGAGAGAGAGAGAUAGACUUUACGCCUCCCACUCUCUCUCCUCUUCCCUUUUAUUCCUCUUAAUUUACAUAUACAUCUUUUGAGUUUACACAAAAAGACUCACCAUAAAUUAAACAUAUUAAGAUCAACUCACUUGACUUGUAUAUACAAAAAUUACACUCUCCAUCUCAAAGACCCCCCAAAAAACAUUAAUCUUCUUCCUCCUCCUCUUGAUAUUUUUCCCAAAGCACAAAGCCCUCUACUUUUCUCACAAAACUCUGCUUCUUCCAAAACAGAGAGGGCUCUGUUCCACACCCUAACUCUGUGUCUAAGCUACAGCAGAGAUGCUGCAGUUCCUGCGGUCCCUGCUAAGACAAUCAAACCCUUCGAUCCGCACUGCAACUGGCCUGUCCCCAGACUUCAUCCGGACACAGCCACCGUUGCGCGAUGACAACAUAGGCUGUGCCGGCAAAAAUGGAGCCAUAUUGCCGCUAUUACCGAAAUGCUCAUCUUGGAUUACAGGGUUGGAUGCCCUGCUCGGCGGCGACCCGCAGAAAAAAGGAGGCGAUGAAGCCGAUUGCUUAUUACCGAAUCUAUCUUCACAAUUCCCCUGUUUUCAUAAAUUAACCACAAAACAGGAGAAAAUAAUUAGUCUUUGUUCUUGGAAUUUUUUCAUAAGUGGAAGAGCGAGCUAAAACAUGACAACAAAAUUAAAAAUAAACGAAUUCAUGCCAAUAAAAACAAAUUUGAAACCCCCAAAUUAGAAAAUAUAAAACGAAAACAUGAAAUGAUUUAGGCCUGCCCCUUCCUCUACAAAACCGUCAAACCACGGUUUAUUUAUGUCCCUUGAUUCAAGUGGAUGCAUCGACGAAAAGGGGUGUGCAGAAAUCAUUUUCUCUGAAUAUUAGCUAAAAAAUCAUCCCACGAAUAUUAGCACAACAAGUUUAAAGAAUUUAACGAAAAGUUAUCAGUCCUACUUUAACGAAAAAUCACAUUUUUACAUUAAAAAGUAAGAUCUGAUACUAUUCCCUUUACCAUUUAUUCAGUCAUUUUCAUUUAUUCAGUCAUUUUCGUUAAUACCCAAAAUUUUCAAAUCCGUUUUACUAUAAAUUUAAGGGGAGGAGAGGAACCUUGGCGAGAAUAAUAUCCAGAAUCUCAGACCCAGCUUCAGAAUCUCGAAUCUCCGAUUGGUUGUGACUGUUGCAGCAGCAGCAACAAAAAUCAAACACCCAAAAAAUAACAACCUUUGACUCUUACCUACGAAUUAAAACCUUAAAAGAACAUAGAAGUGUGAGAAGAUAAAAAAGGUACGUACUUGAAGUAUCUGAAGGGUCUGAUGUUGUCGUUGAAGGAAGGAUUCAGAAGGCUGAAACGACGUGGUUUUGGGCACACAACUGAAUCCAUCCCCUCGCAGCCUGCCGUGGCGCUCUGCUCGUAACCGCACCUGCUCAUCAUCUUUGCUUCUUCUGUUGGGUGAUAUCACCAACAACCAAGCCUGCACACCCACACCCAGAUUUCAUUUCAUCAAAUCAACCCCAAAAAUUAAAAAACACAAACUUUUGCAUGAAGAUUUCAUAUAAAAUAUAAUUUUUGUUGGGGGGCGGGGGGAGUGAUUUUCGUACACCUUGUUUAUUAAAAUUUCAGGCCUUUUUGAAUGAAUUAAAUCAAAAGAGAAUCACGAGACGGAAAUAAACAGAGAUGUGUGAAAGACGUUAAAUAUAACAAAGCAUGAAAAAUAAAACAACCCCAGAAGGAUAAAAAGAUGCGAAAUUAAGACUUGUUCUUCAUGAUUUACAUAUAAUUUGCAGAUCUGUUGGUAGGAAAGUUGCAGAAAACCCAGGAAUAAAAAAACAGGGAGGAACUAAGAACCUUGAGCUGCAGCCACAGGAGGCCCCUCAGGGAGGAGGAGAUUUGAGGGGAAGAAGAGAAAGGAUCUGCAAAACAGAGAUUUUCCGGGGCGUCUGAGAGGGAGAGGAGAGAGAGGGAGAGGAGGGGUGGGGGCUGAGUAUUUAUGAUUCAAAGAAGCAGGGGACAGAGAGAGAGGAAACAGAGGAUGAUCUAGAUUGUGGACCGUUGGAUGAGGUUUGAGAUUGGUGUUGGAGGAGCCCGAUUUGGUCCACGUGGUCGGGAUCUCCAGCCAAUAAUACUAGAAAAUAAAUAAAUAACAAUACUCCCGUUUUAGCACGAGCCUACAAAGGAAAAUAUCUAAAUUUAUUUAUUUAUUUAUGGUACGGUUGAUUGAUUCCAAUUUCCAAUUGACCAAUGACCCUUGAGCCUUUGCAAGUGCAAUGCACGGAAAGACAUUCUCUCCGGAUUUUUACCAUUAAAGUCAUCGAAUCAAGUGAUCCGAAUAUUUGAAAUUUCAUUUAACAUGACAAAAAUUAUUAUAGUUUUUAAUAGAUCAAAAUAAGUGAACCGUUGGAUGAAAUUUUAAAGACUCGAAUCAUUUGAUCUAGUGGUCUUAGUGGAAAAAAUCCGAAGAGGAUCUCUUUCCGCAAUGACAAUCCAACUAUUUUAAUUUUUAAUUUUCUGGUAAACGAAGAGAAGGAUUAGGAUUAAGGACAAUCAAAUCUUUAUCUAAUUCUUAAAUUUGAAGUCAUGCAGAUUUUUUUCUUACUUGAUAAGAACACGUUGACAUGGACAAUCAACCAAAAUAAGAAGAUAAACGUCUCCGUAGGAUUUGAGCUUCCGUUUUUAUUUUGAAGAUCUGUGAAGAUUAAAAUGCAUAUUAGUCAUAAAAUUAAUGUGUCUAAUAUUAAUUUAGAUUUAAAGAUUUAAAUAUUAGAAAAACCAAUGAAAAUGACUUGAAAUUUUUGAGUUUUAACGAAAAUGACAAAAUAAAAUGUAAAGUGAAUAGUACCAUAAUUGAUUUUUUAGUGUAAAAAUGUGGUUUUUCGUUAAAAUGAAUAAUACCGAGUGAUUUUUGUAAAAAUUUCCUUAAAUAUUUGACAACUUAAUAAAUUAAUAUAAGAAAAUGAGUUUUUUAAUAGUACAAAGGCACAGAGUAUGAACAACUAAUUAGAUGAUGCAGUGAAUCUUUAAAAAAGGCAAGAAAUUCCAAUAAAGUUGUCUUAUUAGAUCAUCUUUUACAUAUGAUCAACUUAGAAUCAUGUGAUAUCAAAAUACAUAGAAGUUUCAAAUUUUAUAAAACAUGUUAUAACAAUGACAUGUCGUAAUCACUUUUUUUUUCUUAAAGUGUUGCUACGCCCAAUAGGCCGAAUGCAAUUCGAUGAGUCAUGAACGUGCCACAAAUUAAACGAACGUGGUAUGAGUAUGUUCGUACUUUUGCCAAACCCGAAUUUAAAAUAAGAAAACUAAUGAAAAGGGUUUGAAAAUUUUGAGUUUUAACGAUAAUAAAAAAAUAAAUGGUAGAGUGAAUAGUAUUGUUGAUGCACAAAACCAGAGGUCUUGGAACAACGUAAAUCCGACCGUGAAUUUGCAAAAAAUGUAAAUAACACAAGAUGUAUCGUGGUUCACCUUAAGGUUUGGACUACGUCCACACUAAUUGUAUUUCUCUGAGAGUAUUUGUGAGGGAGAGAGUGUGAGAGCUUUUCUCUAGAUAGGAGAGACUUAAGGUUUGUGAGGGUGAAGAUGCCCUUUUAUAGAAUAAGGAUUCCUCCACUAAUUACAUAUUUGCCCAUUCUUUUAUUACGUAAUUACAUUUGAGUUAUCCGAGUAUUUAUACGAGGUCUAAAUACAAAUGCCCUAGGUAUGGUAUAAACACGUAUCAAGAUUGACUUUUUAGUAUAAAAAUAUGAUUUUUCGUUAAAGUAAACAGUAUCAUGAGCUUUUCGUUAAAGUUUAUAUUUAAAAACUAUAGCCAAAGAUUAAAGAAGCAUGUCAAAUUUUGAAGAUAAAAAGAGGGGAUGAAAAAAACAUGGCAGAUGAACGUUAAUUAAAUUCCAGUGGAGCAAGGGUUGCAGAAAGGCUAAUUGCAGGGAGGCUUCAAUAAUUCGAAUCCAAGGUGGAAAGGACAGACAUGUUUGUAAACACAGAAUGGAAGUGGGAACCACAACUCCAUUCCCUUUCCUUUUCUGUUCGAUUCCUCCACAUGCCACUGCCUUGGGAUGCUCACAUUGGUAAACAAUGUUGGGAGAAAGAUUUACAUUUACUUGGCACAGAUAUAUUGUUAUCGGUGGCGUGCUGUGUUAAUAACAUAAAAUAUAUGUAACUUUUGUUUAUAUGGUAUUGUUUUAUUUUUACGGAAUGUUAUGUAAUUGUGUACUCGUGCUAUAUAUGUUGUUUUUUUUAAAGAAAGGUUUAGUUGUAGAAUCAACUCUCAUGAAUGACCUAUGUAUGUUGUUCUAUUUGAGGGAAAAGUUUAGUCGUACAAUCAACUUUGAUGAAUGACGAACUUAUUAAUAUCAUGAUAUUUUUUUAUAAGUGAGAAAUUUUAAAGCCAACUCUUGGUGAAUAUCAAAUUUAAAAUAAUAUUUUAAUUAUCAGUAUAAAAUGUCGUUGUAUAUCAUAUACUUGUAUUAAAUUUUGGUGGCCAUAGUCCAAAUUUGCAAUCCAAUGGAAUUCAUGGAGAUUAAUACACACAUAUAUAUAUGGCCCCUACCAUUAGGUCCAUUACCAACCAAUUGUAAUUGGGGCGAUCAUAUGUGUAUACGGUUCAUUCACCACUCAUAUAGUGUAUAUCCGAUUAUACCGUAUUUUAAAACGAUUUUGUUUCCUUUUGUGCACUAUUAGAUAAUAGAUAGUGUAAAAGUAACCCUUUACCACAGUAGUGAAAAUGUGUUGUGCCCUUACAUGACGAUAUGAAUUUGAACUUUAUCGGUAGCUAAUUUAACAUCUAACUUAUUAACGCUAUCACCCGACUCAAAAGAUAAUAGAUAGUGAAGUGCUCACUAACUUGCUAUUUAUAUUGAGAAGUAAUUUCAAUAUAUAUUUUUCUUCUUCUGCACGUUGAUGUUUAUUCUGAUCAUCAAUGCUUCAUAUAUUUCAAUUGAAUGACCAGGAUAAUACAACAGUGUACAACUACGUGUGAUAAAAGGAUUGUGCGGGAUUCACUUCCCCUAUUCCUUAGAGCAACUAACUAUUAGUCUAGUAAUAUACAAAUCUCUGAGCUCUCCUUAAUGUAUAUCUACAUAUAUAAAGUGAAAUGGCAAAAAGGGUAAAGUUUUCAAUAUCCUUUCAAUGGCCUCACUUUAAUUGGUGGGUGGUUAAUAAUUCUUUCUUUGUUUCUGAAUUUUUAAUUAAAAUAUAUAAUUAGAUCUAAAGCAGAAAUAAAACUUAAUUUUUAAUCUAGGCGUGGAAGGAGGCUAGUUAGUGAAAUGAAUAGCUUGUAUUAAAAAAAUAAUAACUUUCUGAUAAAAAAAAUAAUAAUUUGGUCAUUAUUUUCAUAAUUAUUUAAGGGCCUGAUAGGCCCGUACAAUGUCUUGGGUAGGCUUAAGACCGGCCCACUAAACUAGGUUAAGGGCCUGAUAGGCCACGGGUAAUAGGUCUUGCGUUUGAACUUUGAUCUUCUGCGCAAGUUUUACUUCUGUGUUUCAGAAGACUGAGAGGAAGAUGGUGUGGCCAGGGACAACAAUGGCAACCAAUUGUCUAGUAAGUCGUUUCUCAACCUUUUGUUGUUAUUUUUAUUAUUUCAAUCUUCUGAAAUAUAUUCGUAAAUGAUACGAGCCAUAUAGAGGGAUUGGAAUUCCCAAACCCUAGUAUAUAUUAGACUGUUAGUUAGCAAACAAAAGAAUUAUUGAUUAUAUUUAUAUGAUGAGAAACGUUAAGAUGACUCUCUUAAAGUGGAACUCUGUCACUUCAUAGUUUAACGUCAAUUUUCUUGCCAACAUUAUAACAAAAAAUAUGGGCUGGCAGCCCAUGGAGAGUCCCACUUUUAAAAGAGUCUCCUUAGUAUUUCUCUUUAUAUGAUAUAUUAAGGAGAGUGAUAGGAUUGUUGGCACAAAUUUGCAAUUAUAUUAUUGUUGCGUAUGAAUUACAAUUAAGUAUCAGUUACAAUUGACGACAAGUGCACAAGACUAACCAAUAACCCCAAUAGUUCGGAUUGUAAAUUGAUUAAGGAAUACAUUAAUGUUUUGAUGGUUCAAUGACAAAAUUUUCUUAUACACUCUGAAAUACUAUAGAAUUUUGAAUAGUUAAUUAUCGGUCAAGUAUACAAUAAUUAAAAUCUACAAAGCGCUAUACAAUUUUCAGCAAAUGAUAUGUGACAUUUGACAUUUGAAAUUAUGUGACAGUUUCAAAUUCCCAUGCAAUAACUGAGUACAAAAUUAAUAUAUUUCCUUUCCAAUGACCAUGAUUUCCCAACUACAAUAGUCAAUAGGUCAUCACCUUUAAAAAAGUCAUGAAAUCCAGAUGCAGAAAUCUUUAAAGAUGGUGAUAUAUCAGACUUUAUUUCAUUUUUCAUUCCCCACCUAAGUGGGUCCUAAACCCUAAAUUAACCACAUAUAAAUGAUAUAACCCUAAUCCCUUGAGUGUACCAUGUGAUACCUUUUUAUUCCACUGCAUCUGCAUCAUGUGUUUGAAGCAGCCUUGUUAUUCUUCCUCUUUAGUUUUCUCCUCUUUUGAUUCAGCUCAUAAGCCUCAUAUCCCAGCUUGUAGAUAAACCCUAAUUUUUUUUUAAAAAAAGCUAAAGCUAAAGUAACCCUUGUCUCUCUCUCUCUUGAUGUUCCUUGCUUUGUUCUCUCUCUCUCUCUCUCUCUGUCUCUAAACAUUAUUUCAUGGAUUCGAAAUCUCCAAAAUCCAUGUCACCUUCUUGUCCUACCUCAGUAAUAUAAUAUUAUAUAUUAUAGUAGUUUUUACAAAAGGGUACCUGGGUAGGAUAUUCACUCAUUCUCUGUGCAGUCAUGCAUGCACAUUCAUGUCACAAUGUCUAGUCAUCAAAGCAACACAAUAGUGGUACGUGGGUCAUUGUGCUGGGAAGAAAAGUGGGGAGGAAUCUCUUUGGUAUUUUCUCCCAUCCAGAAUUCGCACUUUGCUCAUCUUUGCUUCGCACCAAUGCAAUUGUUCUGCAUUUAGGUCGGUCAUUCUCAAAACCCUAGAUACCAGUUUUAGGUCAAUCAGACCCAUCAGUAUCUCCAUCUCUUCCUCCACCUUCAACCUUCGCUUUCUCAGGCAUUUGUGGGAACGUCGAAGAUCUUUGAUUUUCAUCUUCUUCUGCUCAUGAAAUUGGGAGAGGUAAGAAUAUAUCCGGAAAAUGUUUAUACAUGACGUAUGUUUUUUAACUUAAAGAACGGACGCGCAUUGAUAUUGCUAAGAAUGUAUCAACCACAUGUUUGUACGCUUUGUUACAACAGUGACAUUAGUGACUUGACAUUACUAAUAACAUAUCGACAAUCAAUUCUUUAAUAAAGGAUGGACUUCCGUUAUGGACUAUAAUUUGGUAUAGUAAAAAUAAAUGAUAACAUAACAUAAUUAAGCAAUUGAAACACAAACACACACACAUAUAUAUAUGAACUUACUUUUUGAUUAACUUUCUUCAUCAGAUGGAGAAGAGUGGGAUCAACUGAACCUUUUCGUUUUCGUUUGAACAUGGAUGCUAAUUUCUGGCAGGGUUUUUCCUUAUCAGUCUUGAGAAAAUCCAUGAACGUUCGGAUUCCGUCUUCCAUUAUCAUUAAAAAUGCAGCUGACGAAAUUUUUGAGCCAAAACCUUCAUCCUUUUGAUGGUCAUCAUCUUCUGAAACUUAUGACAUAAAAUUCAUGCAUUAGUUAAUUAACUUUGUUUGAUCCCUAGACCUUUUGCAUUCUUUGAUACAAUUUAAAAAAUCAUAUCACGUAACAUUCAAAUUGUUAAAGAAAAAGGGUAUGAAUUAAAAGAAGUUAAAGUACAAUUCUUCUGCAGAUGUACCUCGAUAUUCUGGCACUUGAAGUAACUUUGGUGCCAAAAGCCUCAUCCUAGCAUAAAUCUCUGGCCUCCUGCCUUGCUCAUAAGGCUCAUUCUCUACAUAUCUUUGUAGAAGCACUUGAAAUUGCUGAAAUUUCUGUGCUAAUUCGCCAGGAACGCCGGGAUCAAACUCAUGGCGUGAUGCCCUUUUUUGCUCAAAAUUCUUGUAGUUCCAAUUAAGUGCUUCCCAUGUUAAGCAAAUUUGUGCAACAUAAGCAGCCUCCAGCUCAUGAUAAGGGUUGUGACGUACAUCAGGCAGCCUUUUUGUUGCCGUAGAGAUUCUAUGAACAAUCCUUUCCGAAAUUGAUCUUGGACAGACUUGAAUAGACUUAAGUGAUUCUGAAAACAAAAAUAUAGCAUAUAUAAUGUCAGCUUAAGAUAUUAAUAAAAGAAAUCAUUACAAAAAGGGAGAAAAUAUAGCUAGAUAAUAAAAAAAUUAAAUUAAAUUACCUGUUUCAUGGAGCUUUUGGGCACUAAUUCUGUCUAGGAACAUCAUUUCUUCAUCAUACUUUUGGAAGACUGUGUAAGACUCCCAUUUGGGGCAGCUUCGCCGGGACGAGGAAGAAAAAGGAUCUUCAGUGGCAGAAUCCCUGCAAUUAAUUGAGCUUCUCCAAUCAGAAGAGCUCUUAGAAGUUGAUCCAACAGUUGAGUCCUCAAAAAUUUCAUCCUCUUUAUUGUCUUGAACUUGGAACUUCUUGUUCUUCAAUUGUGAUGGCCCGAAAACCACAAAAUUUUCGUCACUGGAUAAAUGCGUCUGAUCUGCCCUAUUGAUUUCAGUAUUAUGUUCAUCACAAUUACCUGUAUGAUCAAAUAACAUAAGCAAAUGUCAGGCUGCAAAUAGUACAAGUAUUAGAAGUAAAUCAUGUGACUAGCUAGCUAAGUGUAACAAACUUUAGUGCUUGAAAUAAUGGGACAUACCGUCACCAUUUUUGUCACUUUUAUGUAGCUCUAUAGUUAUCGGAGAUGUGGGCCACACUCGAUCCUUCGCAACAGAAUUGAGAACUGAAACUGUAUCUUUCACGGGGAUUUCCUCCGCACCUUGAUCGUCAUGUUCAGAUUCUGAACCUUGUGAUGACUCAUGCAAAGAUUCAUCGGGGCGGUCUUCAAUUAUUAAGCUCUCCCGUGCGCUAAUGAAUUGGUCUUCGGAAAAACUUUUUUGAUGAUGAUGCUGAAGGUUAUUGUUAGGCAAAAACAUCAGUGAUUCGCCGCCGUGAAUGAUGUCAGCCACCAGAUCAUGAUCAUUUAUGGUACUGCAGUAUUGGUGACCAGGAACAUGAAACUGCCUUUGUUCGUUGUCUUCUUCUUCCUCCUGCUCCUCCUCUUCUUCUUCGUCCGAAAACACAUAGUCUUCGUAUCCAUUCUGGUUUCUGCAAUCCAACAAAUAAAUGCAUACAAAAGGGUGAAGAUUAAGUAAAUUAAAGAAGUAAAACACAAAAGUGAGCAUGCAGUUAAGAACUUAAAACAUAAGGAUAUAUAAUUAAGACCUUGGGAAAAUAGGGUUGCUGCCGACAAAGUAGAAGAGUUUGAAAAGAAAAGUGGAGGAGAGGUAGAGGAAGAGGAGGAGGAGGUGGAAGGAGGAGGAGGUGUUGUAGAAGAGCCUAACUAGUGCUUCCUCAGCUGAACAUGGCAUUUUCUCCUCCGAAAAAUGAGUUUGUAUGGAGCCUCUAGUGUCUCUCCUUCACAAAGCACAAUGGCAAAGUGGGAGUAUUACUCCUUGAAAAAAGUUAAAGCGUGUGCUUUGGUUUGCUUUCAUAAAUACUCUCUUUCUUGUUGGUCGAAAUAGUUUUUUUUCACCAAGAAAUGUUUCGUGUCCUCCAAUAUUGCAAGUGCCAAUUUACCUUAUAUAUGUUUCCUAUUAUUAAUUGGAUAUUUAUAAAUAAGCCACUUAAAUCGUCUAUUUUGUAGUGAAAGAACACGUAUAACACUAUUUUGAAGAAAAAAAACUUUUAAACUUAACUGUUGCAACUGACAUUAAUAUAGGUAAGAGAUAAUUUUCUAUAAUUUGAUUCUUUAAAGGUUUCUACCACCAACAGUUAUUUUAAAUAUUUCACUACCUUCUUCUUCUUCUUCUUUUUUUGUUUUUUUAGGUAAAAGAUAUUGCACAGUCUUGAUUAAAUUGCUUAUGAAAAUAGUUCUUUUGCAUGUGCUCACAUUGUGUGAAACAAAUCGUGAGAAUCAUUUCUAAUGCAGUAUCUUUGUAUUAAAAGAACAUAAACCUUGUAUUUUAGUUUGUAUUUGAAGUAAAAGAACUCCUUUUCCUUUUCUUUUUAUUGCUAGAAUUAAAGUAGAAAAUCCUAUUCUACAAGAAAGGGGCCUAUGCUAUAUCCAAAUAAAUAAAUAUAAGUAUAUAACUAGAAAUAAAAAUAAAAAGAAGAGACCAAAACCAAGCCGCACGCAUUGGUAGACAUGUAUGCAUGCCACUUUUUAAAAGAAGUAUUAAGAUAAUAUUAUUUUCAAAUAAAAAGAAGCUGAAAUAAAAAUAAACAACUUAAAGUAGAUAAUUAGAGGAAAAAAAUGACACGACAUAAGUUUCUGUACAAGGUUUUGGUCAGAUAAUUAGUGGAGGCUUGAAGGUAUUAGUAUUCUUUGCCUCCUAUAAUAUAUAAAGAACCUUUUUAUAAAGCUAUGAAUUAUGGGAGGUAUUGUCAAUUGAAUUUGGAGCUUCUCUUUUGGAAAUCUUCUUGGUUGUUUCUUCUUGUCUUUAACUUUGCCACUAAGAUUUCUGCAGACAUGUUUGUCGAUCCAAUCAGCGGUUGAUUACUUGAUCAGGCACGAAUCAAAUCACCAAAUUAUGAAGCACUAAACUAUGAUUUGUAUUAAUUAAUUAGUUUACAAUGGAUUGAGCUUUUGAAUACAACUUUGUAUCUUUGCUUGAUAAGCUUGAAAAAAAAAAACCCCCCAAUUCUUGGUAGCCCAAUAGUAAAUACAUUCCUGAAUAUAACCCACAAAAAGUCCAAUAUUUGCAUAAUUCUUUGAAGGGAAAAAAAAAAAAAAUCUUUUGGUGCCACAAAUUGGAUUGAAUAACCCACAUACCCAAAGAAAUUAGAGUAAAUUACUUUUUAACUCUUUCUGUAUGGGUGCAAUUGUAACUCAUUCAUCAUCUUUAAAAUAUUUCAAUCUCAUAUACUUACAUAUUAUUUAUUUUCAUACAUAUGUUAGUCAAAGGCUAAAUAGCCAAAAUGGUCACUGAGAUUUGCAUCACUCAUCACUUUGGUCCUUAACAUUUCAAAUCAAUAAAAGUGGUCCCUGAGAUUGUCCACCAUCCAUCAUUUUAGUCAUUCUGUUAAAAACUCCGUUAAGUGUCCCGGAGCUUUUGGCUGGAAGUUAGGGCAAUUUUCAAAGCUUCGUAACUCAAUCGUUUCUUAACCAAAUUCGACCCAUAAUAUAUCAAAAUGAAGAUAGGAAAGUGUAGAAUAAGAUUAUACCUAUUUGGAGCCCAAUGGUUGCCAGAGAUGGCAGGAAAAUAGCCUCAAAGUUGACUGGUCCGAGGAAAAACUGGAAAACUCGUCGGAAACUGGGUAAACUUUAAAUGUUCAUAACUUCUUCAAUACUUAACGAAAUCAAGUGAUUCAAAAACAAAAAUCAUACUUCUCGACGAGAUGAAGAUAAUGGUUCAUUUUUAGAUAGCUAACUCUCCGUGGUUUGGCUGGAAAACAGCUUCCGGCCAUCUCCAGCAACUAUUGGGCUUCCAAAUAUGUAUAAUCGUAGUCUACACUUUCCUAUCUUCAUUUUGAUAUAUUAUGGGUCAAAUUUGGUUAAGAAAUGAUUGAGUUACGAAAUUUUGAAAAUUGCCCAAACUUUCGGCCAAGAGUUCCAGGAUGCUUAACAGAGUUUUUAACGGAGUGACCAAAAUGAUAGAUGGUGGACAAUCUCAGGGACCACUUUGAUUGAUUUGAAAUAUUAGGGACCAAAGUGAUGAGUUAUGCAAAUCUCAUGGACCAUUUUGGCUAUUUAGCCGUUAGUCAAAUUAUCGAUUUGACCUUUAAAUGAUGACAUGACAAAUGUGGGGCCUAUAUUUUUACUCAUGUGAAAGUCAAAUUUGUCCACAUAGAUUAAAAAAAAAUGGUAAAUUACAUCUUACCACCUCAACUUUAAGUCAUAUAACAAACUCAUAUUUCAUUUUAUAAAUAUUACAAUGUCAUACAUCAACUUACGAAUCUGUUGCAAUGUUAGACCUCCAAUAGUCAAUUCGUCAAAUUGGCCAUUAAACGAUGAUGCGGCAAAUGCAAAAUCCAUAUUUUUGAUGAUAUGGUAGCUAAUUUUUCCAUGUAGAUAAAAAAUAAAAUUAUAAAAUAAAUAACUUAAAAAGAAAAUAAUUUUCUGCACGGUUGACCUCUCUUCUCACCUGAACCAACACGCUAGCGUUGUGCUUCCCCCCCAUAAUCCUACACCUCGAGAUCAAGAUAAAUUCACAUCCACAUUCACCGAAAAUAGAGAGCCGCCAAAAACCUACUCCAAAUAGUUGAACUUGAACAAAAUUAUAUCUUGUUCAUCAAAUUAGAUGAGUAAAUGUCUAGAUGAUGGUGGUGGUAGUAGGAAGCCAGAUCGAAUUGACAUUCAAAUGUUAAAACUAAAAAUAAAAAUUAAAUUAGAAGUAGGAAUUUUCUACAAAUUGGGGAUUAGGGUUGUUUGAGAGUGUGAAAACUGGAAGGGAAAUGGAGUUUGCAGAUGAAUAAUUUCUUGCAUAAUUGACUUGAUCUUGAAUCAUACAAUGAUUCAUGGCUUUAUACAGUAAAGGGAAGGCUACUCUAGGUAAAUACAUCUUGAUUGUUUGCCAAUUACAUUACGAUCCUAUAAUUACCCUAAAUGAAUAGUUGACUUAUUUUCUUUCCUUUAACAACCCCCCUCAAGUUGGAGUGUAAAUGUCAAUAACGCCUAACUUGUGAAGAUGCGUUCGAAAGACAGCUUCCCUUGUUGGCUUCGUGAAUAUGUCGGCAAUUUGUUCUCCGGUUUGCACAUAUGCAGUUUUGAUCUCUCCAUUUUGAAUUCUUUCACGUACUGUAUGACAAUCCAACUCAAUGUGUUUGGUUUGUUCAUGAUAUACUGGAUUUGCAGCAAUGUACAAGGCCGCUUGGUUAUCACAGAAUAGGUUUGCAGGUUCAUGAUGAUUAACCCUCGAAUCAUGUAACAAAUACCUUAGCCAAGUGAGUUCACAUGUAGUAGCUGCCAUGGAUCGGUACUCCGCUUCAGCUGAGAACCUAGAAACAAUUGCCUGCUUCUUGCUUUUCCAUGAUACAAGUGCUUGUCCAAGGAAUACACAGUAACCUGUGACAGAUAGUCGUGUAGUUGGACAACGAGCCCAAUCUACAUCACAAUAACCGACCAAAUUUAAUUGGCCAUAUGAUGGAAAGAGAAAUCCUUGACUCGGAGCUGCCUUUAAGUAUUGAAGUAACUUGUGGACAACAUCGAGAUGAGGCUUUCUGGGUUGUUGCAUGAAUUGACUAAGGGUAUUAACCAAAUACGUGAUUUCCGGUCUUGUGAUAGUAAGGUAAAUCAAUUUCCCAACCAACCUGCAAUAACAAGUUAGGUCAUUGAGAAGGUCAUCAUUGUUUCGAUUCAACUUUAGUUCUGGAUCCAUUGGAAAUUUGGCAGGCUUCACACCAAGUAAACCAUUAUCUUCCAAUAUAUCCAAUGUAUAUUUUCGUUAGCCUAUUGAAAUCCAUGCCAUCGAUCGUGCAACUUCAACCCUAAGGAAGUAUUUCAAUGAGCCAAGGUCUUUAAUCCGAAAACAAUUAUUGAGAAAUUUUUUAAGGUCACUGAUUGCCUCUUCAUUGUUCCCUGUGAUGAUCAUAUCAUCAACGUAUAAUAGUAUCACUGUAAAUGAAUUUUCACGGACCUGAGUGAAUAAUGAAUAGUCUGCCCGUGAUUGUUGAAAGCCAAUGUUUUGGAUUGCAGAUGAAAACUUGUGAAACCAACUUCUUGAGGCUUGUUUCAGUCCAUACAAGGACUUGUUGAGUCGACAAAUAACUCACUCCCCCUGUCGACGAUAACCAAGUGGAGGAAGCAUGUAGACCUCCUCAUGGAGAUCCCCAUGAAGAAUGGCGUUCUGGACGUCCAUUUGGUGAAGGCUCCAAUGGCGAACUGUAGCAACCGUCAAGAGACAACGGACGGUGAUGAGUUUGGCUACGGGGGUAAAAAUUUCUUUAUAAUUAAUGCAUUCGCAUUGAGUGAAUCAUUUAGUGACGAGGCGGGCUUUGUACCUUUCAACAGAUCUAUCAGCUUGAUAUUUAAUUUUGAAUAUCCAUUUACAGCCAAUCGGGUGAUAGCCAGGAGGAAGAGAAACCAUGGUCCAAGUGUUGUUGGCUUCAAGAGCAUGAAUUUCAGCAUGUAUAGCUUCAACCCACUGCGGGUCUUGAUUGGCCUGCUCAUAAGACAUUGGUUCCACCAAAUGGGAAAUAUUGUGUACAAAGUGUUGAUGAGCAGAAGACAAAUUAGAGUAAGAGACAUACCGAUGGAAGAAGUACCGCGUACCGAACGUGGCAGCGGAGAUAUUGCCAGAAGCAAGCAUAGAGGCAUGGUAUGCUUGAUAUUGUUUAAAGUGAGUGGGAGGUCAUGUGGUUCGAUUAGAUUGACGAAGUGGGGGUUGGGGAUUAGGGAGGGUGAGCGGUGAUGUUGGUGUUGUAGAGAUGAGGGCGUCAUUAGGUUGUGAGGGUAUGGGUUAGUUGUGUGAUGGGGCGAAUGAAUUAGUAGCGGGGUCGGGAGUCGAUGAAGGUAUGGGAUUAGUGGUUGGAAAAUCUAGGAGUGAAGAGGAAUGAGGCAUGAUUUCAGUGGUAUGGAUGAGAUUAAGUGGGAUUGAGGAAUUGGUGGGAUGGAUUGGGUCAAUGGGUGAUGGGGUAAUGGUUGAUGGGUCGUGGGUAGUUUGGGAUGAGGUGAUAAAUGUGGUGUGAUGUCAUCAUGAGGAAGUGGCAAAGUGGGCUAAUCAGUUUGCAUUUCUGGUGGUGAGGUGGAGAAUGGAAAAACAUGCUCAUGAAAAAUUACAUCCUGAGAUGAGAAAUUUUUCUUGGUAUCGAGGUCUUAAACCUAAUAGCCUUUUUGACCAAGUGGAUAGCCAAUAAAAACACAUCGUUGUGCCAGGGAAUCAAAUUUGUGAAUGGGUAUGAGAUUGGUUGCAUAGCAGAGACACCUAAAAGUUCAAAUAUAAGAGUAAUGAGGUGGUGUGCCAUGUAAUUUUUCAUAGGGUGAGGUGUGCGACAACAAGGGGGUAAGAAGACGAUUUAUAAGGUAACAAGCUGUUUGAAGACUUUCUCCCUAGAAUUUUAAAGGAAAAUUUGCUUGAAAGCGAAUAGCUCACCGCACAUUCUAGAGGUGAUGGUGUUUGCGUUCCACAACUUCAUUUUGUUGGGGUGUGUGAGGGCAAGAGUGUUGAAAAACAGUGCCACAGUCAUUUAAAAAUGAACGCAUGGAGGUGAAUUAUGCCCCAUUAUCAGCACGUAAGGCCUUAAUGGUACAAUUAAAUUGGGUUUUGACCCAAGAGAAGAAUGAUUUCAAUAAAGAUUAUGUCUCAGACUUAAAAGACAUAAGAUGAAUCCAUGUGAAACGAGAAAAAUCGUCCACAAUAGUUAAAAAAUAUCGUGUCCCAAAAUGUGACGUAACUUUGUAAGGCCCCUAAUUAUCACAGUGGAUUAAAUCGAAAUGUGAAAUUGAUUUUAUUGAACUUAGGGAAAAAAAUAAACGAGUUUGUUUCGCUAGUGGACAAAUAUCACAAACAUGCUUGGAAUAAAAAAAUAUUUAUGGGAUGGUUUUGGAUAAGGCUUGGAGAGGUGUAAUGGAUGGAUGUCCUAGGCGGUUGUGCCACAAGCUUGAGGUACGGUUGACGUUAUGCGAUAGGUGUGGGUUAUGGCUUGGCUUGAAGUGAUAUAGCCCAAUAUAUUGCUUGCCCAGGCCAAUUAUCUUCCUCGUAGCCACGUCCUGUAUAACACAAAAAUCAGGAAAAAAUAUUACAAUACAUUCCAAUCUUGAGUGAGUUUGCUAACGGAUAACAAAUUAACUCUAAACUUUGGUACAUGAAGUACUCUAUCAAGAAUCAAAUCAGAGGACAAUUUGACGGAUCCAAUUGAUUUGAUUUCAAUUUGGCUCCCAUCUGGAAAUCCCACAAAAUCUUGUUGUGUGUCUGAUGUAUUAUGUGUUGGCAAUGAUUUUGAUAUAUGAUAUGUAGCUCCACUAUCCACAAUCCAAUAUAAUGUUGAAUGUGAGUCAUGGUGAGUAACAUUACAGGUUGGUGUGAUUAUACCUGUAGCAUUGGUGAACGAUUGGGUAUUACCGUUUCAUUUUUGAAGCAUGGCCAUGAUCUGAUUGUAUUCUUCGGUAGUGAAUGUGGGUCCCUCAGUAGGCAUUGUUUUAACCGGCUGAGGUUGAUUUGUCUGUGCAUUAUGAGCUGAUGGUUUCUUGCCUUUUGGCUUCACAUUCUUGCCAUGAAAUUUGUGGCCUACUGGAAAACCAUUGAGGAAAAAACAAUCAUCUACAAGGUGUCCUCCAUCAUAGUAACUGCACUUUAACUUUGAAGACGUCGUUCUUAAGUGGUGGUGGAACGGCUUGUCUACAUCGCAUGAUGGUUGCUUAAAUUUUCACACCGAGAGGCUACUUUAACUUGUCUUUCUUGCUGAAGGACCAAGGCAUGGACAUUACGUGUGUCAGGAAACGAGUUCAUCAUUAAGAUCGAUCCACUAACGGUAGCGUAAGAGUCGUUUAAUCCUAUAAGGAACUGCAUAACUCUUUCCUUUUCUUCUUGUUCAGUAAGUUGCUUUAGUCCUUCACAGGUGCAAGUGAGAGGAUCGUGGUAGGAGGCUGGUUCAUCCCAAAGUGCCUUUAUCUUGGUGUAAUAGGCAGAAACAGACUGUUGUCCUUGUCGGUGUUUGACGAUUUCUUGUCGAAUCUGGUAAAUCCUAGAGUCAUUACCUUGUGAAAACCUGUCUUUGAGAUCAUUCCCAACGACAGCUGUCGUGUCGGUAUAGAGAAUAUUGCCAGUAAUGUCCGAGUGGACUGAAUUCACGAUCCAAAGCAACACCAUGUCAUUGCAUCGCUUCCAAGUAGCGUAUUUUACCUCUGUGAGUUUUGGGGUUGUGAUGGAUCCAUCGAUCAUCCCAAUCUUAUUCUUUGCGCUAAGACCAAUGCGCAUGGUACGACUCCAUUGUCUAUAAUUAUGUCUGUCAAAAGGUUUUGAGACCAAGAUGAGUCCCAAAUUAUCCAAGUGGUGCAAAGUGAGCGGGUCUGAGAUGUCGAUUGACACCUCUGUGAAUUUCGUCUCACUUUCACCCAUCUGGUUUUGUUUGCAACGGAAGGUGUGGUUGGGUUCCUAGAGGCACCAAGAUCGGUGCUCUGAUACCAUGUGAAAAUUGUAAGGGAAGUGGAGUUUGCAAAUGAAUAAUUUCUUGUGUAAUUGACUUGAUCUUGAAUCAUGCAAUGAUACAUGGCUUUAUACAGUAAAGGGAAUGCUACUCUAGGUAAAUACAUCCUGAUUGUUUGCCAAUUACAUUACGAUCCUAAUUACCCUAAAUGAAUAGUUGACUUAUUUUCUUUCCUUUAACAGAGAGGGUGGUGUGGACAAGCUCUUGAUCAGGUUGGUCGUCAAUGGUUUUAAGGAUGGAACGAAUCUAUGUGAUGUCAGAGACACCGUGUUGCAUGGCAGCGAGGACUUUGGGGUCAGAGAGGUGAGGCAUCUGAGUUAAGGAUGGGGGUCUCACUACUACAAAAGUGGCUUAUUGUGUCGGUGGUUGGUGUCGGUUUUAUAUAAUUGUAGACAUCAAAAUUUUGGUAAAUAAAUGUUGACCGAUAAAUCAAAGUUUCAACGCUCAUGUAUUACAUAAAUUUUACACGUAGCGUGUGUCUAAACAAAAAAUCGAAAUAAGUUAGAAAAGUCAUCAAACAGGACACGUGUCAACACCUGGCAGAAACGACUUAUUUCAUCUGGAAUAUUAUAUUCAAAAUUAGGCCUUGGAAAUUUCUAUAAAUAGAAGGCUAAUUCAUUCAUUUGAGGGAGAACCAAUUCAUAUUACACAUUGAAGCUCUGAAGCUCUGAAACUCCGAAGCUCUUAAGCAUCCAGGUUCCCGAAGAAUCAAGAAAGCCUUCUUCAUUCUUCGUUCAUCGUUCUUCCAAGAUCAAGCCCCAACGGCCCUUUGGAUCAACAAUCAUCCACCAAUUCAAGAUCAAGCCCCGACGGCCCUUGAAGAAAGUGUUCUUCGUUCUUCGUUCAUCGUUCUUCCAAGAUCAAGCCCCAACGACCCUUGGAUCAACCAUUCACCAAUUCAAGAUCAAGCCCCGACGACCCUUGAAGAAAGCACCAUCGUUCAUCAUCCGUUCAUCCAAGAUCAAGCCCCAACGGCCCUUUGGAUCAACAACGUCGACAAAUCCACACAUCCAACCGUUCUUCAAGAUCAAGCCCAAAAGCCCUUGAAGAUCCGUUCAUCACCAUUAUUCAAGAUCAAGCCUCAACGGCCCUUGAAGAAACACUCAUCCUCAAGAUCAAGCCCCACGACUCCUUGAAGAUCCGCUCAAAUCCACCUUCAAAGAUCAAGCCCACGGCCCCUUAAAGAAACUUCCAACAGUUCAUCCAAGAUCAAGCCUCGACGGCCCUUGGAUCAACGAAACAUCCACAAAUCAAUACCUUACGGAGAUCGAAUCAGAGGAUCAAAAUAGAGAGAGAUUGUAACCCAAAAUCAUCAAAUACAAAUAUUAUUUUGUGCACGCUGUUCUUGUCUCUUUCAUUUCAGGAAUUUUCCGUGUUCACAAAUUGGCACGCCCAGUGGGACAAUCUCUACCUCUCAUCUCUUUCUCCGUUCAAGGAAUCCAAACACACCUCAAAGUCAAUGGCAUCAAGCAAGGGACAAGCCCUUCUCGCAACCACUGAAGGAAUGAUCCUAAGCACUUCUGCCGCAAACGGACAAUCCAUUGGCACCACAACCACUCCUCAACAUGCCACUUCAAAGUUGGUGCCGCUAAAAGAGCAAGGGAAGCAUCAAAGAUGUGAGUCUGUCAUCAACCUGACCUCGCUGGGGGCACCGAAGCAUGCUGCUGAGGCACACAAGAUGACAUCCCAAAACAGCCAACGACGUUCUUCGUCAGCAUCUUGGAUGUCUAAAGGAAAGUCACGUCUAUUGGUUAUACAAGUCAUGACCAUCGGCGUUACCUCCAUCGAAGAACAACUGGCUCAAAUGAAUGAAGCAAUCGCAAGGCUAACCCGAACUGUGGAAGAAAAAGACUUGCAAAUUGCAGCAUUAAUUAACCGAUUGGAGGCACAUGACGGCGAGAAACCCGACCCAGAAGAUGAGCCUACGGUGGAGAGAAUCGAUGCGAAGCCGGAGCCAGACCAAGCAGCGGCACUCAUGGGAUCUCUUUCUAUCCAACAGCUGCAAGAGAUGAUCACCAACACCAUCAAGGCACAGUACGAAGGGAGCUCAAAUACAUCUGGGUUGUACUCGAAGCCGUAUUCAAAGAAGAUCAACGCCUUAAGGAUACCGAAGGGUUAUCAACCGCCAAAGUUCAUGCAAUUUGAUGGAAAGGGAAACCCGAAACAGCACGUUGCCCACUUUGUUGAAACUUGCAACAAUGCAGGGACCGAAGAGGACUACCUCGCCAAGCAGUUUGUGUGCUCGCUGAAAGGAAACGCCUUUGAGUGGUACACAGACCUAGAGCCUGAGUCCAUCAACAGUUGGGAGCAAUUAGAGCGGGAAUUUUUCAACCGCUUUUAUAGCACCCGCCGCACUUUGAGCAUGCUAGAGCUAACGAGCACAAAGUAGUGGAAGGACGAGCCAGUCAUUGACUACAUCAACAGAUGGCGCACUCUAAGCCUCGACUGUAAAGACAGGCUCUCAGAAACCUCUUCAAUCGAGAUGUGCAUCCAAGGUAUGCAAUGGGGUUUGCAAUACAUCCUUCAAGGCAUUAAACCACGGACCUUCGAGGAAUUGGCCACCCGCGCCCAUGACAUGGAGUUGAGCAUCGCCCAUCAUGGGAAGAAAGAACCGAUCGCCGACUACAAGAACGACAAAGUUCUUGAGACAAAGAUGGAGAAGGCUACGUGGAAACCCACCAAGAAAGCGAUGACGGUCAACACAUCUCCCGUCAAAAUCUCUACACGAGGCAAGGCGAUUCAAGUCGAAGCUUUUCGUGAUCAAGAGAUGCGUAGACGCACUUUGAAGGAGCUUGAGGAGAAGACUUAUCCAUUCCCCGACUCUGAUGUGGUUGCCAUGCUGGAUGACCUGUUGGACAAGAAGGUGAUCGGUUUACCUGAGUGCAGACGGCCGGAAGAGAUGAAUCGUACCGACAGUCCAAGAUACUGUAAAUUCCACCGCUUCAUCAGUCAUCCGACAGAAAAAUGCUUCGUGCUGAAAGAUCUCAUCAUGAAGCUGGCUCAGAAAGGAAUCAUCGAGCUAGAUCUUGACGAUGUGGUGAAGUCAAAUUAGACCACCAUCACUUAUGACUCUGUCAACUCAAAAUCUUCACCUCAAUCGUUAGGGGCAUGCUCCAAAACCAUGCCAGUCAAGCAAAGCAAAGUUGAAGAAUGGACUCAAGUCACUCCUAAGAAAUUACCCAAGAAGCAUACGUCUCCUCCACAAGUUCGCCAAUCGGAAAGGGGGCAAAGCAGCUCUUGUCAACCUUCAAAGAAAUGUGAACGUGUUAAAGAUGAUGAAAUUGUGACACAAAGAUCGUCCAUUGCCAUCACAAUGCGUGAUUUCUUUCCCGAAGACUUCUUCAAUCACUCGGUCAAGGUUCCUUGCUAUGAAGAUUGUGAGGAACGCCUCUCCAAAAUUGCUUGACAAAAUUCACAAACUCUCCUCGCCCGCACGAGUCUAAACUGCAUGGCACAAAGCUCCUGGUCUGCACAAGCAUAAAAGGCAAAACCAAACACUCCUUGCCUGCACGAGUCUAAACUGCAUGGCACAACGCUCCUGGUCUGCACGAGCAUAAAAGGCAACACCAAAUGCUCAUUGUCUGCACGAGUUGAAACUGCAAACGACACCAACACUCCUUGCCUGCAUGAAUUAAAACUGCGUACGGCACAAAAAAUCCAUUGCUCAUUUGAGCUACGUUUUGACUUGAUCUCUUUCUUUGGAAGGGUACGUAGGUAGCUUGAAUAUUCAAUUUCAAGUUCAGUCACAUCAAAAUAAAAAAUAAUAAUAAGUGUUUUAUUAAAUAGAGUCAAUUUUAUUACAAAAAAAAAUGAAUACAUAUGUUAUUAUGUAUUUACAAAAACAAAAAAAAACAAAAAAAAAAAAGAAAGGAAAAAAAAAGGAAUAUACAAGUAUUUUAUAUAUAUAUAUGUGUGUGUGUGUGUGUGUGUAUAUAUAUGCAUAUACAUAACUACCAAAAGCCCAAGCCCAGUUCUUGGACCUACAGCCUUCAUUUCCUGUAAAGUCCAGGCCCAAGUAAACUCCGUUCCAUCGACUGCAGGGCACCGCCCUCUGGACCAUCUUCCCCCUCUCUGUAAUCAACAUCCCUGCUCUCCGCCGUUUGAAAAAAAAAAAAACCGUUGUUGAGAAGCAACUGCAACCAUGGCGUGCUACAACAAGGUUGCCCCGAGCCCUCUGCUAAAAGCCCAGUGCCGUCAUCAAUUCCUCAUCAUCUCUGUCUCUUUGUCUUCAUCAAAGGCAGCAACGAUUUGAUUAACUCGGGCGACACUCACAAAUCAGCUCGUCCAGACAGUCGUGGAGCUUAAAUUGCAGAACAAAUUCCUCAAAUCUCAGUUCGAAUGAUUCUAGAAUCUUCAACUGCCAAAGCACGGAAGCAAUAACAAUGGGAUCUCGAGCAGGAGAAUGGCGACUGGGAAGUUCCUGGACCUCGAAGGCGGGCAAAGGCGGUGGAGCUCGCAUAAGAGAAGAAGUCUGGGAAGAUGAGUCAGUGCUCUGCUGUAUGCGGGAGUUGCUAGAUUUUUUUUCAAUAGUGGCAGCAGUGGAGGGCAUAAACCAAAUAGUGACCGGAGAAUUGGUGUCUCUCUCAGAACAAGAGCUUGUCGACUGUGACACGUCCUACAACGCCGGAUGCAAUGGCGGUCUCAUGGACUACGCCUUCGAGUUCAUUAUCCUAAAACGGCGGCAUUGACACUGAAUCCGACUAUUUAAUCUGUUGAUGUUGACUAGCACCGAAACCAGGCAGGAGCAGAUGACGGCGGUGCGGAAAGAGAAGUUAUUAGCUAUGGUGCGCACACCCACACCCCACACGCGAACCGGGUCCAAUGGAAUGACUCCGUUUCGAUCUACACCAGGCCCAAGCCCAGUCUCUCCACCGCCUCACACACCGUCAAACACGGUGGUGUCUCCGACCUUGUCUAUUCAAAGCUCAGAAUUGCCAGAAAACCCAAUUGGCCUGUCCCAUCCGGCGCCAGCCACGACAUGCUUAACUACCAAGGCAAUCAGCACCACCGCCACUGCCACCACCUCGACUGGAAAUUGCAACAAUGGUAGUAGUGUAUUCGCACCUUCCUCCGCUUCAGCGUUGAUGACACAGCCACCCCAAGCAUCGUCACCGUCCUCAUUCACCAAUCAAGUAUCCACAUUGGGCACCCUGGAUGGCUCUACCACAACCUCCGCCAUUAAUGAACCCACAUCACUCUCGCCCUCUCCUUCUACCUAUCAGCAGACAACAGCAGCCUAGCAAGCGGCGGUGCAGUUUUUUUCUACUCUGCCCUCCUCCACCCCAAAAACCCCAAAAAAAAUAAUAAUAAAAAUUUCGGUUUUCCGUUCGGUUACUCUGUCGCGCCCGGUUCGGAUCCCGGACGAUUUAUCCCAAAAAAUCUCAGAAAAAAAACCAAAAAAUCAGCCAGAGUUUCACUUCCGGUCCUUGGGUUUUUCUAAAUUUUUAGUUUCGAUCCUUUGAGUUUGCAGAAAAAUCUUCCCAACAAAAAGAGGAAAUUUUGAAGUGAGGGUUUUUUGAUUUUGGUGUGACAUGACUCAGAUUCAAGUUCAGCACCAGCAGCAGCCUCCUGCGAGUGGCCCGAACGUUGUGGCGGCGAACGUCGGCGGUGGCGCCCCUCAGUUUGUUUCGACGUCGCUGUACGUUGGGGAUCUCGACCAGAAUGUAACCGACUCGCAGCUGUACGAUCUGUUCAACCAGGUCGGUCAGGUCGUGUCGGUGAGGGUCUGCAAGGACUUGAGCACUCGCCGAUCUCUGGGCUAUGGUUACGUCAACUAUAGCGCUCUUCAGGAUGCUGCGAGGGCACUGGAAGUUCUGAACUUCACUCCACUAAAGCCCAUGAACAAAGCCAAAAGAUCACCAUCUCCUCCACCAUCGAGGUUGUCCCUGCCUUGCCUCCGCUCAGUUCGAGGGUCUUGGGUUCGAGUUUGUCCUUCUUUGCCUCGCUGCUGUGCCGUGGGACUUGGAUUGCAUCCCUCUCCUCCUCGACGCUAUGCACUACCUCCUCCUUCUUCCGUCUCUCGGACUCGGCCUGGGUUUUCACCCACGAACCCAGCUUGCAGAGAGCACCAUAUAUAAAAAAUAAAUAAAAAAUAAAAAAGAGAAUAAACUUACAAGGGUUUCGGUGCAUCAGGCACCAUACAAAAGAAACAAUAAAAAAAUAAAAAUAUAUUAAAAUUAUAUAUAUAUAUAUAUAUAUAUAUGGAUGGUGCAUCAGGCACCAUACAAAAGAAACAAUAAAUAAAUAAAUAAAUAAAUAUUAAAAUAAAUAUAUAUAUAUAUAUAUAUAUAUAUAUAUAUAUAUAUAUAUAUAUAUAUAUAUAUAUAUGGAUGGUGCAUCAGGCACCAUGUGCCAAAAAAAAAAGAAAAAAAAAAGGGAAUGGUGGAUCAGUCCAUGUGAAAAAUUAAUAUGUAUGUAUGUGUGUGUGUGUGCAUAAUAUAUGUAUGUUUACAGCAAACAAAAAAAAAAAAAAAAAAAAACAAAUGCAUUGAGAGAAAUAAAGUCCGUUUUUAUUUAUUUUUUCUGGAAAUUUUACAUAAAUUUGCAUUAUACAUACUUAAAAAAAAAAAAUCAAAUCAAAUUUACAAGAGGGGAUCUUCAAGGACGAUCAGGUGCCACCUCACCACUCGGCAGAGCUCCAGAAAUGAGAGGCGCCGAAGGUUGACUGUUUGAAGCCACACCACUCGGCGGAACUCCAGGAAGAAGAGGAGCCAAAUGUUGAUCAUUUAGAGCUUCAUUACGCGAUACAGCCCCAGAAAACGAAGGCAAAUGUUGUUGGAACAAACCCACAAACCUCUAAUGAUCAAGUAAAAUCUGACCAUCAGAGUCCUGCAUCUGGUCAAUCUUCCUCUUCAUGUUUGUCGCAUAGCUAUGUGCGAGCUUAUGCAACUGUUUAUUCUCCUGCUUGAGCCCUUUAAUCUCCUGUUUGAGACUCAUCACUUCAGCCGCUAAUGAUUCAACUUGACGGGUUCGAGCAAAUAGACGUUGGGCCAUAUUAGACACAGAACCUGCACACUGCACACUGAGAGCCAGAGAAUCCUUAACAGCCAACUCAUCAGACCGUUUGGAAAGUAGUCUGUUAUCUUUGGGAGUGACAAGGUUCCUGGCCACCACCGCAGCGGUCAUAUCAUUCUUCAUCAUCGAAUCCCCAACGGUAAGAGGACCAGUAGGGGAUAUGAAAGAUGGGCGCCAUAUGUUGUCUGGAGAAGGCGGGACUGCCUCUUCACUAAGAUUCAAAUCAAAACGACGGUCGGAGGGUCCAGACAUUUUCAAAGGUGUUGAAAAAAUAAGAAGUCGGACAAAAUCAAGAUCUUAGAAGUGCACAAAGGGAGUUUCUACAAGCGAAAAUUCAAGUGAGCUUUGAAACGAACUGCGUGCCUCUAUAAAAAAUCAACACUCGACGGGAUUUCAGAGAUCGAAGAGGCGAUCUCAGAAUUCGAAGAGGCCAAUUCAAAAAUCGAAGAGGCAAGACUCAGAAAUCGGAGAAGCAUCUUGCUUUUCCAAACACGUCAGCACCCGUCACGCGCAAAUUCAGCUUUGCGGAAAUCACGGGCAAGUUGUCGAAGCGCCGAUCCCAGAUAUCGAAGAGGCGCCAGUCUUUUUCAGCCUCGUCAGCACCCGUCACGCGCAAACUCAGCUUUACGGAAAUCAUGGGCAAUUUGUCGAAGCGCCAAUCCCAGAUAUCGAAGAGGCGCCAGUCUUUUUCAGCCUCGUCAAAACCUGUCAUAUGCACACUCAGCUUGACGAAAAUUACGGACAAUUUGUCGAAGAUUUCUGAUAAAGAAGAAAGCACGUGAAGCCAUACUGAUCAAUCACGCAUUGGUUGCCGACACGAGUAAAAGAAUAGUACCUCUACAGGUACUAAAGAAUUUCCUAUAACUGUCCACCUUCACCCUCCAUAGCAAGGUAGACAUACAUAACCUUUCUUCAUCUCCGAGAAUGCCUUCCCAACAAAGCCUCUCGAGUCACUCAGUGUUUCUUAUUCCUUGGGGUAUCUCUGCAAACAAAUGACACCAAAGCAAAAGUAUCUCAUAUCACCAGGGUAGAAAGCAAGAGUAUCUCAUAUCAUGCGUUCUCCCUGUCCUUUCCUUUGUCCUUGUUCUUACCUACAAAGACAAGGAUAAAGAAAACAAUAUGCCGGAACCUCCACUCAAACUCCGAUGCCACAUUUGCCUGGAGAACAUAUAAGGCAAGUGAAAAUGAUACCUUGCAGCAUGUGGAGACAACGUGCAGAAGAAACAAGCAGAGAAGAAUGCAGUCUUCACAGUCAGCUCAGCAGAAGGAGUCCGAGCUGAGGAACUCAAGAAGCUGCCACAUCUGCCUGAAGAAACAAGCAGAGAAGAAUGCAGCCUGCACAGUCAGCUCAGCAGAAGGAGUCUGAGCUGAAGAACUCGAGAAUAUGCUACAUUCUGCCAGAAGAAUAGAUAAGACAAGGGAAAAUGAUACAUUGAAGCAUGUGGAGACAAGCACAACAAAGCACGUGCCGAUUCAUCCGUUACUUCUUCAAAAUCAAAAGUAUCUCAUAUCAUCAGGUUUGCAAUCACUCUGGGUGGAGGACUCGUUUUGACCCUCAAAUUCUUGGGUCGACUUGCUAGGCGUUGUGGGCUGCAUGUGCUGUUUCACCACCCUUGGAUCAAAUCCUUAAAGAUCAAGUCACCAACUGGAAAAAGAACCCAUCAAUCUUGAAGAUCAUACCGUUGACCAAACUACUCAGGUGUGAAUUAGAAAGAUUGAACAAAGCAACAAGCCGUCACCUUCACCUCGUGCCUGCUUGCCAUGUGUUCGAGUCAACCUUCAAGAAUCAAGCCUCAACGGCCUUUGAAGAAGUUUCCGGCCAAAUUCAAGAUCAAGCCUCGAUGGCCCUUGAGGAAAUCACAAGUCCGAUUCAAGAUCAAGCGUCCACCAUAUUUGAAUCAAAUCCAGUUCAAGAAUAAGCUGUGGAAAAUCAACAAUUGGAGGAAUCCAGAAAAUCCUCCAACCCAGUUCAAGAUCAAAGCUGUGGAAAGUCAACAAGCGCAACAAAAUACGUGCCGAUUCAUCCACUACCAAAGCCAAAGAUCAUCUACCACAUGAAACUCCUUGUGGUCCAAUUUCAACCUUCAAGAUCAAGCCUCAACAGCCCUUGAAGAAAUCUCCAACCCAAUUCAAGAUCAAGCCUCAACGGCCCUUGAAGAAAUCUCCAGCCCAAUUCAAGAUCAAGCCUCGACGGCCCUUGGAUCGACAUCUACAUUAAGGGACUUCAAAACGCAUCUCCUACACGUGACAAGCACAUGUAUACGACGCGCCUUGAAGUGGGGGCAUUUGUAGACAUCGAAAUUUCGGUAAAUAAAUGUUGACCGAUAAAUCAAAGUUUCAACGCUCAUGUAUUACAUAAAUUUUACACGUAGCGUGUGUCUAAACAAAAAAUCGAAAUAAGUUAGAAAAGUCAUCAAACUGGACACGUGUCAACACCUGGCAGAAACGACUUAUUUCAUCUGGAAUAUUAUAUUCAAAAUUAGGCCUUGGAAAUUUCUAUAAAUAGAAGGCUAAUUCAUUCAUUUGAGGGGGGAACCAAUUCAUAUUACACCUUGAAGCUCUGAAGCUCUGAAACUCCGAAGCUCUCAAGCAUCCAGGUUCCCGAAGAAUCAAGAAAGCCUUCUUCAUUCUUCGUUCAUCGUUCUUCCAAGAUCAAGCCCCAACGGCCCUUUGGAUCAACAAUCAUCCACCAAUUCAAGAUCAAGCCCCGACGGCCCUUGAAGAAAGUGUUCUUCGUUCUUCGUUCAUCGUUCUUCCAAGAUCAAGCCCCAACGACCCUUUGGAUCAACAAUCAUCCACCAAUUCAAGAUCAAGCCCCGACGGCCCUUGAAGAAAGUGUUCUUCGUUCCUCGUUCAUCGUUCUUCCAAGAUCAAGCCCCGACGGCCCUUGGAUCAACCAUUCACCAAUUCAAGAUCAAGCCCCGACGACCCUUGAAGAAAGCACCAUCGUUCAUCAUCCGUUCAUCCAAGAUCAAGCCCCAACGGCCCUUUGGAUCAACAACGUCGACAAAUCCACACAUCCAACCGUUCUUCAAGAUCAAGCCCAAAAGCCCUUGAAGAUCCGUUCAUCACCAUUAUUCAAGAUCAAGCCUCAACGGCCCUUGAAGAAACACUCAUCCUCAAGAUCAAGCCCCACGACUCCUUGAAGAUCCGCUCAAAUCCACCUUCAAAGAUCAAGCCCACGGCCCCUUAAAGAAACUUCCAACAGUUCAUCCAAGAUCAAGCCUCGACGGCCCUUGGAUCAACGAAACAUCCACAAAUCAAUACCUUACGGAGAUCGAAUCAGAGGAUCAAAAUAGAGAGAGAUUGUAACCCAAAAUCAUCAAAUACAAAUAUUAUUUUGUGCACGUUGUUCUUGUCUCUUUCGUUUCAGGAAUUUUCCGUGUUCACAAUAAUAUACUAGCGGAUAAGACACUUUCGACGCCCUUUUUACAUGGUGUUGGAAUUACUAUUGGGUAUAACCACAUAAACUAUCUAUGUCGCUUAUAACCAACAUAGAUUGUUAAUGUCGCUUAUAACCGACAUAGCUUAAUCUUUUUAAAUGGUGGUGUCAUAUAAAAAGAAAAUCGUAUCGCUUUCAACCGACAUAAAGUUAGUGUCGAUUAAAAAAAAAUCGUGUCGUUUCUACCUGACACUAAUAAUUAUUUUUUAUAUAUUUUAAAACCCGAUGUCGGUUGUAGCCGACACUAAUAAUUAUUUUAAAAUAUUUUAAAAUCCGGUGUCGGCUGUAGCCAACACGUUGGUGUUCUUUAUCCAAUGCUCCGACAAGUCACCACAAAAAGACUUGGAUUGCCAGCAUGUCAUUAACUCACAGCUGUUCAUCGUUAUAAAAAAAUCAGAACCAUUCCCUUAUUUGAAACCAAUCCAAUUGGCCACCCCAAAAGCACUUGGAUCACCAACGUGGCAAACCCCACUAUAAAACACCACGCACCAAACCACUCCAUAUCAAAAUUCAAAUCCGAGCGCAUCUCAGUUCCCAACAAUUCGUUUUCCCUCCUAAACGAAUCAUUUUCAUUUCCCAAAAAACUCAGAGAGAAUGGAAGCCACGAAAGCUACCAAGGGCAUUGGCGGAAGAAGAGGCAGAAAGAUGAUGAAGUUGGUGUUCAAGUCAGUUAAAGCUGGCCUCCAAUUCCCCGUCGGCCAUAUCGCACAUUUCCUAAAAAAGGUACGCUACACCCAACGUACCAGUACCGGCCUCCAAUUCCCCAUCGCCCGUAUCACUUGUUUCCUUCAAUUCCCCUUUUGCUUCUAGCUCCCAUUUCAUGUAAAUUUUUUUUUAAUUAUUAUUAAUUAAAAACAAAGACAGAUUAUUUUUAUUUUUAUUAUUAAUAGUUUGUGGUGUCCCUUAUGGGCAACAAUAUAUUGGUUAUUUUAUUUAUUGAAUUGUUAGGUGGCGUCGGUUAGGACUGACACCAAUCUGCUCCAUCCGACAAUCUUUGUCAGUACUUAGUGUUGCUUGUAUCCAACGUGAGCCUCGAUGUCACUUUUAAUCGAUGCUACUAUCCUUUUUUAUUUUAUAUUGCUUUCCUUCUUUGUGGUGGAUUAAGGAGACUAACCGACAUCAAAAGCCUUUUCAUGACGCUAGCAUUAGUGUCGGUUCUAUUAUCCGAUGUUGCAUGAGUUUAUGUCAGAUUUUUACCAAAUAUCCGAUAGAAAUUAUAUUUUCUUGUCGGUUUUUGGACCGCCAGUUAUAAGUAAUUUUGUAGUAGUGUUUGGCUGAAGGGAUGAGCAUCGAUGCAGAUUUUACAGAGGUCGGAAGAGGCGGUGGGACAGGUGUUGGGCUUGGGACUUCAAGAGGGGAGGUGGGACAGGACGUAGGAGAGCAUGGGAAAUUUGGAGAGGUUGUGAUCUAUUGGAUGAGAUGGAAUAAGAUGGGAUGAGAUGGGAUGAAAUCGAAGAUAUGGGGUCAGAGAUACGAAGAAUGAGUGGUGGUUCUUGAAGAAAGUUGAGGUUUCACCAUAAAACCAAUUAGUAAUAUAGAGAGUAGCUCAACUUACUUAUAAGCUCAUGCAAGGUCCAUCCUCCCAUUAAUGUGGAAUUUAUUCUCAACACGCCUCCUUACAUGUGGUGAAUUUUUAAGCCUAACAUGUGGAUAGUACAACGGGGUGAUGUGGAGCACGUGUGGCCGUUCCACACCUGGGACAACCUGCUCUAAUAACACGAAAAAAGUUGAGAUUCAACCAUAAAACCAAUUGACAAUAUGGGGAGUAGCCCAACUUAGCCCAUGUAAUGUCUCUCCUCCAUUAAUGUGGGAUUCAUUCUCAACAGUUCUGUCUGUGUGAGUGAUGACUUAUGCGAUUGGAUUUGAUUGGAUUUUGAAAAAGAAAAAGAAGGAUGUUAGACCAAGUCUCAAAGUUUGCUCUCUUCUCGGCUGCUAGGAAAUUGUUAGAUGUCCGCCAUUACUUUUCUUCUGCUUCUGGACAUCAAAUUAACUUUCAUAUGUCUUCGCUUUAUUUUUCAAACAAUGUUUCUACUCAUGGUAAGGUGACUAUUAGACAGGUUUUGCAAAUCCGACAUCGCCAUUCCAGAGGUAAAUUUGGGACUUCAUAAUGUGGUUUUUUGCAUUGGCGGAUCUAUUAAGGGGCAGUAGGGGUCAUCUGGCCCUCCCAACUUUGGCAAACCUCAAUGGAAAACCUCAAUGCUGCCCAUUUGAGGUUCAGAGUUAUCCUUGAGAUAUGCCCUCUAACUGCUUGAUGGAAUGCCUCAAUGAAUGGGCAGCGCAGGGAAUUGUAUACAGCGUGGAUGAAGGUUGCAUCGUGCCUUUGGCUCCAAUAAUACAUCAGAGUUUGGUGUUGCAGCCUCUGUUUUUCUACCUCUGGAUUUCCUAAACUUGCCUCAACCCGCCAAGGAAUUUCCUAAAGAAAAGUGGAUAAGUCCAUAGCUGCCACUUCCACCGUUUCAAACCCUAUUUGCUUCGAAGUAGUGCCAUCAUUCAUUUGGAAGUGUGCCUUUGAAGCAAUACCAAGUCAUUUUAUACAUUUAUAAAAAAUAAGACCCAUCCACUUGAAAAAAACUUAAGCUUCUAAUUAAUCUAGACAAUAUAAACCCAAAUCUUUAUAAUCUUAAACUCUACCUAAUCCCAAACCAAAUUCCAGAUUUAUAAAAUUUCAAUAUUCAUUGUAUUAAUAAUGAAAUUAUUGUAACAAUUUCGACGAAAACGUGUAGUAAAUAAUUGCCGUUUGUAAUGGACAUUUGUAGUUUGUAAUGCUAUUUAUUCAUAAAUUAUGAAUGAUGGAAUUAUGAUUUAAUUUUUAUGGCUAUUUGUUGUUGAGAAAAUGUGUAUAAAUUUUUACACUUGACCCUAAACAAUUUUUCAUGAAUUCGCCACUGAUUUUUUGCAAUGACCCUAUUAAGGAGAAAGAGCCCAUUCUCUAAGUGCAACAAAAGCUUGCGGGAUGGAACUUACACUUUAAAAGCCAACUAUUUCUAGCACGCCUAAUCAUAUUUUUCCUUGUUUUCCGUGUCCUCCUUGGAACAGCUAAAGCUAUUGAGCAGGUGAGUCAGGAUUUUUCUGGAGUUCUUCAGGGACUCAUCCUCCUAUCGCUUGGACAUUCCUCUAAAGAUAAAGGUGACCUUGGUGUUAGACUUGUGCUUCAUUUUAAUUAGGCAUUGUUGAUUGUAGAAAUAUUCUCUUUUAUAAAAAUACUACUUUCACCGUCUAUUGAUGUCAUAUCUCUAAUAGAAAUAAGACUCACAUGCGUUGACAGACCCUACCUCUAUUAGAGAGAUGGUAGGGCCAACCAAAAUUUGUACUAUCUCUCUAAGUGUAGCAUUACAUUCGUUGUAUAGCUAGCAAUGGUAGAGAUUCUAGGCUUUAAAUUGGGCUUUUGAUAAACCGCUUGUUUCUCUUUUAUCUGAUUCUGAAAGGUAAAUUAUUAAUUAGUCCAUCACUAUUUGUGAUCUUAUUACUAAUAGAGCACUGCUUGAGAGAUUAUAUUUUGAGACUAAAUUUUGAAAACUAAAGAACAUGUAAGUUGAUGAUUGAUGUAUUACUUAGUGUUGAUAGACGUGCUCAUUUCUAUUGGUGAACAUCAUUUAGUUUGCAAUUUUAGUCUCUAAAUUUAAUCAAGUGGUGUGGACUAAUUCGUUGCCUCGUAAGGCUCGUGAGGCGUGGCUUUGGGACUUAAGCUAGUUCUUCUUGCCCUAGGGGCUUUUCCUUGCAAUUUUACUUGCAUCCCAAAAAAGAAAAAAAAAAAAAAACUCACAUAGUCAAGGUUAUGUGUAACUAUAGGUGAAUAAUUUUUAUUGGUCUGAGUGAGUUUCAGACACAGGAAACUUAUCCCCCUUUAAUUCUUACCAUUUUAUAGGGGUAGAAAGAAUAAGUUUCCGUUAUGAUUUAUCAGUCUUCCACUUUAAACUGGACAACAUUUUUUGCUUCCUUUUCUGAAUGUAGCUUGAAUUUAGUGACUUCUCCAAUCCAAUUCAAAACACCUACGAGUUAUGGUACUCAGUAAAAAUGAAGAAAAUUUCAAGCCUCUAAUUAAAAAAGUCUCAUAAAGUAAAAUUUCAAACCAAAAGUCACCAUCCUUACUUUUUUUCUUACAAUCAAACAUGUGUAAAAGGUAAUCAUACAGUGAUCAUCGUGUAAAUUUCAACCCAAACAUAUAAUAAUGAGCACCUCCCAGAGAGAGAGAGAGAGAGAGAGAGAGAUGUUUCUAGUCUUCUAGAAACCCUAUGCAGGAAAGAUGGAUGUAGUACUCCAUAGUUGGAGUUAGGAUUGAAUUUUAUGCGAAGCUUGGAAGACAAAAGGAGGUGAGUGUGUAGAAAAAAUGUAACGGAAACGCUUACAUACUGUCGUGCGGGUUGGUCACCAUUUUAACCACUCUUGGUAAACUUUGCCCACACUAGUUAUAGUUAAUUAAAUAAAUUAGAAAAAGAAGAUAAGCCACCUAUAGCCUACAGCCAACCAUUAUAUACGAAUUGAAAGAUCUUUGAACUGUCAAUUAUGCAAAAUUCUUUGCCGUAAACAAACUAUCAUGAUCAUACGCAGUUCCAAACAUGCAAUCUAAUUAAUUAAAAAAUUUGCAGCAUAUCAAGCAAUCUAGCCAUGAAUGCAUCCAUAUAUAUAUAUAUGCUAUAUUUGAUCUUAUUUAAGACAAUAACCAAACUAAUUAAACUUCAUAUAGAGUGUUAAUCUCUUAUCAGGUAUAUGUGUAUAAGGAGCUGAGUCAUUUCUUAGUUAUAUUGUCAAUUGAUUUUAUAAUAGAACCUCAACUUUCUUCGGUUUAUUUUAUGGUGCAACCUCAACUUCUUUUAUGAUAAUAGAGCAUGCUAACCUAUCAUACGCAGUUCCAAACAUGCAAUCUAAUUAAUUAAAAAUUUUGCAGCAUAUCAAGCAAUCUAGCCAUGAAUGCAUCCAUAUAUAUAUAUAUAUGCUGUAUUUGAUCUUAUUUAAGACAAUAACCAAACUAAUUAAACUUCAUAUAGAGUGUUAAUCUCUUAUCAGGUAUAUGUGUAUAAGGAGCUGAGUCAUUUCUUAGUUAUAUUGUCAAUUGAUUUUAUAAUAGAACCUCAACUUUCUUCGGUUUAUUUUAUGGUGCAACCUCAACUUCUUUUAUGAUAAUAGAGCAUGCUAACCUAUCAUACGCAGUUCCAAACAUGCAAUCUAAUUAAUUAAAAAUUUUGCAGCAUAUCAAGCAAUCUAGCCAUGAAUGCAUCCAUAUAUAUAUAUAUAUAUGCUGUAUUUGAUCUUAUUUAAGACAAUAACCAAACUAAUUAAACUUCAUAUAGAGUGUUAAUCUCUUAUCAUGUAUAUGUGUAUAAGGAGCUGAGUCAUUUCUUAGUUAUAUUGUCAAUUGAUUUUAUAAUAGAACCUCAACUUUCUUCGGUUUAUUUUAUGGUGCAACCUCAACUUCUUUUAUGAUAAUAGAGCAUGCUAACCUAUGUGUUAGCCCAACAGCUCAUGUGCUCCCAAUAUGUGUUGCCUAAUGCUUACGUUUUAGACUUAAAUAACGUCACGCAUAAUUCCAUGAAGGGUGUGUUAAGAAUGUGAAUUUCACAUCAAGAAAUUAAGGGAUCUUACGUGUGUUUUUCUAAGGAGUUGAACUUCUCCUUAACUUGGUUGAGAUGUCAAUUGAUAACAGUAAUUUAUGAUUGAAUGAAAAGGGAUAUACGCUGCAGAUUACCAUGUUCCCAUUGUACUCACUGUAGUAGUAGCGUAGACAGGGUUUGGUGGGUAGAAAUGGGUGAAGGUGGUUGGACUGGAUCAUGGAAUUAAAAACAAAAUACAUGAAAUCUGGUACAACAGAAACAAAACCUCGUGCCAAAAUACUUGCCACUCAUCUUCUACAAAAUUUUAUUUAAAAUGACACAAUGUCAUAUCCACUUUGAUUGAAUCAUUCGUAGUCAAUGCCAAGCCUCACAGACGACUACUAGAAAAUACAUAUACCCCUCCCUUACGUUCAUGUAUAGUAGCUGGGGUGUUUUGGUAAUUUAAUUAUUUGAUUCCAUUAUAAAAUUUGUACUUUUCAAUCGCCAUCUUUGUCAAAGUGUUAGCUGUAAUUAUCAACAUAUAAAAAGACUAAUGUGGCUAAUGACUAUGGCUUCUUCUUCUUGAAGAUUGAGUUUAUACAACACAAAGUACACACCAUUAAUACCUGAUCGCCUUGAGCUUUACUUUUAAGCUAGCCAGCAUCAGAUAUCCGUACCAGGGUUUCUGCUGGCAUCAAAAUCGAAUCCACUUGGUUUGUUUAUCGAAUCAAGAAUGCAAGAGAGUCUUCCUCCAGGUUUCAGAUUCCAUCCUACAGAUGAAGAACUGAUAACGCACUAUUUGUGCCAUAAGGUUUCUGAUGUUAGUUUCACGUCGAAGGCUGUAGCAGACGUUGAUCUCAAUAAGUGUGAACCUUGGGACCUCCCAGGUAUAUAUGGUCAGAUUAUGUUUAUAUAAGUGUAUCAUGUUCAACCCUAUUCUUCUGUUCAUCUGCCUCACAUGUUUGCCUUCUUCCUAUAAUAUUAUCUGAUUAUUCCUAGUUUUCUAUGAUAUUUCAUUCUUCUUAUUCCUUAGAGGCUUUUAGUAACGAUCUUGAUGAUGAUCACAAUCUGUCUUUCUUUAAUUUGCCUAAUGGCUUUGUUGAAUUUAUGUAAGUAAAGCAGUCUUUCCUGAAAAUUACAUGUAAUUCAAACAGGAAGAAAGGAUAGUAUAGGAGCAGAUUUAGGCUUAGCCAAGUUGGCUAGAGCACUAAGUUGAAGCUCUAUCCCCGUUUAGAUUAAUUCAAUUCUUUUUAGUCAAAAUGGUUUGAGAUUUGCAUAAAUCCUCACUUUGGACCAUGAGAUUUAAAAUCAAUAAAACUGGUUUAUUAGCUUGUCCACCAUCAAUUAUUUUCGUCAUUUCGUGAAAAUCACGUUAAAUAAGAAAAAAAAAUGAAAAAAAAAUACCCUCAAUUUUUGUCAAAUUAUUUUUCCAUUUUAAUCCUUAUUUUAACAGAAAUUUUUCAUGAAAUGACCAAAAUGAUUGAUGGUGGACAAACUCUUGGACCACUUCUAUCGAUUUCAAAUCUGAAUGAUUAAAGUGAGAAGUUAUGCCAAUCUCAGAAAGUAUUUUAGAUAAAAAAAAACCUUAAUUCAAUAUGCUUGGAUAAAAAAGAGAAUAAAGAAAACUAUGUUCCAAUCUCUUCCUACCAAAUACAUAUUUCCCAUGACAUUUUUUCGGACUUUCUUAGGUUUACAGUAGAUAUUUUGUUUAAAAAGGAUAGUGCUAUUCGCACACUAUUUUUACCUCUCACACAUUUAUUUUAAUUUUUUGCCGUUGAUUUUUUAAAUUCAUUAGAUUCGAUGGCCGAAAAUAAGAGGGGUGUGCAAGAAGUAAAAUUGAAAAAAUGGGUAUGUAGAUAACACUAUCCUAAAACAAUGCAAUUAGACCUUUAAAAAUUGUUUCACAAUAUACAUUUCUUAUACUAAUUUACCAACAGAUAUACUUGAAUACAAUUUUUCAGAACGUUCUUAAGUAGCUUAAGUAUUCAUACUUUUGAUAGGAAUAUAUUUUGACAGUAACGUAUUUAACCGAUAAAUGCAACUUACAACAAACUAAAUUAUUAUGUGGUUGGUGAAGGCAAGGCUUCGAUGGGAGAGAAAGAAUGGUACUUCUUCAACCUGAGAGACCGAAAAUAUCCAACUGGACUUCGAACCAACCGAGCCACGGAAGCCGGGUACUGGAAAACAACUGGGAAAGACAAGGAAAUACAUCGUACAGGUGUACUGGUUGGGAUGAAGAAAACCCUAGUUUUCUACAAGGGCAGAGCUCCUAGGGGUGAGAAAAGCAAUUGGGUCAUGCAUGAAUACAGACUAGAAAACAAGCAUCCUUUCAAAUCCUCAAAGGUACAAAUUACUACAGAAGAAAACAAUUGGAUCGUUUGGGACUGCUAUCUUAAAACCACUUCUACUGAUAAGCACUUUUUUCUUAGAAGUGCUUACCUGAAAAACAAUUGGAGGUUCUUCUAAAAAGGUGUUUUUCAGAGAGUUAUUCUAUUAAACAUAAAAACUAAGUUUUUUAGUAAAAAAUAGUCAGUUGCGCUUUUGUUGUCAUAAAGUGCCUUAAGCUAUUUCAGAAAUAGUCUCAAAUGCCUUUAUCGAUUAUAUUUAUAAUUCUUUAAUUUGCUAGGUUUAAUUUUUUUAUUGGUUUCACAAUAUGCAGGAAGAAUGGGUGGUUUGUAGAGUUUUCCAAAAGAGCAUUAGUGCAUUGAAAAAGCCACAGCAAGCAACCACAUCCUCCCAUCAGCAGCCGUCGAUAGAAUCUCCAUGCGACGAUACGAACUCAAUCGUUAACGAAUUCGGAGACAUCGAGCUGCCAAACCUAAACAGCAAUAUUAACGCAAAUUCAUCCAGCGGGUUCAGCAACAACAUUUCCUCACCCCCAAGCUAUUACAGCAAUAUUAUUGAUCAUAGCAAGAACAACAUUAACGACGUUACCAACAUGAGUUUGAACAUGAAUUGGGCAGCAACAGCGGCGAGAGAGGCAGCCGUGAACGCCGUUUCAUGGCCGUCAAGCUUGCUAAGUCCCUCAAAUCUUUCGGUGAAUUCGUUGCUUCUUAGGGCAUUACAUCUUAGGAGUAGUACUAAUAAUAACGGUAGUAAUUAUCAACCAAGAGAUACUAAUCAUGGUCAAGCUACAGCAGGCACUAGUACUCUAGAUUACUCAUCAUAUAAUACUAUGCAGCAGCAAGGAAUGAUGCCGUCAAUCUCUCAUCACAUUGGAUCCAGUACUACUAUGGAUCAUAUAAAUUCAAAUUUUCAAGCUUCUUCGUCGAGUAUUAAAGAUCAGAUGAUGGAAUCGAUGCCGCCACAACAACAUUCGGAGCAACCAUUCAAUUUGGACUCCAUUUGGUGAAGCUGUGAACUGUACAGCCUGAUCAAAUGAAUAAGCUAAUAACAUCUUGUAAAGUUCGGCAUCGUUACGGUACUAAGCCUGAGCUGGUUAUGAAACAAAUGCAGUAUACCACAGGGAGAGUAGACUCACAUGCACGUACGUAAAGUUCGAUAAUGUUCCAUAUAUUUAUAACUAUGAUAGAUUAUUAUGUCGAAAAAUAAUAGGGUUCUUGCCCUAGUUUAUGGGUCUGUUUAAUUAUGUUGAAGAGUUAUAGUAUUAUGCUGGUAGGGAAAACUCCCUAUGUUAAAUCUGUACCCUCUUAUAUUAUGAAAACAUGUUUCUCAUGAUCAAACAUCUCAACACAUUUCUCUUUCAAAGUUCAUAAGGUAAUCUACACGAUGAUGGUAAUGGUUAAGAAAAUGAAAGUUCAUCAAUCAUCAUUGACAAGAAUUUUUUUGUCAUUAUUAUAACAAAAUUCGAACCAAAUUAGUAGCUAAAUGCAGAGGUUCGAGAUUCCAAAAAAAUAUAGAUUAUUCAGAUCCACACAAUGCCCUACGAGCGGUUGAUUUAUGUUAAUUAUGUAUGAACUAGAUACUAACCACAUUUAGAAAAAUAAUAAUUAUCCUUAAAUCGACUAAAACAUUGUCAAGGAAUAUCUGUUUACACGGACUUACCUGAAAUGAGUUGGAAUGAGCAUUAGAAUGAAUCCCAUCCAUGAAUUCUCUACGUUUUAUUAAUAAAUAUGAAAUAAAAAAAUACGUAUAUUACAACAUGUAAUCUUCCGGCGGCCACGAUUUUACUGAUGGAAAAAAUCCAGCAGACUUAUAAAAAUAAAUAAAAAAUGCAGCCCAAAUCAUAAUAAACUGCCAUUAAAGACGCAACCCAGACCUAUUAACCGUUAAAACAAAGAAAAACUAAUGAAAAUAGCUUGAAUAACUCGUUUGAAUGUGCUUUUAGAGAAAAUAUUUUUAGGUUUCAAAAGCACUUAAAGUGCUUUCUGCAAAAAGCACCAGUUAUGUGUUUUUUUCAAGAAGCGCUUUAAGUGCAUUUUUAGGAUUUACUUGCAUCUUUACUAAUUAUUGGUUCUAAAAAUAUUUUCACAAAAAGCGCUUUCAGUAAUUUCAAAAGCAUAUCCAAACGAGCUCGAAAACUUUGAAUUUUAACAAAAAUGACAAAAUAAAGGGUAAAGUGAAUAGCGCCAGGAUUGACUUUUUAGUGUAAAAAUAUGAUUUUUCGUUAAAAUAAACAGUAUCAGAAGUUUUUCGUAAAAAUGGUAUGCCUUUUCUUUCUUUGGAAGCCUUUUUGAAAGUGUUUUCCUAUUUGUGCACUUAUGUUAUAUGCUAACUUGAGGUUGUCUGUAGAUUCCCAGCAUUCAGCCACCGACAUCACAUAAUUCUCAGCAGUCGACACAACCAACUCAGCAACCAAGCACUCAGGCUGCUCCCUCGUUGCCUGGUCAAGUUGGUUUACAGGACCAAACAGGGCCAUCGCAGGUCCAAGCUCCUCCAAGAAAGCAAUACCAAAACCAACCGGCAAUGCCUAGUUCAUCAGCUGGUGCUCCAUCUAUAAAUGUGCAGUCUCAGCCUAUGCCUUCACGUCCCCUGCAGAACCCCCAGCAGCCCAAGGGACAUCUAAAUCCUCAAAUGAACCCGACUUUUCUUCCACAGUCCUCUCAACUCCCAAAUAUGCCCGCACAUCCUCUACAUUCUUCUUCACAGCUACCUUCGCUUCAUCAAACCCAAAUGUCUUCUGCUUCCGGGCAGUUACAACGUCAUUACAGACAUCUGGAGUUUCUCAUAUGCCGUUGCAACCACCAUUGCCUCCACAACCAAGACCACCUUAAAUGCCUAACUUCCAUCACCAGUAUCCACCACUGAUGGGGGCCAACAUGGGUUCAGAGUUCAACAAUCAAGCUGGAUCUUCCAUGCAAGUUGAUAGAGGAUCGUGGAUGUCUGGCCCACCAGAGAGUUCGACAGUGCCACUUCCAGGAGGCGGCCAGCCUCCUCACCCCCCACCGGUAAGAUAGCUGCUACGUCACACAUUUGACUUCAGCCGGAGCUUUUAUUUAUAGGUCGAGUUUCCGUAUCAAUCACCAUUUGACCUUUAUGCUCAUUGUGCAGUUGUCCCCUGAGAUGGAGAAGGUGCUGCAUCAGCAGGUCAUGACCCUCACACCAGAACAAAUUAACCUCCUGCCUCCAGAGCAAAAGAGUCCAGUGCUACUGCUACAGAAGAUAUUGCGCCAAUAAACCCUCGUGAAUUUUUCAAUUUUUCAGCCGGAAAGAGGGACAGCGCUUAGCUUCAAUGUUCAGCCGGAAAGAAUCUUUGGAACGCUGCCUAUUACUCGGUAAAUUUUCUUGUUUGAGAAUCUUAGAACUUGACUAUCUUUGGUGUUAAAUCUACAUCCAUUUGUUGUAUACCAAUGUUUUAGAAGGCUCGCCUCAGGGCGCGCCUAGGCGGCCUCUGAGGCUGGACGUGAGGGUUGCCGUCUCUGUUUUGAGGGAGUGGGCGGAAGGCGGUGGAAGGCGUCACCGGAGCCUCCUAGGAGGCGGAGGCGCACCUCAGGACGUCCAGGCGACUCUGUUUAGCUUUUUUUUUUUUUACUCUCAAACCCAAAUUUUGGGUAGGGUUUUAACGGCCUCAUACCUCUUCCUUGCACUAUCAUCUCUCUGCCUAUUUUUUCUGAUUUUUAUUUUUUUAUAUAAUGGAUGUACGUGUGAUGCCUGCAUGCAUUGUUAUAUGUGUGCCUAUUGUGCUUUUCAUCAUCUAUUUAAUAUAUAUAUAUAUAUAAUAUAAUAUAUGAAUAUAUAUGUGAGUGUAUAUUUAUAAUAUAUGCAUGUGUUCAGGAUGAUUAUUGAUUAAUAAUCUUCUUCUUUUAAUAUAAUAUAUGUGUACGCUCAGUGUAUAUAUUAAUAAAUUUAGGUCUCGUGAGGCUUCGGCCGGGCUAUCCCUCGGACGCCUCGCCCACGCCUCAUGGUUUUAAUACAUUGUUGUAUACACAAAUGCAUAUAUUAAAAAACGUCAACUACAAUGCUGUUGAUCAACGAAAUACAUGAGAAUUUUAUCUAUGCUAAAAGCCAUUCUGUUUUAAUGUAGAUGCGUGAACUACUCUCGGAGUUUCAAUUGAUAACAUUCUGUUCCAAUGUUUUGCUCCCUUGCCGCAAGCAAACUCAGUCCUCUCUGAACAAAACUCCGUUGAAUCCAUCUCAUGCACCGAGUCGAAGAUAAUCAUUCACACUUUUAGACAAUCCACCAGGCAGGAUAAUUAGCAUUGCAAGGCUAAUUCGUUACAAGCAUCCCAUGUUUUGCCAUUGUCAACAGUUCUUGUUCACUCUCGCAAAAUGAUCAGCGUUUCAAAAUGGGCGAAAGUUUUAAUCUUCGUUUUCCCAAUCAGAAUCUUCAUCAUUGUCGCUAACAUCUGAAUCCACGUAUGAAUCUUCAUCUUCAUCCUCAUCUUCGUCCUCGCUCUGCAGAUAAGAACCAAAAAUUUUACUCUCAUUGCUUGAUACGGGGAUGGUUAAGGAAAGACAAAAUCUGUCCCAGAGGUGGCAUGCUAAAAAUUUAUACUAAUACAAUCAAUCUGAUUGGAGCUCAUGACCACUAGAUAGUGAAUAGAUGACAAUGAGAAACAGGAUAUCUCACUUGGACUAAUUCCAACGCACGAUGAAUCUGCUCGGGAUCUCUCGAGCUCCAGGAACUCUCAUCUACAUCAUCUUCAGAAAUACCCUGUUCACAAUCAACAAAGCUAUGGUCAUGCGAGUGAACAAACGCCCAUACAAAACCGCAAAAAUGUAUCAUGUAUAUUAUUGGAGAAACCAAAGCUGUAUAGCAACAACCGGCCGUGCGAGAGGGGGCAUACGCUUGGAUCGCACAGUGAACAGAUGAAGAUGAACAAACAUAUAGUAAUCACUGAUUUUAUCAUUAGUGCUUCGGAUAUGUGUUGAAACGAGAAAUUAUAACUUACAACUUGAGAUUUCAUUUGCUCUAUGUUCUUCUCUAGUUCAGAUAUGUGCUGACUGAGAGCCUGCAUGGGACAUAAGAGAUCUAGUGUGAGGUGAAGGACAUCAACGAGAGCGAAAUAUCCAAAAAACUGGGAAAUAAAUUUUUUUUAGAAACCUCAUGGCGUUGCAUGGCCACUGAUCGUUUUAAUGCUUUAGCCUUAGUUAGAAGGUUCCUAGGCCUCAAGGUAAUGGGUCGCCGAUAAUUCUUUCCCCGAUAGUAAAUGAGAGCAUAUCCCUUUGGAACUCUUUCUAUUGCCACAAGUAUACCACCACUCUCAUAUUCCAAUAACCUAGCUGUAUCUUCAACAAAAGCAAGAGUCUUUUGCUUGCUUAUUAAUUUCACUAGUUCUCUGUGCUUCCAAUGCAAGUGCAUGUUUUCGACAACACCAUCAAAGACACCACGUAUGCCUGGUAUAAUAUGAAAUAAAGACCAUUAGUGUUUCAGCUAAAAAUUCUAUCUUCACCUAAAAAAUUAGAAGAUUUCUUACCAAGAGGCAAGUAUGCUUUCAUUCUCAAACCAACCCGGCGAAACAUAACCCGUUCCUCAUCAGUGAUUGUUUCCUGAUCAUAAUCGGGACCCGCAGGAAGCAUUAAUGAUUCUAUCUUGGAGAGGAGUUUCUCUGCUCUUAGCUUUUUGGCUUGGGCCUGCCAAUGAGUUCAGAAUAUCAAACUAAGGUACACAUAUGAAUCUACAUGUAUACUUUCUUCCGCAACUGAGUUAUGUCUAAUGAAUGUUAAAUGAUAUAUUUUGGAUAAAAACAUGUUACAAAAAAGGCACCACUCUAGUACCCGGGUCUUUAUAAUUGAGUCGAUUCAAUUCCAAAACUAUUGCAUUCACAAGGAGUGAGAACAAGACCUUCACAGGCUCGUCCACUAAAAGAAGGAUAGAGAAAAUACUUACAACACCUAGUUUAUGCUCGAUUCGUCUGACAAGCUUAGCAUUCUUAGCUCUUGAAUCUUCUUCAAUCAUCUUUUCCCGUUCUUCAGCAGAUAUUUCUCGUCCCCAACGAGCUUGAGCCUCAUAAAACUCAGCCAAAGUCCCUGCAAGUGCCUGUCCUUCCACUGCACCUGAAGAAGCUGCAUCUAUUGCUUUAAUCCGCAUUUUCUCUUCAACAUCUUGAACCUGUUUCGUUAGUUCCUGUCUUUCAGCCAGAGCAGCAGCCACACUUGUUGGAAGAAAGUCCUUUCCACGGUAAAUGACAAUGUAAUAUUUGUUUCUGAGCAGUAAAACGCCACCUGUUAAAUUCUGCAAAAUAGAAGGAACUUUAAAUCAGUACCUAUUGGUAUUUAUUCCGUAGGUAACAAUCAGAAGAAGAUUACAAAAAAAACCUUAAAACUAUUUGACGAAAGAAGAAAAUAAAAUGUGAUGAGUGCCUCUUCAACCAUAGAUUUGGUAGAAAAUGCAAGGUGGAGGCGCUUAAUGGCAAACUUAUUAACAAGUAAUAACAGAAUUACACAGGUUCCUUAAUUAGAAGGAUGGUGUUUCGCAUUUUUUCCUUGAAAAAAAAAUGCAGAAUAAGCUUGAGAAAGUUGUAACAGGAGAACUAAAAGUGCCACUAAUGGACAUGAACGAAAGGUAAAAUGUCACACGAAAAACACAAGGUUUGAUGGUAAUUAGGACAAGAGACAAUGUUGAACAGACCUUUAUCUCUUCAGCCAUCAACUUGUUGUUUGUAUUCUGGAUACCUCGUUUGACAGCAAUCUUAGCAACAGAGCUUUUCUCCCAAAGUUUAAUAAUAGCCAAUGCCAACCCUUGAUGGUUUCUAUUUCUCCCUUCAUUAAGAAAUUAAGAACAAAGAGUUAUGUCAAAUACUGACACGGUAAACUGAAGAAAGGUACUCAGAAGGAGAAUUAUACCAAGGGCAAAAUGACAAGGAAGCGACUUGGCAAGUUUCCGUAAGGUAGUCAUCUCUGCAUUAGUCAGCCGUGAUCGCAUCCCGGUAGGGAGAAGUCUGAAAGGUGUUUUGUAGCCAGGAAUUGUUUUGGGAAGCAAAUCAGCAUCAACAGGAAGUACUCCUGUACCCCACCACUCUUCAAAACGUGGACCUAAAUCAUCCAAUAGGCUGUGAAACUCAGCUUCCUCCUCCGUCAUGUUAUGAACACGCUCUGGAAUUUUCAAUGCUUGCUCAGUCUUAUCUGGACCUGAAGUUGCAUCAUUGCCACUUCUCAUCACCGAUGUUUCAGCUGAAGAAACAUCUGGGAUAAAAAGACCACCCCUUUCCCCAUCAACAGUUUGGGAUUGAGAAGGUCCUUUGUAGUUACUCCCUCGGUACACAACCAUGACACUUCCUGAUCGCCAUAAAACUAACCCUCCUGUUCGACGCUGACCAAUCACUACAAGCAGUCAGUUACAUUACGAAAGUAAAAUGCUUCUACAUGUUCAUUUCCAAACUCGACAUACAAUUUCAAGCUGCAUUCAGCAAGUAGUGUAAUUUACACUCAACACACAUAUAUAAAAAUGUAAAUUGGUCAUAACACCGCAAAAACUGAAAAUUCGAGAACGGAACAAACCUCAACAAUCUCGUGAGCCGUCUUCAUGUCCAAUGCCAGCACCUCAUGGAACUUGAGCCUCACCAGCUCCGUCUUCCUCCAUGUAUCGUGAAUCUUCUCUAGCACCGCCUGGGUGAUCCCGGCCUUGGGCACACUGAUCCUUUCCCUAAGCACCAUCCCCAUUCUCCUCAGCCGCUUCAGCUCCUCGUCCUCAAUAGUCAAUUCCGCCAAGGACGGAGCUUUCCCUCUCCUCUUCCUCAACCCCUUGACCUCCUCCUUGUCAUUCACCUCCUCCUCCUCCUCUUUCUCCCACGGCAAUGCCACCUCAUCAGCGCUCUUCUCCUCCUCCAAUACAUAAUCCGGCCGGACCCACUCCCGCUGCAACAAAUCCCCGAGCUUCUCCUCUCCGCUUGCCGCCGGCACUGAAUCCUGACCGUCCAAUCCGAUUCCAUCGUCUUCCUCCUCAUCGUCCGACCCUAACCUUAAGUUCCGCAACCGGAACACGAUUCUCUCAAUCGCGCUCUGGCCUUUAUUCUUGUCAAAGUACCGAGUCGAAUCCGCUUUGCCAUCUUGCUCUCGUCCCUGCGACUCGUUGACCUUCUCGUUGACUUUCUGGCGGGGUAAUUCGGCGGGAGAGCUGCGAUUGGGCCACUUGUUGAGCCAAGGAGCGGGCGAGGCGGGCCUGGAUUUGUGCUGCGGGGGUUUAGCGUUCGGAUUUCCGCCGUGCUCGGUGGUUCUGACGGAGGAGGAGAAUGUUUUGACGAUGCGAAAUGACGGUUUUGGGGCCAGGCUGAAAGAGGAGGGCGAGUGAGAGGUGAGUGGGAGUGAGUUCCUCAGUGGCAUUUCGGAAAUUUUCGCGGUUGUGAAGGCCAUUUGCGGUGAAGAUUGAAGUAAAUUGUGAGCUUACUGUGGCUGUUGACGGCGGUGCGCUGUCAUUGUCUGAUUGGUCGGAGCCUUGAAAGCGGUGGAGCGACGGGAGGUUGGAGACGAAGACUCUGUGUGUAGUUUUGGGGGAGACGAUAAGAUUUUCGUGGGAAGAUUUUCGGAUAUUUUUUCUUGUAUAUAUAUACUUAUGGAAUUUUAUCGGGGGCACAUCUGUAAUUUUGGUCGGGGAAGAGCCCUCCCUCUCUCAGGCCCUAAUUUGCAGAGGAUAAUUGAUUUUGGGAGUUUUUUUCUUAAAUUUUUAUUUUUUUAACAAACGAUAUUUUAUGAUAAGAGGUGGAGUAGUUUUUGAAUUUUAAUUCUUUUGAAAUGUAAGAAAAGUAAUUUUAAUUCUUUUUUCAAUUGUAAGAAAAGUUUCUUAUAGUGUAGGAAUUCUCGAGUAUAUCAAUGAAUGAUAUACAUUAUUGAUUUUAACGGUUAAAUUAAGAAUUAACUGAUCGAUAUGAACCAUUUAGCAAACAUAAUUGCAUAAUGGAAGCCAUCAUUUAGGUUAUGAUUGAUUUCAGAAACUAAGAAAAGUGUUAUUCGCACUUCAAAGAUAUCAUUUGCACCCCAAACUGAACGUGAUUGUGAAACAAAGAUUGAUUUUUUAGCCAGGUACGAUAUCCAUAAUCAGAUAUUCAAUAUGAUUUUCAGAAGAUCUGUUUGCGUUCAAGUAAAGAAUUCAAACCAAUUUAAGGGAUUCUUUGAUCAAUCUAGAGAUCUUUUCAAUUCCAUUCGUAACAAGAACAUGCUAUCUUCACCAACGAAACAAUAUAAACUAUAUACAACACGUUGUAUGUAUCUCCCCCGUCACGCGAUAAAUGCUAGCAUAAUGUAAUACAUGAAAGUCAAAAGGAGAAAUACUAGAAUAAUUUUAUUAUUAUUAUUAUAAUAAUUAAUAGGCCUUUGAAUUGCUGCAGAAAAAUAGAUCAAGCAUCAUUGACCAUAUACAAUUACGCAGCAUGAAGAUGGACGUGAACUGUUAGAACUCCAUGUACAUACUCUAUCCAUAAACGUAUUCCUGUUAAUCAACUGAAAUUAUCUACGCACCGGAAAAUAAAACCACGUAAAUUAAAGCUCAAAACCGAAAAAUGAACGGCUCAGAUUCCGGAAGAUCUUCUGCUACUGGAAGGAGAUGAGUUCAGGAUUUCCUGACCAAGCUCCUUUACCUUGUUAAGAAGUAGUACUUGCUCGGUCUCGAGCUGAACCAUGUACCCUUCUUGCGUAUCCUCUAGGGCUUCUAGCUCGCUCAUAGCCGUUGAGAGCCCUUCAAUAUUUCCGUCGUCGAUUAGAGACUGGAACUUCAUCAUCGUUUGUUUCAUCUGAACAAACUCAUGGUAAAUCGCGUGUCAGAAAAGAGUUGAACUUGAUUAAAAACAUUUUCCGUACGAACAAUGCUAACAACGUGGCACAGGAAGAAAAACUAGAAAUGAAAACGAAUCUUCUCACCUCACUGGAAAUUUUGUGUGCUUUGUUUAUGGAUGGUUCAGAAUCCAAACUUGCUCUUUUCUCCAACCCCGGGACUCUUCGAGUGACCAGAACAUGGAUCUCCCCUCUUAUUACAUUCUGAAGGGGGAUCCACUUGUCUGCCGUCUGGUUUGGAAGCAAUCUCUGAUAUUCCACGACGCAAUCACCUAUACUUGAUGACGGUAACAAGGCAUUGUGGUCUUUAACAUGCAAGAAAAGGGGGCUGCCAUCAUCGGGGAAUUCCAAGGUUUGAUGCCAU
rnacentral:lncRNA from 1 species